UUUUUUUUUAUUUUUUUGUUUUUUGUUUUUUGCACAGGUUACAAAAUGUAUAAUUUGACAAAAUAUAGACAGCACACAUCAACAAUAGAUUCAUCAAAUACAAUAGAAGAUUAGUCUUUGAAUACAAUUCAUCAUAUUAGUCUCCGAAUACAAUUCAUCAUAUUAGUCUCCGAAUUAAAAAGACCGAACAAAGAUAGAACAUUAUAUUACAAGUCUCGAGACCGCGAGUAGCGAGUUUGUCUUCGCAUUACAAGUCGAUAUCGAUCAUCUAAACUACCAUCACAUAGAAGAGAGCUGCGGUCAUCACGAUGAGCAUCAUCACGAUGAAACUCGUCUUCAUCCGGUUCCUCCAACGCUCCCUCCCCUCUCCCGCUAGAUAGCGGGCGUAUCUAGAUUCGGCCUCGGCCCUAGUGGUGUACCCUUUGUAACUGUUACCGCUGAAUCGGUGAACCUGUCUCCGACACUCCUCCCAGUCAUCGUAGACUCCGGGAACCUUACCCUUGUACACGACAUACGUCGGCAUCACUAUGCACUAGCCAAACGAAACGUUAGUACCAAUUCACAGACAAUACAUAAGCAAUAUAUAAUUAUGCAACAGAACGAUCGGAAGAGAAAGACAUUAAUAGCAUCGAUUACAUCUAAGUUGAACGACUCUCAAAACCAAAGAGACAUACUACAAGUUCAUUAAAGUUUAAUUACAACAUGAGCCAAUCGAUGUUUCAGAACUAGACAACUCGACUCAAGGGACCGGAGCGUGGAUGAAGCCGCCGUCUAUCGUGGGAGUCAUGAAAGAACGGGCGUUGUCAUCCUGCAUUUGUAGCAUUGUGUCGAUGUCACUGUUGGACGGUUGAUUUCUGAGGUAGAACUGCCCCGAGGUACGAAGGACAUCUUGAUGGAUGAUUUCCGCAAACUCCGACUGGAUGCGAAAGAAUUCUUGUCGGAGGUCCGCGUCCUGGAUUGCCGACACGCUCGCGGCCCAAUCUUGGAGUUUACUCGGUAGCAGAAGUUGAUGAUGGUCCCGUACGAUCGCCCGCAUGUGAUGGAUGGCGUAGUAGGCACCCUUCUGACCGCCAGGCGGCUGCUUGACGUAGCAGAACGUCGUAUUGUGGGAGAACACGUGCUUGCCGUACUUACGAAUAGGCCUGGUGAAGGUGCCUCCAGAUUGGGCGUAGCCGGGGAGAACAUCAUCAAGAACCUUCUUGACAUUUGUGUAGUCUACGUUCGACUGACGGUCCGGGUCGAAAUACGUGGCCAUGGAAUAUUUGGGGCUUAGGAGGAUGAGCGUGCAACGUGUGUCACUGCAGAAAACACGGAAUGUUAAAAGAAAAAUGAUCGAAAAGUAAGAAUUCAUAUGUUACGGGCCGGUUGAGGGGAGGACUUACUCGGGAAAGUAAGGCACGAGGAAGUUAUCCUUAUCUUGGUUUGCCAGAAUGACGCCUUCGAGGUAAGAACUCGCGACUUGCCGGUCCCCAGCGUUGCCCAAGAUCUUGGCACGCAUGUAGAAGGGGUCGACUAUCACGAUGUUCGGGGUCUUGUCGCGAAUGAUCCGCAUCUCCAUACUCAGCGAAAAUAGCCGAACGAAGGUGUAGUGCAGCGGAUGAAGGUUAAACAUAGCAAAGAUGUCAUCAAACCGCAGGACGAUCGUACCCCCGAUGUCGCCAUCCACAAAGCCAUUGCCCUCUGGCACCUUGGCCACGAAAACCGGGUAUGCCACAUCCUUCUCUCUGAGACGCCGCUUCUCCAAAGAAAGAACACUGUCGUGCAGACUCCGCAUAGCACCGGUUGCAGCAUUGAGCAUAUUUGGUGGUAGCAUCGCCCUACCCGCCACAUGCACCCUCCUCGAGAUAUCCUGCGGUGAAGGUGGCCCGUCCUGAGCACGGAUCGUACUCGGUGCCGGCUGGCUCGCACCCUUCUUACUCUUUCUUUUGCGUGCCUUCUUCUUCUCCUGUAAUGGGACCGAGUUCUGCUCACAGACCGCCUUCUUGAGUGUGUUGGGGCUGAUAAUAUUUCGCACCUCGCCUAUCUGAGGCUCGGUGAAGUCGGCAGCUGGAGGCGUCUCCUGAGAGCUGAACGCCAGACGGCGCCUGUUGCAACUUGGCUUCUCCGCGGUACGAGCUAGAUCGCACACGUCUUUUGUUGGGUUUGGUUCUCGAGAAGGAGGCCCCAUGAAGUCGCCAUCGUACCCAUGCUCGGCAAAGUACUGAUCGACGUUGCCAAAUGUAUCAUCGUCGUCGUCGUCGUCGUUCUGAUCCUGUGCCAUAUGCAUGUUUGGAUCCAGUGGCAUAGGGAUGUCCGGCACCGUUACGGCGGUCUUGCCAUGGGGCCGACUUGGCGCCGGCACGACUGGCGGUGUUGUCUUUGGGGUGGUGUCCCCCGCCCCCAAACGAAUCUGGCUCUUCGGCCAAAGCAGGGGCCAGCUUAGGCAGGCGCUAAGGGUCAUCACGUCAUCAUCGUCGGCCCCGACGGGUCGAAUCGGAGGUAACAAGUCGUCGCAGCCUGGCAGCACCCGAACCAGUUGAACCCUAAACAAGUUGGGUGGCAUCUGGGUACCGUCGAACAAGGGGUUGCCCGGUUGAACGAUUUUGCCCUUGGCGACAUCGACCAACUCGUUGUUCACGAAGUGGAGGAGAGUGCACGGAACCUCGGCGGCGCCCUGCGAAAACAUGUAGGGCGUCAGGGAUGCCCAGUCAAAGGCAAGGAGAUGAAGUCCUCGGUCGAGAGAGGCUUAAUUAGUUACCGUGAUGAUGUCGUCGAGCUCGGCUAAUGUCGAGGCACCGCCAACGGCGGGCGUGCAGUUGACGGAGCGGCCGCUUGCUGAAGAGGUGCCGGCCGGCGUACACCCGGGUGCAUUAAGCUCCCGUGCCGGCGUCGGAGACACCAAUGGCCCCGCCAUCGCAUUAUGCGAGUUGCUGGCCGUGAAGCUAGGAAUCGGGGGCGGCCCCUGUUGGCCGCCCGCAAUCCAUGCACUCAACCCCGAGAUCAAGGUAGGCACAAGGGCGGUGAUCGUCGCUCCGAGUCGUUGUUCCACUUGCUCUUGGACAAUCUCCGGAAUCCGCGCCACCUGUGCCUUGAGUUCUUGAACCUCUCGCGCCUGGCUUUCCGAGCUGGUCUUUUUCUCCUUCCGCACACCAGCGGUAUAGUAUGACCCCCAUUUUGUCGACAAGCCUUUGACGGCCACACGACCAGCUGACGUCGGCUUACUGAGCUUAUCCUUGUUCUUCAUUAUAUUCAACCCCCUAUUUAGAGUGGUGUCCCAAGGGUUGCUCUGAGUCGACCCCGCGCUACUGCUUUCAGUCGCUUGCGGAAGGAAUGUGAACCAUUUAGAAAUUCGGCUUCAUUAAUUAGAAUGCAACCAUAUGGAGCUAAUUACGCGGGGGUGUAUUCCUUACCAGAACAAGCUCAAGCUGCCUGGUCUUCGGAUCCGUGGUAAGCUCCUUUGUUUUCGGGUCCUUCUUGUACCGGGCCCUGACAAAGUUCCUGGUCUGCUUGUCACCGUAUUUAUCGAAGAGGGGCGGUAGGCCUUGCUCGGCACGGUCCGCCUCCUCCUUGUCCCAUAUAGGCUCCGCCACUCUGUAACCGCCGGGACCGAGUGUGUGUUCCCCUAUGUUCAGCUCCCGCAUUUGUUUCCCCCACUCACUUGAUUGGGAGCUUGCGGUGCUCGAGCAAUUGAUCUUGAAGUCGUUGUAGUAAUCUUCGGUGAUCGAAGGAUUUUUCUCCUUGAUCUUCUCAUAACUCUCACCUUUCUCGAUCAUUCUCUUCACAUUGCUUUUCCAAGUAGACAGGGCCUUGCUCAUCUUCGUGAGGGCAGCAUUGUUCACUUUAUUCCCUUUGAGGCUUGUGUUUUCGAAUUCAGCGGGGAACUUGUAUCGUUCGUGCAGCUUCGUGAAGAGGAGGUGGUGCAAAUUCCCCCGGUCAGGAUGCCUCAGGUUCUCGGUGUUGAUCGAGACGGUGCUCCGGACAAUGCACCCGAGCUGAAGCGAGUACCCCUUGACUAUUCGUUCGGGCGCCGUUGGAUUCUCGUUGGAGUCCACUUCAGUAACUUCCUCCUUGAGGGUGCGGAGCACGAUCGGGCGCCGGUCCUUCCGUUGCCUCUUCGGCUGGCUGCUAUCUGUGCGUGCGCCGCCAUCAUCAGUGGUGGCAUCCUCGGCGGCACCAUCAGUGGUGGCAUCAGUGUGGUCAUCCUCGGCGGCACCAUCCGUGGUCUCAGGAUCGGUGGGGAAGGCGGCGGCCUCAUACAAGUGAGGUUGUUCCUCCAUCUCCUGGGACAGCUCCCAGAAUGCCUUGCCGCCCGAACCCCCGGCCUCAUCGUUGUGGGCCAUGUUUCUCUCUAAAUAGAAACUAAGUUUGGUCAAAAAGUUGGUUAUUGUCCAGGAACAAGAUCAUGGUCUCAUCAUUUAGGGUUUGUCGACACCGAGGCAUCCUAAAAUCUAAGCUUUUAUCAUUGAGGGUUUUUCGACGCCAAGGCACCCUAAAAGCCUAACUUUUCAUCAUUUCGGUUUUUAUCGACACCGAGGCACCCUAAAAGCCAUGCAUUAGUCACAAGUACGCCGGGGCACUUGAUCCUACUUAAUUAACUACUAAGAUACCCCGGCCCAUGCAUUAGUCACAAGUACCCCAUAUGUCCUAUUUUUAGCAAAGUCAUGCUAAAAUUCACGGAAAAUUUCAGCAUGACCUUUGCUGAAAAUAGGACAUAUGGAGUACCCGAAUUUGCUGGAACGGAAGUUAAUCGACAUUCCAGCAAACUCAAGGGCCUCUCGGGUGGACAAGGCAAAAAAGGCCUCCAUCACAACAUGGAAAAUACAUUGGCAUGUGGACUGGAAUGUGGCUUCAUUUAACAACAACAGUUUCACACAGAAAACAGAGCUGAAUUCAUUGAGAUAUUUGCAUUGCUAGCUACAUUUCAGUGCCAAAUUUCACCAAUUUAAGCAAAACUACCGUUUAGCUAGCUACAGUUCAGUGUCAUAUUUCACUGGAUUAAAAUAAGCACAUACACAUAACUGACAGCACACAUACACAUCACUGAUUUAACGAAAUUUGCACACAACUCAGUAGCACUUCAUCAUCAUAUAAAGUAUAUUAGCAGCAGUACAAAUAAAGAGACAUGAUCAAAGUACUUCAUAAUAAACCCAAGCAACUUCAUAAUAAAUCACUAGUCCUACUUAUUGAUGGUUUCUAAAUCAUUUAUUUGAUCGAUAACAAAUAGCCUUGUCCUGCACAAAAUCUUUGUCCUCAGCUGUAAACUGAACUAUUGUCAGGUCAUGUUGUCAGGUCAUGUUGAAAGUAAAAUAGGACCUUGCUGUGUUUGGGACCAAAUUGUUAUUUGGCUAUUCUAGCUGGCUUUUUUUAGCGAAUUGUAACUUGUGUGAAGCUGAAACAAAGUUAACUUACAUGCUCCUAUAUGCUCAGCUGAAUUAUUAUAACAUGUCUAUCCAGUUUGCAGUUAUUCUUAUAGGCGAUCCGUAGUUAGCGUAGCUAUUGUGCAUCAAGAUUCGUUUUUAGUCCUAAGAAAACACAAGGUUGUCAGGGACGGUUUUUCUUUGACUGGGGUUGUUGUCGGCCUGAAUUAAAGAUGCAGUGUUUGGCAGAUCCAGUCUGCAAACUUUGUCCUACUUACUGGAUCAACAAUGUUCUUAAUUCCAUUACCUAGUGUACAUACCAACAGCCAUAAACAAAAGAGCAACUAAUGACUGAGCCAACCAAGAGCCACAGACGAAACCAGCACAUGCUUGCACAUGCACUGAAGCUACAACUCUUAUCAAGGUAAAAAUAAAAGAGAAAAUUGCUUAUUCUCUCACAGAUGUUGGUUUGCCGAUCUGCAUCAGUAAAUGCGUUCUUUUUUCAUCCGAGGCAAAUAAGCAAAAGAUUGUACUAGACAACUAAUCGACAGUGUUCUUAAUUCCACUAGCAUAUGUGUAGUUCUAAGUUCAUGCACUAAUAGUUUGCCUGCAGAGAGCUUCCUAACCAGGUUCGGUGUGUUUUACUAUUUGAUCCAUUAGGUAGCUAUUAUGCAUCAAGAUUCGUCUGAAAUCCUAAGAAAACACAAUAAGGUUUUCUUUGGCUGGGGUUGUUGUCGAUCUGAAUUAAGGAUGGAGUGUUUGGCAGAUCCAGUCUGCAAAAUUUAUCUUACUUACUAGGACAGCUGACCAAUAUUGUUCUUAACUCCACUUCCUACUGUACACAGUAGCAGCCAUGAAGUGCAUCAGUAGCAACGAGCACAGGCGCAACACAGGAUAGAGCGCAGCCAUGAAUUCAAGUUAACAAUAUCUGCCAAAACCUAAUACAAAUGAAUCAUAUGAAUAAAAAUGAUUGAUGCAGAAUCCAAAAUGGCAACUGGCAUACAUCGCUGGAACCAAUUGUGCAUAUAUGGUAAUUAUGAGUUUUACUUUGUAGAUAAUUAGAUACUGAAUUAGAGUUGCGUUUAUCUCCAAAUACAGCAGCUAUAUUCAUUAAGUUUCCAUCUAUCUAAUGGGGGCUCUUCCUCUUGUUCUCAUUAUUUCUCAUUCUUGUACACUAUUCUUCCCUUUUUUGUUUGAAGAAAAGAGAUCCCUACAUACUCAUGACAAUGAAACUUAUCACAGAACAUGAUCAUUAGCAGUUACAUUGGACGAACUCUUGCCCCUCUAGGUUCCAUCUUUUCGAAAAUAGAACAACACAAAAUGCACCAACCUGUGGUGACAAGCCACGGUUCAGAGCAAUAUAUAGGCCACUAAAAUCAGUCUAAACGUGACAAGCGAAGGGAAAUUAACAUAGUUUCAUGACAAUUUCAGCUGUCUAUAGAGAUGGUUUGGGAAUUUCAACUAGGUUGCUAUAUUUGACCAAAUUAUACAGUGACAUUUGUCUGACUGCCAACAAACAUGAAAAACCAACAACAUAGAUCCGAGGUGGGGCAAAAUGGCAACUGGUGGUGGUGGUGCUGGUGACAAGAAGAAAUAGAGAUGGGGCUCACGGGGGAUGCGAGGGGGAUAGGGGGAGAGGAGGAGGGGGAGCUCACGGGGGCGACGAGGUCCGGGNNNNNNNNNNNNNNNNNNNNNNNNNNNNNNNNNNNNNNNNNNNNNNNNNNNNNNNNNNNNNNNNNNNNNNNNNNNNNNNNNNNNNNNNNNNNNNNNNNNNNNNNNNNNNNNNNNNNNNNNNNNNNNNNNNNNNNNNNNNNNNNNNNNNNNNNNNNNNNNNNNNNNNNNNNNNNNNNNNNNNNNNNNNNNNNNNNNNNNNNNNNNNNNNNNNNNNNNNNNNNNNNNNNNNNNNNNNNNNNNNNNNNNNNNNNNNNNNNNNNNNNNNNNNNNNNNNNNNNNNNNNNNNNNNNNNNNNNNNNNNNNNNNNNNNNNNNNNNNNNNNNNNNNNNNNNNNNNNNNNNNNNNNNNNNNNNNNNNNNNNNNNNNNNNNNNNNNNNNNNNNNNNNNNNNNNNNNNNNNNNNNNNNNNNNNNNNNNNNNNNNNNNNNNNNNNNNNNNNNNNNNNNNNNNNNNNNNNNNNNNNNNNNNNNNNNNNNNNNNNNNNNNNNNNNNNNNNNNNNNNNNNNNNNNNNNNNNNNNNNNNNNNNNNNNNNNNNNNNNNNNNNNNNNNNNNNNNNNNNNNNNNNNNNNNNNNNNNNNNNNNNNNNNNNNNNNNNNNNNNNNNNNNNNNNNNNNNNNNNNNNNNNNNNNNNNNNNNNNNNNNNNNNNNNNNNNNNNNNNNNNNNNNNNNNNNNNNNNNNNNNNNNNNNNNNNNNNNNNNNNNNNNNNNNNNNNNNNNNNNNNNNNNNNNNNNNNNNNNNNNNNNNNNNNNNNNNNNNNNNNNNNNNNNNNNNNNNNNNNNNNNNNNNNNNNNNNNNNNNNNNNNNNNNNNNNNNNNNNNNNNNNNNNNNNNNNNNNNNNNNNNNNNNNNNNNNNNNNNNNNNNNNNNNNNNNNNNNNNNNNNNNNNNNNNNNNNNNNNNNNNNNNNNNNNNNNNNNNNNNNNNNNNNNNNNNNNNNNNNNNNNNNNNNNNNNNNNNNNNNNNNNNNNNNNNNNNNNNNNNNNNNNNNNNNNNNNNNNNNNNNNNNNNNNNNNNNNNNNNNNNNNNNNNNNNNNNNNNNNNNNNNNNNNNNNNNNNNNNNNNNNNNNNNNNNNNNNNNNNNNNNNNNNNNNNNNNNNNNNNNNNNNNNNNNNNNNNNNNNNNNNNNNNNNNNNNNNNNNNNNNNNNNNNNNNNNNNNNNNNNNNNNNNNNNNNNNNNNNNNNNNNNNNNNNNNNNNNNNNNNNNNNNNNNNNNNNNNNNNNNNNNNNNNNNNNNNNNNNNNNNNNNNNNNNNNNNNNNNNNNNNNNNNNNNNNNNNNNNNNNNNNNNNNNNNNNNNNNNNNNNNNNNNNNNNNNNNNNNNNNNNNNNNNNNNNNNNNNNNNNNNNNNNNNNNNNNNNNNNNNNNNNNNNNNNNNNNNNNNNNNNNNNNNNNNNNNNNNNNNNNNNNNNNNNNNNNNNNNNNNNNNNNNNNNNNNNNNNNNNNNNNNNNNNNNNNNNNNNNNNNNNNNNNNNNNNNNNNNNNNNNNNNNNNNNNNNNNNNNNNNNNNNNNNNNNNNNNNNNNNNNNNNNNNNNNNNNNNNNNNNNNNNNNNNNNNNNNNNNNNNNNNNNNNNNNNNNNNNNNNNNNNNNNNNNNNNNNNNNNNNNNNNNNNNNNNNNNNNNNNNNNNNNNNNNNNNNNNNNNNNNNNNNNNNNNNNNNNNNNNNNNNNNNNNNNNNNNNNNNNNNNNNNNNNNNNNNNNNNNNNNNNNNNNNNNNNNNNNNNNNNNNNNNNNNNNNNNNNNNNNNNNNNNNNNNNNNNNNNNNNNNNNNNNNNNNNNNNNNNNNNNNNNNNNNNNNNNNNNNNNNNNNNNNNNNNNNNNNNNNNNNNNNNNNNNNNNNNNNNNNNNNNNNNNNNNNNNNNNNNNNNNNNNNNNNNNNNNNNNNNNNNNNNNNNNNNNNNNNNNNNNNNNNNNNNNNNNNNNNNNNNNNNNNNNNNNNNNNNNNNNNNNNNNNNNNNNNNNNNNNNNNNNNNNNNNNNNNNNNNNNNNNNNNNNNNNNNNNNNNNNNNNNNNNNNNNNNNNNNNNNNNNNNNNNNNNNNNNNNNNNNNNNNNNNNNNNNNNNNNNNNNNNNNNNNNNNNNNNNNNNNNNNNNNNNNNNNNNNNNNNNNNNNNNNNNNNNNNNNNNNNNNNNNNNNNNNNNNNNNNNNNNNNNNNNNNNNNNNNNNNNNNNNNNNNNNNNNNNNNNNNNNNNNNNNNNNNNNNNNNNNNNNNNNNNNNNNNNNNNNNNNNNNNNNNNNNNNNNNNNNNNNNNNNNNNNNNNNNNNNNNNNNNNNNNNNNNNNNNNNNNNNNNNNNNNNNNNNNNNNNNNNNNNNNNNNNNNNNNNNNNNNNNNNNNNNNNNNNNNNNNNNNNNNNNNNNNNNNNNNNNNNNNNNNNNNNNNNNNNNNNNNNNNNNNNNNNNNNNNNNNNNNNNNNNNNNNNNNNNNNNNNNNNNNNNNNNNNNNNNNNNNNNNNNNNNNNNNNNNNNNNNNNNNNNNNNNNNNNNNNNNNNNNNNNNNNNNNNNNNNNNNNNNNNNNNNNNNNNNNNNNNNNNNNNNNNNNNNNNNNNNNNNNNNNNNNNNNNNNNNNNNNNNNNNNNNNNNNNNNNNNNNNNNNNNNNNNNNNNNNNNNNNNNNNNNNNNNNNNNNNNNNNNNNNNNNNNNNNNNNNNNNNNNNNNNNNNNNNNNNNNNNNNNNNNNNNNNNNNNNNNNNNNNNNNNNNNNNNNNNNNNNNNNNNNNNNNNNNNNNNNNNNNNNNNNNNNNNNNNNNNNNNNNNNNNNNNNNNNNNNNNNNNNNNNNNNNNNNNNNNNNNNNNNNNNNNNNNNNNNNNNNNNNNNNNNNNNNNNNNNNNNNNNNNNNNNNNNNNNNNNNNNNNNNNNNNNNNNNNNNNNNNNNNNNNNNNNNNNNNNNNNNNNNNNNNNNNNNNNNNNNNNNNNNNNNNNNNNNNNNNNNNNNNNNNNNNNNNNNNNNNNNNNNNNNNNNNNNNNNNNNNNNNNNNNNNNNNNNNNNNNNNNNNNNNNNNNNNNNNNNNNNNNNNNNNNNNNNNNNNNNNNNNNNNNNNNNNNNNNNNNNNNNNNNNNNNNNNNNNNNNNNNNNNNNNNNNNNNNNNNNNNNNNNNNNNNNNNNNNNNNNNNNNNNNNNNNNNNNNNNNNNNNNNNNNNNNNNNNNNNNNNNNNNNNNNNNNNNNNNNNNNNNNNNNNNNNNNNNNNNNNNNNNNNNNNNNNNNNNNNNNNNNNNNNNNNNNNNNNNNNNNNNNNNNNNNNNNNNNNNNNNNNNNNNNNNNNNNNNNNNNNNNNNNNNNNNNNNNNNNNNNNNNNNNNNNNNNNNNNNNNNNNNNNNNNNNNNNNNNNNNNNNNNNNNNNNNNNNNNNNNNNNNNNNNNNNNNNNNNNNNNNNNNNNNNNNNNNNNNNNNNNNNNNNNNNNNNNNNNNNNNNNNNNNNNNNNNNNNNNNNNNNNNNNNNNNNNNNNNNNNNNNNNNNNNNNNNNNNNNNNNNNNNNNNNNNNNNNNNNNNNNNNNNNNNNNNNNNNNNNNNNNNNNNNNNNNNNNNNNNNNNNNNNNNNNNNNNNNNNNNNNNNNNNNNNNNNNNNNNNNNNNNNNNNNNNNNNNNNNNNNNNNNNNNNNNNNNNNNNNNNNNNNNNNNNNNNNNNNNNNNNNNNNNNNNNNNNNNNNNNNNNNNNNNNNNNNNNNNNNNNNNNNNNNNNNNNNNNNNNNNNNNNNNNNNNNNNNNNNNNNNNNNNNNNNNNNNNNNNNNNNNNNNNNNNNNNNNNNNNNNNNNNNNNNNNNNNNNNNNNNNNNNNNNNNNNNNNNNNNNNNNNNNNNNNNNNNNNNNNNNNNNNNNNNNNNNNNNNNNNNNNNNNNNNNNNNNNNNNNNNNNNNNNNNNNNNNNNNNNNNNNNNNNNNNNNNNNNNNNNNNNNNNNNNNNNNNNNNNNNNNNNNNNNNNNNNNNNNNNNNNNNNNNNNNNNNNNNNNNNNNNNNNNNNNNNNNNNNNNNNNNNNNNNNNNNNNNNNNNNNNNNNNNNNNNNNNNNNNNNNNNNNNNNNNNNNNNNNNNNNNNNNNNNNNNNNNNNNNNNNNNNNNNNNNNNNNNNNNNNNNNNNNNNNNNNNNNNNNNNNNNNNNNNNNNNNNNNNNNNNNNNNNNNNNNNNNNNNNNNNNNNNNNNNNNNNNNNNNNNNNNNNNNNNNNNNNNNNNNNNNNNNNNNNNNNNNNNNNNNNNNNNNNNNNNNNNNNNNNNNNNNNNNNNNNNNNNNNNNNNNNNNNNNNNNNNNNNNNNNNNNNNNNNNNNNNNNNNNNNNNNNNNNNNNNNNNNNNNNNNNNNNNNNNNNNNNNNNNNNNNNNNNNNNNNNNNNNNNNNNNNNNNNNNNNNNNNNNNNNNNNNNNNNNNNNNNNNNNNNNNNNNNNNNNNNNNNNNNNNNNNNNNNNNNNNNNNNNNNNNNNNNNNNNNNNNNNNNNNNNNNNNNNNNNNNNNNNNNNNNNNNNNNNNNNNNNNNNNNNNNNNNNNNNNNNNNNNNNNNNNNNNNNNNNNNNNNNNNNNNNNNNNNNNNNNNNNNNNNNNNNNNNNNNNNNNNNNNNNNNNNNNNNNNNNNNNNNNNNNNNNNNNNNNNNNNNNNNNNNNNNNNNNNNNNNNNNNNNNNNNNNNNNNNNNNNNNNNNNNNNNNNNNNNNNNNNNNNNNNNNNNNNNNNNNNNNNNNNNNNNNNNNNNNNNNNNNNNNNNNNNNNNNNNNNNNNNNNNNNNNNNNNNNNNNNNNNNNNNNNNNNNNNNNNNNNNNNNNNNNNNNNNNNNNNNNNNNNNNNNNNNNNNNNNNNNNNNNNNNNNNNNNNNNNNNNNNNNNNNNNNNNNNNNNNNNNNNNNNNNNNNNNNNNNNNNNNNNNNNNNNNNNNNNNNNNNNNNNNNNNNNNNNNNNNNNNNNNNNNNNNNNNNNNNNNNNNNNNNNNNNNNNNNNNNNNNNNNNNNNNNNNNNNNNNNNNNNNNNNNNNNNNNNNNNNNNNNNNNNNNNNNNNNNNNNNNNNNNNNNNNNNNNNNNNNNNNNNNNNNNNNNNNNNNNNNNNNNNNNNNNNNNNNNNNNNNNNNNNNNNNNNNNNNNNNNNNNNNNNNNNNNNNNNNNNNNNNNNNNNNNNNNNNNNNNNNNNNNNNNNNNNNNNNNNNNNNNNNNNNNNNNNNNNNNNNNNNNNNNNNNNNNNNNNNNNNNNNNNNNNNNNNNNNNNNNNNNNNNNNNNNNNNNNNNNNNNNNNNNNNNNNNNNNNNNNNNNNNNNNNNNNNNNNNNNNNNNNNNNNNNNNNNNNNNNNNNNNNNNNNNNNNNNNUUCAUGAUCAUGCCCGUCGCCUGCUCCGGCAUCUUCCUCAUCAUCAUGUCCUGCAUCUUCUACAUGAUGACUGUGUACAGCAUCACAGUCGUGAUCAUCUCCUGGGGAUUCUUCGUCUUCUCGCCCGCCCGAGCCGCGGUGGUUGUCUUGCUGCCCUUCCUCAUUUCUUGCCCGGCCCGCAUGGACGACUUCGUAGUCAUCUUCAUCACCUUGCCACCGAUAGCCAUCCAUGAAACCACGCAACAGCAGGUGGUCCCGCACCUGCCCGGAAUCCGGGUCCGCAAUAAGGCUCUUCAGCUUGCAUCUUCGACACGGACAUCUUAUCUCCGUCUCGUUCUUUUGAAGCAUCUCGGCCUUCGCGGACCUCAAAAACCUAUUCACGAUGCCUUCGGUCAUCGUGCGGACCAUGGUCGCCUGCGGGGUAGAGCAAAACGAUAUUUUAGAACCAAACAAAAAUUUGGUAUGACCUUCCCUAAAAAAAGGACCAAAAAGAAUGCUUAAUGCCAAAAUUCUCGCCGAAACGGAAAUGAAUCAACAUUCCGGCAAAAUAUUGGCAACUAUCGCAUAUCAAAUACCGGUACACCUCCAAACACAAACACAUAUGCAACACCACAAACAUAUGCAACACCACGAACAUACAUAGAUCUAGCUAGGCCGUAAAAAGUGCAUGUGCACAUUGUUGUAAGGAGAACAACCUAAAUAUAGCUUCCCCCCUUACUUACCUAUUAAAACAAGGUAAUUUAACCACUUAAUUUGAAUGAAUCUAUGGUGGAAAUGAGGUGAAAAAGAGGAGGCACCCGAGACAAGGAGGAGGUGGAGAGAAUGAAGUGGGGAGAAAGUGAGUGUGUGGGUAGGAGAGGCUGUCCCAAAUAUCUUGUUGCUGCCCACUUACUAAUGGCGCACCUCUUGCAUGGUGCGCCAUUAGUACUUACAACUACUAAUGGCGCACUUGGGCAGGAUGCGCCAUUAGUAUGUUUGGAUAGGCGCACUAGUUCAAAAAAAAAUCCUACACUAAUGGCGCACCCACUGCCUGGUGCGCCAUUAGUAGUUACAACUACUAAUGGCGCACUUGGGCAGGAUGCGCCAUUAGUAUGUUUGGAUAGGCGCACUAGUUCAAAAAAAAUUCUAUACUAAUGGCGCACCUGCUGCCUAGUGCGCCAUUAGUAGUUACAACUACUAAUGGCGCACUUUGCCGGGAUGCGCCAUUAGUAUGUUUGGACAGGCGCACUAGUUAAAAAAAAUUUGAUACUAAUGGCGCACCCGUAGCAUGGUGCGCCAUUAGUUGUUUAAACUCUAAUGGCGCAUCAGAUUGUGGUGCGCCAUUAGUAUAUACUAAUGGCGCACCAUCUUUCUGGUGCGCCAUUAGUGUCAAUCCCAUCUAUAGCCAUUUUCCUAGUAGUGAAGAAUGAAAAUAAGCUGUCAAUGGAAAUAAGUUGUCAACUAUUUUGAAAUAAACAAUAUAAAUUACUUAAUAACUACGUUAAGCUCACAUGGGGGAAGAAUUGGAGGUGUAUCCACAAGGACGAAAAUCGAAGGUCUCUCUUGCGCGAUUGUAGGAUCACCAAGAUCCAUGGUGACAAGCAUACCUUCAUCAAAACCAUACAUAUUGCAAAGUGCUUCCCAGUUUUUGCAACCAAAAUGGGUUACACUCUGAGCAUUGUACAACUUUACUUGAAAAUCCACACCAUGAUGGAUACUUAGGAUAAUUUUUUUGGUUUCCAUACUUUCAUGGUCUUCAAAACCCAUCCUCUCCAAGACAUAGCGUCUUGCAAAGCAUGGGAUAAGCUAGUCAAAUUGGAAAAGAUAAAAAAUACACGUUAAAAUAGUUGAAGUCGUGCUUAAUUACAAAAAAAAACUAUUGUCGUCGUUGCGUAUCGUAUGAACAUCGAAGGUCUCCUCGAGCUUAAUGCUGAAGCGCCGAUCUUCGUCCAGCUCAAUGAACCUGUCGCACAUACCUCGGUCGUCGUGGCACUAGUCGCACUCCCCCGGGCGGUUUUCAUCGUCCGAGUACGACAUUUCCGGCCUAAGUUCAUAAUUCAAAUAUUAAAUAUAUGUACUAAAAACCUAAAUUAGAUCAUUAUUAUUAAUCACAGGUUGACUAUCGGUGAUGGUACGUAGCUCCUCCUUUAAUUCCCGAGUGCAUUAUUACAACAAAUUGUCUAGCACACAGGAAUAAAGGAGAAGCUACCCCCGCGACGGCGUGGAUGAUGGAGGGGGCUCCUAGAUUUCUGCAUAGAGUGCUCUUCAAUUUUAGCAAUCAAAGUAGGAGUACUUUUCCAAUAUUUGCAUUCAAUAAGCAAAACCAAAUCGUAAAAUAAAGUAGUAUUCAAAUUAGCAUGCAUUCAAUUAUAACCAAAAGUACAUCAUCUCUUGUGUCCGUACAUCGUCGAAUACUCCUCGAAUACUAUUAUACAUAUAGCAUCGCUAAUUAAUACAGCUAGAACCGUAGCGCCCGACGGGUAUCGUCGCGGGCGGUGGACACCCAAAGAAAAGGAACGAUCACAGGAUCAUAGCUCCGGUGAGAUCCCUGAAGAACCUGCCAGGUAUUGUCGAACCUGCCCUCAAACGCAACCAUGUAACGACGGACGUGCUCGUCCUCCUCGUUGACACGGUGACGUACCACCUCCGCGGUGUCCGGAAGCCUCGGCACCAUCACGGGCCCACGCGACCGCCACCAAAUAAGGAUUGGGUCAACAACGGGCUGCCUCCUCACCAACCUACGUCCCUCAGAAGGUAGCACCUCCCAAUACCAGUCCGGCGGAGCCCAGUCCCGAACAUGGCCCUGAUCAAGUAGGUCUCCACCGCCGAGUCAACGACGACGAGGAUGCGGGAUAGGCAUCGCCGACGUCGAUGCGGGAACUACAUACUUCUUUAUAUAGUUAAAUAAAGUAGUUUUAUUAAUUAAAUCAACUAUCUAGUUCAACUACUAAGCACUUACUAUAAAUAAAUAAAGUAGUACUUACUAAAAACAAAGUAGCACUUACUACAAAUAAAUAAAGUAGCACUUACUAUAAAUAAAUAAAGUAGCACUUACUGCAAACUACUUCUAUAUAUAGUUAAAUAAAGUAGUUUUAUUAAUUGAAUCAACUAUCUAGUUCAACUACUAAGCACUUANNNNNNNNNNNNNNNNNNNNNNNNNNNNNNNNNNNNNNNNNNNNNNNNNNNNNNNNNNNNNNNNNNNNNNNNNNNNNNNNNNNNNNNNNNNNNNNNNNNNNNNNNNNNNNNNNNNNNNNNNNNNNNNNNNNNNNNNNNNNNNNNNNNNNNNNNNNNNNNNNNNNNNNNNNNNNNNNNNNNNNNNNNNNNNNNNNNNNNNNNNNNNNNNNNNNNNNNNNNNNNNNNNNNNNNNNNNNNNNNNNNNNNNNNNNNNNNNNNNNNNNNNNNNNNNNNNNNNNNNNNNNNNNNNNNNNNNNNNNNNNNNNNNNNNNNNNNNNNNNNNNNNNNNNNNNNNNNNNNNNNNNNNNNNNNNNNNNNNNNNNNNNNNNNNNNNNNNNNNNNNNNNNNNNNNNNNNNNNNNNNNNNNNNNNNNNNNNNNNNNNNNNNNNNNNNNNNNNNNNNNNNNNNNNNNNNNNNNNNNNNNNNNNNNNNNNNNNNNNNNNNNNNNNNNNNNNNNNNNNNNNNNNNNNNNNNNNNNNNNNNNNNNNNNNNNNNNNNNNNNNNNNNNNNNNNNNNNNNNNNNNNNNNNNNNNNNNNNNNNNNNNNNNNNNNNNNNNNNNNNNNNNNNNNNNNNNNNNNNNNNNNNNNNNNNNNNNNNNNNNNNNNNNNNNNNNNNNNNNNNNNNNNNNNNNNNNNNNNNNNNNNNNNNNNNNNNNNNNNNNNNNNNNNNNNNNNNNNNNNNNNNNNNNNNNNNNNNNNNNNNNNNNNNNNNNNNNNNNNNNNNNNNNNNNNNNNNNNNNNNNNNNNNNNNNNNNNNNNNNNNNNNNNNNNNNNNNNNNNNNNNNNNNNNUAAGUGCUACUUAUAUAGCAAAGGCUUUGGUCCCGAUUCGUGGCACAAACCGGGACUAAUGCACCCCUUUAGUCCCAGUUGGAGCCACCAACCGGGACCAAAGGCCUCUUUUCAGCAGCCCAAAGGGCGGGAAGCAGAGGGCUUUGGUCCCGGUUGAUGCCACCACCCGGGACUAAAGGGGGACAUUGGUCCCGGUUGGUGCCACCAACCAGGACUAAAGAGGGGCAUUGGUCCCGGUUGGAGCCACCAACCGGUACCAAUGGACCCGUCUAAUUACUUAUUUAUUUUCUGCAGCUUUUUUUUUGUUGAUUCUUUCUGCAGCUGUUUUUUUAGUCCCACCUCGCCAAGCGAGAGGCACUCGCAGCUGUUUAUAAGCCCUGAGUGCAGAGACGAUGAAGAAGAGGCUCAAUGCUCACCUGCACGUUGGUUCGCUUCAAGCCUUAGGAAUAGGGUAGACUGCACGGAGCUAUGUGCAGUGUAGUUUACACUUUUCUGAAAGGCUUGAAGCGAAUUAACUAGCAUUGCACCUCUUUUUUAUUUAUAAUGACUUAUUACCACACAGAAAUAAAUAGAAAAAAAUAAAUAUAGCAGAAAAGAAAAAAAACUAUAUAAUAAACUACUCAGANNNNNNNNNNNNNNNNNNNNNNNNNNNNNNNNNNNNNNNNNNNNNNNNNNNNNNNNNNNNNNNNNNNNNNNNNNNNNNNNNNNNNNNNNNNNNNNNNNNNNNNNNNNNNNNNNNNNNNNNNNNNNNNNNNNNNNNNNNNNNNNNNNNNNNNNNNNNNNNNNNNNNNNNNNNNNNNNNNNNNNNNNNNNNNNNNNNNNNNNNNNNNNNNNNNNNNNNNNNNNNNNNNNNNNNNNNNNNNNNNNNNNNNNNNNNNNNNNNNNNNNNNNNNNNNNNNNNNNNNNNNNNNNNNNNNNNNNNNNNNNNNNNNNNNNNNNNNNNNNNNNNNNNNNNNNNNNNNNNNNNNNNNNNNNNNNNNNNNNNNNNNNNNNNNNNNNNNNNNNNNNNNNNNNNNNNNNNNNNNNNNNNNNNNNNNNNNNNNNNNNNNNNNNNNNNNNNNNNNNNNNNNNNNNNNNNNNNNNNNNNNNNNNNNNNNNNNNNNNNNNNNNNNNNNNNNNNNNNNNNNNNNNNNNNNNNNNNNNNNNNNNNNNNNNNNNNNNNNNNNNNNNNNNNNNNNNNNNNNNNNNNNNNNNNNNNNNNNNNNNNNNNNNNNNNNNNNNNNNNNNNNNNNNNNNNNNNNNNNNNNNNNNNNNNNNNNNNNNNNNNNNNNNNNNNNNNNNNNNNNNNNNNNNNNNNNNNNNNNNNNNNNNNNNNNNNNNNNNNNNNNNNNNNNNNNNNNNAUUAACUUUACUAAAAAAAUGAGCAUAGAUGCUUAUUUUUAAUGACUUAUUACCACACGGAAAUAAAUAGAAAAAAAUAAAUAUAGCAGAAAAGAACAAAAAUUAUAUAAAAAACUACUCAGAAAUAAAUAGAAGAAAAAAUAGUUGUGAUUAACUUUACUAAAAAAAUGAGCAUAGAUGCGCUUAUAGAGAAAAUUCAACCUAAAUUUAUAAUAAAUUUCUACUAACUUCAGAGAAAUUCAGUAUGAAUUUAGAUCAAAUUUCCUGUAUAAGGGCAUCUAUUUUCAUUUUGAGAGGAGCUCAACAAGGCAGAGAGGGAGGGGCUUAUAAACUGGUGUGAGCCCCCUUCGGUUGGCGAGGUGGGACUAAACUCUGGCCGCAACGAGGACCAACCCUUUAGUCCUGGUUGGUGUUAUGAACCGGGACUAAUGGGGACCUUUGGUCCCGGUUCAUGCCUCCAACCGGGACCAAUAAUGGUGGGCCAGGAGCGAGGACCAUUGGUCCCGGUUCGUCCCACCAACCGGGACCAAAAGGCCCAGACGAACCGGGACCAAUGGCCCACGUGGCCCGGCCGGUCCCCGGGACUCACGAACCGGGUCCAAUGCCCCCAAUGGUCCCGGUUCUGGAUUGAACUGGGACUAAUGGGCUGACCCGGUCUGGACCAAUGCCCCUUUUUCUACUAGUGUCACAAAGGAGUGAUUUUGACCAAAGAUAAUUUACUAAAAUGAAAUUGGGUUGGUAACUACAAAUGUUGUUUUUGUGACCAAAAUGAAUCGAUUAAACACCUCUUUCUCCGAUGUACGCUUGCACAAAUGUUAUGGAGAUCAAUCCAUAUAGCUUUUAACAUUCAUCCCCCAACGAGCAUACGUUAUUUGGGACGUGGCUUAAUGGAGUGGAUAAACACAUAGCUAAACAUAUUCGGAUAGGGAUAUGUGCACUUUUAUGGGCUAUAUGGAACACGAGAAAUGAUAUGAUCUUUAAUGGGACAAACUUUGCUAAUUUUUUGCAGGUCAUCUGCAGAGCUACUGCUUGGAUCCGUAUGUGGCCGUUACUCACUCAUGCGGACUUCAGGGAGCCUUUGGAUAUUGGGUGCAACCGCUGGAAGAGGAUAGCACGGGCUAUCUUCAGCCGAUUUGGAUGACGAGUUAAUAAUAGGCUAGGUGUGUAGGCAUCGUAGUCUAUUUUUCAUCGCUGGAUAUGAAGCGUUUUUGCCGAAUGUGGCACGUUACAGAUUUAUUUUUCUCUUUGCUUGGUUUAUGGGCUGCAUUGGAACUUAAGACCUUGUUACAUUUUUUUAUAAUAUGGCCGUAUGCAUCGAUUGAUGUAGAGGCUGGAGGUAAACCUCAUUUUUUUAAAAGAAAAACUUCUUUCUUCCAAUGUUUGCCUAGAGAGAAUGCCAAAACAUAUGCUAAUCUUGUUAGGUAGAGGCAAGAUUUGAGAAGCAUUUGAAGUUUUGAACAACUAAACUCGUGUCAGUGACAGCUAAGUAAUUACUCCACUCCAGAUUAACACUAACAGAUAUUAGCUUUAUUAUAGAUUGGACUAUGCUCGACAUUUAUCUAUUCAAGAUUAAGAUGAUGGGGGAAAAUGUGAACACCAAGGCCCAUUUCUCAAGGAAAGGGAACGGAAAAACAUAACCCAUUGGUCCAUAAUGAAGAACUGAAAGCGAGAUACAAAGAAGUAUCUGCAUACAGAACUGAACAUAUACAUCAGUUAUUUGUGGCACAUUUCCAUAGGACAGAAAUGAAGUUUCUAGCUUUUAUAGGACCAAAGAAAUGUGACACUCAGUACCAGCUACAAACCCAUCAAUGGAAAAUAGCAGCAAGCAUGUUCACUGAACACCAUGGAGCAACAUCCAUCCAGAGAGCAAAAUUAGGUUAACCAAUUUUCAUAGGAAACACGUGGAACUAUUAUAUGUCAUAUCCUCUUUAUACAUUGAAGUUAUAUUUGUCAUUCACGUAAUAAAAUAUGGGACAGGCUACACGUCAAUCGCCUGAAAAACAUAAAACGGUCAAUCGAUCCUCCUUCUCCUAUAUCAACUGUUCGAUUAAGAUCCAAUAGACGUUGUUCGUCUUCAACCUUUGGCAGAUCUUCUUCCUCUCUCUCACCCGCCGAUCCAGCCCAGCCCUAACCGUCGGCCCCGCCGCCCGCGGCCGGCGGCACUCCCGCGACCGCCUUGCCGUCCCGCCCUCCCCUGAACCACCCCCACCGCCAGUCUUCCACUAUCGCCGGCCAUCCCUGACUGGGGGAUGACCCUCGGAUAGGCCCAAGACGGCAAACGACGCUACAAAAUCAUCGGGGCCAGCAACGCCCCUCAACCCGGCUCGCACUUGGUCAUGUCCCUCAACCCGGCUGAACUCCUCAACCCGGCUGCCCGGCCGGGUCCCUGUUCGGCUGCUCCAGCCGGCCUGCUACGCGAAGUCAACUACGGUGUCCCAUCUGACGCGACAUAGACAAGACUGCCAUACUGCGACCACUGUUGCUGAUAAAGCAUACGCUGUUCACUCAUCGCGCGCGACAUCAUUUACAGUGUACUUUGUCCCCCGGGCAUUGAUUUAUAAAAUACCAUAGGGACAAAACUUAGCCUAACUCUCAAGCAAGCAUACCUUGUGAUAUAAGCCACACGUUGUAGCUUACAUCCCAAGCUCACGCCCAUGCCUACCUAACUUACAUGCCAAGCUAGCCCCCACUAUAUAAGCUAGCUCACAUCCAUUCAUCCAGGAGGAUGGAGACCCACGGGCACAUGCUCAUACUCAUGCAUGCCCAAGCACUCACUAGGCCACAACACUCAGCCACACCCACGUACUAGUAGAUGAGCACUUGGCUCUCUCACGCAUUCAGUAAUACAACUUUCGGAGCAACUCUGUACUGCCAGAUAUGUACACUUCAUAUAUAUUCAGACAUGCAGUAGAGGUAUUAUCUCUCCGGAGAGCUCCGAACCUGGGUAAUCACCACGUGUUGUUUGGCCAAUCACGUCCCUUGACCUCCAAAGCAGUCUUGCCCUCACCACAAGCCACCUCGUGGCAUCUGUCGUCUCGCGAACCCGCCCGCGAGAUAACCACGACAGUUGGCGCCCACCGUGGGGCAAGCUGCCGCGGAACCGCGGUCCGGGCGGGACCAUUUUCGUCAUCUCCGCCGCGACGUCGCCGCCGUCUCUCCGGUCGCACUCGAGGGCUCAACAUCAACUCACCCCGGGGUGACCAUGCGGAGCGGCGCGUCCUCGUCGUCGGCCUCGCCAUCUUCGUCAUCGUCACCGCAGCGUCGCACCGUCGCUCCAGUAGCGCUUCGAGGCUCUACAUCAACACGCCCCCGGCACGACCGUACGGGGUGGCGCGUCGUCAUCGUUCGCCUUCAGUCUGCGCGCUCGCCGCUCCGGCUCUUGCUCCUCGCCACCUCCGUCCGCACACGUACGCGCUGCUCCGCCUCGCUUCAGUCAGCUGCAUGCCCGCAUCCAUUCAUGCUCUGCUCGCCUCCGCUCCCUUAGGCGGUGCGUCUAGCUCCGGUCAGAAUGUGCGGUCGCUCCUCCAUACACUGAGCUCAAGCUCGUCCACGGCCGGACAAAAGCCAGACAUUUCCCAAGCACGUCCCAGACAAUAGCUAUGCACUACCCAGAGUAUAGUCAGACACUUACCGUAUGACAAUGGUUAGAGCAUCUCCAACAACCGCGCGAAACGACGCGCGCGCGGGGUGUUUUGCCGCGCUCCAGCGAUGGCGGGAUAAUCACACGCGCAGGAAUCGUUUGCGCGCGCGCGAAAAGGCGCCAGCUCGCGCCUCAUUUUUUGCGCACCGUUUCCGGCGCGCCUAUAAAGUGCGGUGCGCGCCACGCGCCUCUCCACGCCUCCUCUUCUCCUCUUCCUCUCCCUCUCUGCCACGCGCCGCUCCAGCGCCCCUCCACCGAUGCACCUCCACCGCCCCAGCGCCCCGCCAUGCCGCCGCGCCGUCGAGGAGCGUCCGGCUACCGCGGCGUCCGACUGCGCCCCAACGGCGGCUACUAUGCGGAGAUAUACUACGGCGAUCUCCGGCUCGGCCUCGGCACGAAUGGGACGGCGCGCGAGGCCACCCACGCGUACGACGCGGCGGCGUGGCGCCUAGGCCGGCCGCGCGGCCAGAUGAACUUCCAAGAUGUGUACACGCUCCAGCAGGCGCUCGACGUCGCCUCGCCGCCUCGUCUGAACACGACACAAGACCGUGCGGAGCACGCCGAGCGGCAGCGCCGCCUCCUCGUCACCCAGGAGGACAAGCGGGUCAUGGCGGAGUGGCGCCGGCGCCACCCGAAGGACGUCGCCUACGAGCAAGUCUACUGGGCAAGGCGUCGCGAGGAGGACAGGCGAAGGCGCCGCGAGGCGCGGUUAGACAGGCGUCGGCGGAAGGCGUUGGCGAACGUGCAGUCCGAUCUCGUUGCAGCAGGUGGGAGGUCGUUCUUCACGGAGAACGAUGAUCGUUGGUUGGACAUAUGGCUAUCAACCUCGGACGACACCGCCGAGGAUGAUAAUGGUGAUGAUGAUGAUAGCGACUUAGAAUAGUUUUUUAUGCUAUCUAUUUAGUUUUUUAUCGUUUGUCGUUUUUAUUUUAUGCAAUGUAUGUUUCCGAUGUAAAAUACCUUUGUAUCGUUUAAAUUCCUAUGCAAUCUAUCUAGUUUAUAUGCUUCCAAUGCCUACAUCCAGUUUGUAGAAUGAGCGCGCGGAAAUUUUUUGCGCGGCUGCUGGAGCGGCGCGCGCGCUGCAUUUUAGCAUGGCUACUGGAGCUGGCGCUGCACGCCGUGCCAAACCAGGCGAUGGGCGCGCGCUAAAGCCAUUUUUUGCGCGCAGCGCGUUCGGCGAUUGUUGGAGAUGCUCUUAUGCGCUAGCAAACCGACGCUCGGGGUCCCGCUCCCUCCUCAGCCUCCACGUCCACGGCCGCGGUUCUCGCCUCGCCCAGCUCCGGUCCAGCGCCUCCGCCUCGCCCCCGCAUCUCUGACCGUCCUCUGCUUUGAGCGCCGCGUCCCCGCCCCUGUCUGCAGCUCCCCUGCAUGGUCUCUGCUCGGGUUGUCCGCGCCGACGACACCCUCGCCAGCUCCGGCCGGACGCCCCGUGCCCGUCGGCUUCGCCCUGGCCGGCUCCGCCUACGCCGACGGCCUCGCUUCCGCGCUCCCGGCAGGCUCCGAGUCCCCGCCGAGUUGCCUCCACCUACAGACGGCGCCGGCUCCGCCCUGCGCUGGCCGGCUUCCCGGCCACCCCUGCCGGCUCCACGCCUCCUCACGCCGCUGGCCCUGAGGGGCUCCUCCGCCCGACCCGGUCGCCACGCCAAGCUUGCCAUCCUCCGCGCCGGGUCCUUCCCUCCCCGGCUCCGCGUCCGCGAGUCCGCCUCGCCAGGCCGGCCUCCCGCACGUCGGCCUCGCGUCGCCGCCUCUAGCCAACCGCUGCUCCGGGCCGACUCCUGCCGCCAGGUCACCGCGCGGCAGCGCCCGCGGCCCCCCGCCUCAACCGCGCGACCGCCGGGUUGACAGCGCCCCCGCAUUCGGCUCCUUCCCCGUGCCGGCUUCGCCCCGUCUCGCCUGGAUGCCUCACGCGCGCGCCACGCCGGUUUCGCCUCCAUCCACGACCGACCUCUCACGGUCCUGGCUGCGUCCCGUCGCCCCCGCCUUCGCGUGCCGGCCCCGGGCCGGUUUCCCGUCGCCGCCUCGCGACCCCAAUCCGCCGUGCUGCAUCCGCACCUCCAGGCACUCCGGCUCGCCGUCCUGCACGCCCGUGCCGGAUCGCCUCCGGCCCCGUCCACCCCGGGCACAGCCGUGCCUGGCCUCCUCCACCAUCCCGACUCCCGCGACCCGGCCGGUCGGCUCCCGCGCUCGUCGGCUUCCCCGCAACCCGGCCGCCGGCUUCACCGCGACCCAGACGCCGGCUGCCGCCGUCCCGCUCCUGCCGACUGCUCAGGCAGUGAAAGAGAUGCCAACUGAAAAAAAAGAAGAAGAAAGAAACAAUGUGAGUCCAGCUGCACAGGUCGGCUGGAGAGAAAAAGAAAAAAAGAACAAAACGAAGGCUUAGAGGCCUCCGUCCGUUCGCGACGCCGCUCCAUCGACUGUCCUGUCCGCCUCGACGUCCCGCCGGCUGUGCUAAGGGCAUGUACAAUGGUUCUAUCUUAGCAAUGCCACGUAGGAUAAAUGAUAAGGUGGAGGAGAGAGAAAUCAUAAGAGAAGGCUUGUCUUCUCUUAAUUAAGAGAAGGCAAGAGAUGAUCUCUUAGCACAAUAUGUCUCACCACGUUUUUUAGGAAUAACUAGUUUUUGAAGAUAAGACUAAGAGAUGACCCAUUGUAGACAUGUUUUUUUGUCAUCUAUAAAUUACAUGCAAGAUUUAAGAUAAGGCUACCUUAUCGACCAUUGUACAUGCCCUAAGCCAACCCGGCCGCUCGUCCGCCUCGACACCCGUUCGGUCGGACCCGACCGGCUGGGACCCCCCUUCGAGUAUCCGGAGGCUCGAAGGCUACCCCUAGUGGGUGUAUCGGCAUGCUAGCGCCAAGCCGCGCCGGCUGUCAUCGACAACCUCCACCUCGUCUACAUGAAAAUCAAUGUGAGCUCCUCACCUGCAUACUUUUGUGCCACGCGCAAACAUGGAUAACCCCGAGCAACCCUCGGGGACCACCUCCGUCUUUAUUACAGUUGCGUCACUGUUCGCCCUGGCGUCGGCUAGUCUCGGCCCGAUACGUUCGUUCUCGCAGAUGGCUUAGUAGCGCAUACGGUACCAAAGGCCCACUCUCAGCCACAGACCCCAGCGCGGCUGUCCGGCAAGUGAGAGCAAAAGCUGGAGGUCACCCCACGCAAAAAAUGAUCGGGAGAAGACGGCUUGGGCAACCCAUCCGUUUCUUUUAUGAGUAUCUACUCGGUCGAAUCUGCUCCUGUAGUUCGAGUACUGUACGCUCCACUCCGCGGCCACUCUUCGUAACAGCUAGAGGCCGGCUCCGAGGUGUCUAGCUAACAAGAGGCAAAGCCAAAGAGCAGAGGGGACAUGAAAAAGACUGAAGGGGGCUCGGACGAAACCGAGUCGGCACCCUCCGCAUAAAACUUACAAUGCUGAAAGCAAACAUUUGAUAUAUAUGCACAGACUAACUUUGUCUUUUGCACGAUCAUCGCUGUGGGGAACCCCCUCCUCGCCCGGAGACUCGGAGGCUACAUGCGGGUUGCGGGCCCGACGCCGGCCACAACCGGUGUUUCCAUCGCCGCUGUCCACAUCAUCAACAACAAAGACCCUUCGCCCAACUUUUCCAAGUUGCACGGAGGCUCGCGGGCUACAUGCAGUGGGUGAGCUCGCAUGCCCCCACUCAGCCGGCGGACUCCGCGUCCGCGUCCGAAAGGGCCCCGCACCCUCCAGCCGGCGGACUCCACAUCCGCGCCCGGCACCCUCGACAUCACCAUCGGCUUCAUCAACAAUAGCAAAGACCCUCCGCCCAACUUUUCCAAAGUUGCACGGAGGCUCGAAGGCUACACCCACUGGGUGCGUUCGCGCGCCCCCACUUAGCCGGCGGACUCCAUGUCCGCGUCUAGUAGGGCCCCGCACCCUCCAGCCGGCGGACUCCGCGUCCGCGCCCGGCACCCUCGACAUCACCGUUGUCUUCAUCAACAACAGCAAAGACCCUCCGCCCAACUUUUCCAAAGUNNNNNNNNNNNNNNNNNNNNNNNNNNNNNNNNNNNNNNNNNNNNNNNNNNNNNNNNNNNNNNNNNNNNNNNNNNNNNNNNNNNNNNNNNNNNNNNNNNNNNNNNNNNNNNNNNNNNNNNNNNNNNNNNNNNNNNNNNNNNNNNNNNNNNNNNNNNNNNNNNNNNNNNNNNNNNNNNNNNNNNNNNNNNNNNNNNNNNNNNNNNNNNNNNNNNNNNNNNNNNNNNNNNNNNNNNNNNNNNNNNNNNNNGGCGGACUCUGCGUCCACGUCCGACGGGGCCCCGCGCCCUCCAGCCGGCGGACUCCGCGUCCGCGCCCGGCGCCCUCGACGUCACCGUCGGCUUCUUCAACAACGGCAAGACCCUCCGCUCAACUUUUCCAAAGUUGCCCGGAGACUCGGAGGCUAUGCCCAGUGGGUGCGCUCGCGCGCCCCCACCGGAAGCAAGCCGCGCCGGCUGUGGUCCGCGGCCGGCCGUCAUCGACAUCUACUGCUUCAUCGACGCCCGCUAAACCCCUCCGCGCAACUUUUCCAAGUUGCCCGAAGGCUCGGAGGCUACUGACGGGGGGAUGACCCCCGGGUAGGCCCAAGACGGCAAACGACGCUUCAAAAAUAUCGGGGCCAGCAACGCCCCUCAACCCGGCUCACACUUGGCCGGGUUGCUCAACCCGGCCAUGUCCCUCAACCCGACUGAACUCCUCAACCCGGCCGCCAGGCCGGGUCCCUGUUCGGCUGCUCCAGCCGGCCUGCUAUGCGAAGUCAACUUCGGCGUCCCAUCUGACGUGACACAGACAAGACGGCCAUACUACGACCAAUGUUGCUGAUAAAGCAUACGUUGUCCAUUCAUCACGCGCGACAUCAUCUGGAGUGUACUUUGUCCCCCGGGCAUUGAUUUAUAAAAUGCCUCAGGGACAAAAUCGUAGCCUAGCUCUCAAGAAAGCAUAGCUUGUGAUGUAAGCCACACGCUGUAGCUUACAUCCCAAGCUCACGCCCAUGCCUACAUAACUUACAUGCCAAGCUAGCCCCACUAUAUAAGCUAGCUCACAUCCAUCCAUCCAAGAGGAUGGAGACCCAUGGGCACAUGCUCAUAAGCAUGCAUGCCCAAGCACUCACUAGGCCACAACACUCAGCCACACCCACACACUAGUAGAUGAGCACUUGGCUCUCUCACACGUUCAGUAAUACAACUAUAAGAGCAACUCUAUACUGCCAGAUAUGUACACUCCAUAUAUAUUCAGACAUGCAGGGGUAGGGGUAUUAUCUCUCCGGAGAGCUUCGAACCUGGGUAAAUCACCGCGUGAUGUUUACCCAAUCCCGUCCCUAGACCUCUAAAGUAGUCUUGCCCUCACCACAAGCCACGUCGUGGCAUCUGUCGUCUCGCGAACCCGCCCGCGAGAUAACCACGACAAUCCCUCUAAGCCCCCCAUGCCGAGGUGUUUGUGUUUCUUCGGCGAAGUCCCACACCACCGCCCCACCACCAGCCCCCACCACCGCCAUGCCCCUAAACCCUAAGAUAGAUACUGGGGUAGCCUGCCCAAUGAGCUUCUUCCUCCCCUCCGGUGAGUUGCUUCCUCCCCUGCAGCUUUUUCUUCCUUCAACCAAAAUCGAUUGACCCAAAAUUCGAAAGUCAGGCAAUUGACAAGUAGCUAUUGUGAUAAAAUAUAAGAAUAGACAAAAAGGGAGCUUAAGAGGAAGGGAGCAUAUGGUUCAAAGUUCAAUGGUAAGGCAUUGUUUAUUAGGAGGUUGAACACCCUUUCCUGAGAUAACUGUUUCAUUUAUCGGACAAUGGAAAAAGCAGCAGCUAGAUGACAAUAGAAAAUAGUGUGAUCAUUAGAUACAAAUUUACCCUUUUCAUUUAUAAUGCUCUUUGCUUUAGCCCAGAAACCCAUUGUUUACUUCGCCUCAGGACUCCAUUCAGAAAUAUCUCUUUCAAGGGAUUGUUUUAUAAGCUAUUCGCAAUGGCAGAUUAAAGACGGGACAUAAUAAAACGAAAUAUGUAUUACUCCCUCCAUCCGGAAAAGCUUGUCCUUCAAAUGAAUGUAUCUAGCACCAAGUUAGUGCUAGAUACAUUCUUUUCCGGAUGGAGGGAGUACAUAAGCAGAGUGUAGAUUAAGUUGGUAGUCCCUCUGUUCCAUAUUAAGUGUCACUGAUUUUGUACAACUUUGUACUAAAUCAGCGACGCUUAAUUGGAAUGGAGGGAGUAAUGACUAAACAUUCAGGACAUGAUUAAUGAACUGUUAAGGGCUACUGAAAAUAAAGGCACAAAAAGAAUAGACUUGAUUUUGUUCUUACAUGAAAACCAACAGCAAAGAGCAACUCAUAUUGCAGUCUCCUAAUUAAAUUCAUGCGUAGCAUCAAAGCUAUGUGUCUAAUCCUAUGGAAUUACAUGAAAAAAAGAAGAAAAAUUGCAUCAUGUAGGUAGCUCAUAGUUAUGUGCAUUAGCUAAACCCGAACCUCCUCUAGAAGGCAUCAUUGAUGAACCCACAAAAUCAACAACACUGCAAGUUCCACUGCAAUUUGUUUUGAGACUUUUUACAUGCCAAGAAGCAUUUUAUCAGUAGGAUUCUACUCUGCCUACAAUGAGAACGAAUUCGAGGCCGAGAUUGUGGUGGCAGCCCCAAUCCCCUUGCCAAGCUUAGAGCAUGUCUAGUAGAGCCCUUAAACCCUUAAAUCUAAAACCAGUUUUAAGGGUUGAGAAUUGGCCAUUUUUUUUAUACUUUUAAGGGUUGAAAAACAGGGGCAAAGGCUAGAACCCUUAAACCCAACCCUUAUAACAGAAUAUUCCGUUAUAAGGGUUGGGUUUGAGGGUUCUAGUCUUUGCCCCAACCCCACCCCUUAAAACUGUCAUUUGACAUAUCACAAUUUUCAUUAGAAAAACGCAAUCAACCUUCAAACAAACACGGAAAUGAAGAUCAUUGAUGCAUGGUUUAAUAGUUUACAUCACACAAUCAUCAUCUUCCCCCUCUCAUCGGCACCAUCACCAAAAAGUUGCACCUGGCGCCAUCUCCUAGACCACUUCCACGUCCAUCAAGCACCUCCAUUGUCGUUGGUGGUGGAGUUCUCCACACCGCCAUCGCCACCACCACUCAUCGGAGUGUCACCUCGAAGAGUAGAGGACGCACCAUGGAAUAUCCUCUUCCUCUCCGCGAUGUCCUGCUUGUACUCCUUCCACCAUAUCAAUUGGUCUUCAUCCGUGUCCUUGGAUAUCAUCAUGUGCGCCUUCUCUUCCACCAUGAGUUCUUUCCAUGCCUUUGCUUCUUUGACCUUGAUCAUCCUCUCCUUCAAGUCGGCCUUGCGCUUGGCAUCUUCAUGCCUUGCUUCAACUUGUGCAAGCUUCACCUCUUUCUUCUUCUCGUUGAUAAGAAGCUUUGUCUCCAAUGUCUUCAUUGUCAAUGCCUCCCUUGACUUCAUCAUGUGCUCUAUUUUCUCCCUUAUGCUUGACGCCUCUCCGUCCAUCUUCUUCCUUAGCUUAUCCUUCUUGUUUCCAGCGGGCUUGUGCUCGUUCCUUGCCUUAUCUUCACUAUCAUCCAUCCUAAGCAUUGCCGACUUCUUGGGUGCGGUCUCUUGAUCCCUUAACUUCCACUUGUCAUAAGUUUGAAGAAUUUUCCAAACAUGUUUAAAUGGGAAUGCUUUGCCCUUGGAAGCGGCCAUCUCCUUGUACCUCAAGUCGGCAAUUUCCUCCUACAAACCCACCAAUAGCAUAGUAAACAUAUAUGUACUCACAUAACAAAAGCAUAAAAAAUCAAAAUAAAUGUGAAAAACAUAUAUGUACUCACAUAUUCACUCUCCACGGUUCCACUAGGCGGUGCAUCCUUCACUUGGUCCAUUGCCGCACUCCAACGAGCACAAUGGGGCUUCAUCAACUCCCACCGGCCUUCGGCUUGAUCUUGCAAUAGACGUCCUCUAUGCGUUGCCAAUAGCGAUUACCGGUUUGAUCGGUACCAGUGCUUGCAUCCAACCCCACAUGUGCCCAAGCACGAACCAAGAGAAUAUCUUCGUCCUCGCUAUAGUUUGCUGAGCGCACGGUGGGUUUUGCAACGGCGGCGAACGCCUCCUCCUCUAUCUCGGUCACCUCCUCCUCAUCACCCUCUUCCUGCAAGUAAUCACUAAACCCAAAGGGUUUGAGAGAAGGAGCCCCGAUGUCCACCUCCGCUUCUUCGAGAAGCCCCAUGAACGAUGUUGGCGGGGCAGGCAUUCCGUCGAGCACCUCGUGCACGAUGGGCGGAGGUGCGGGGGCCGGGGCGGGCGGGGCGGCCGGGGCGGCCGGGGCGGGCGUCAGCUUCUUCCUGGAGGUGGUCUUCUUCGCCUUCGGCGCCGCUGCCCCCUUCGGCCCAAGGGAGGGCUUCUUCCUCACCUUCGGCGCCGUUGCGGCCGGGGCGACGGAGGCGACGGCCGGGGCGGGCUGGGGGAGGACGACGUGCUGGCCAGCACGCCGCCUCUUCGCGCCGACGGCCACCGCCGACGGUACCUCCGGUGCGGACAGAGGGAGCAAGGACGGGGUCGGCGCAGGCAUCGCCGAGGCCGAGGCCGGGGGCGGGGCGACGGGUAGAGGGAGGGAGGACACGGGCGGGGCGGCCGAGGCGAUGGAGGAGUCCGGCGGCGCCUCCAUGGCUCGCCGCGGGGCGGCCGGGGCGACGGAGGAGUCCGGCGGCGUCCGACGGGAGGGACCGCGCGAGGGGAAACUUCCCUCCCACGCAACGACCGGUGAAGUGCGGGUUGGAGGUGGGUUUCCCUCUCCAAUCCUUACUUUUACAGAUUGGGAGGGCAACCCCAGAUCCAAUCCGUAAAAAAAAAUUAAGGGUUUAGGGGUUUAGGGGUUCUAGUAUUUGCUGUUUUUUCGUUUUAACCUGUAAAAAAAUGGUUAUUUCUAUUUAUUUAAGGGUUUAAGGGCUCUACUAGACAUGCUCUUAGCGCCGUCGGAAGGGGAACCAGAGGCUACCGAAGCUACGGGCGCUGGACACCGUCAAGGUAGGUGGGAUGGAGCAGCGGGCGUCCUCAAUCCGACUAGAGGACGGCUGCGGGUUGCCUUCCAUAGUAGGAUUCCCCACCGCCUAUCCUACAAUUCAGAAGGGCAAAACAAUAAAAUGUACUCCCUCUGUAAAGACAUAUAAGAACGUUUAGAUCACUAACGGGAGUGAAUUUUUUUUGCUCGUGUGCAAUAUUAGUGAUUUCUAGCAGUGCCAUGAGCGGCGAGUUAGUGAAACUGAAAGAGUUGCUGACACAUUAUACAGUUCUCAAAAGACAAAGAAAUAGUAAUGCGUGUGAUGUUAAUAUAUUACGGCCUCCCAAGCCUGUUUCUAAUUUCAGUAAGUAUCGAGGGGGAUCUCGUCAUCAGCUCCAAGAAACCAUCCGUGAGCGCGACCUUCUUGAAAUUCCCAUCCGCCACCACGAAGUCGAUGCACUCUGUCUUCAGCUCCGGGCAGCUGUACGUGUCGGCACAGUCCAACACGGCGGCGACCGUGUCCACCGACACGUUGUCCAGCAGCCUCCGGGCGCACAGAAGCUUCAGCCGGUUCAGGGCGUACCGGUCCGCCGCGGCAAGAAGGUACCGGAGCGCCUCGUCCUCGCCGGGGUCGCCUCCAAGACCGGCGGAAAGGUCGUCCGUGUAUAUGAAGCGGAGCAUCGCCAUGAGCGUCUCGGGGUCCAUAUCGCGCACCGUGACGGGCGACGACGGCGAGGUGGCCUCCAGCAUCGAGCUGCUGAACAUCGCCUUGAAGACCCGCGAGCGGGCGGCGAGAACAGAACGGUGGGCGCGCAGCGGCGCCGCCUGGUCGUCGCCCACGACGAACGACACGUCCGUCAGUGCGGCGGAGUCCAGUAGGCCGCCGAGAUGAUCUCCUAUGCCCGAUGGCGGCACGGUGUUGACACCAGAUUUUGGCACGGUCAAUAACUUAUUUAAGAUGGCCUCAAAUGGAGAAGUGAUCUUCAUGAAAGAGUUCCGUAUUGUCGAUAUGAACAUCUUUGAAGUUUAGGUCAUUGCAGUCCGAUUUCAUCUCGAAGGCCGAAACUAUGCUCAAAGUACUAAGAUCUUAUAUUCAGAGUACAGUUUGGCUGAUUAAGCCCCCAAGACGACCUCAAAUGGAAAACUUAUCUACACGGAUUGUCUUCGUCUCGUCGAAGCGACCGAUUUUGAUAUAAAAAUAGUUUCAAUCCGAGUUUGUAUGCAAAAGUUAGAGGCAUCGGAAUACAGUCCUGUCACGAGGCAAAAAUUGGCGCGCCCCACCAGACACCCUGUCUGAUGGGUAGCGCGAGGAAUAGCCUAUUUUGCGCGAUCGAUUUGACCCUCAAGAUGACCUCUGAUCAAAAAAUAUUCAACAAAAAAGUUGUUCGUCUCGUUGAAACGGUCAAGAUUUCUUUUGGGCUUGUUUUCAUCCGAGAUCGUUUACCACCACAAAAAAGACCCGCAAGGUGCAGCCAGUUUAAACCGAACAGUUUUGGAAAGUUCGGACAAAACCAAUCCGAAUUUGACUAGGUUUUGAACGUGAAUCCAAGCAUUUUCCUUGCACGGGAAGUCCAGCCUCCUCUUAUAUACCUAAGGGGUGACGGCCGAUUGAACAACACACAAUCGAUCAAAUCAUAUACCACUUUUUAUCUUUUAUCUUUUCUCCUUAACCCUAGUUCUUCUUCUUCCUCGUUCUUCGUUGUUCUUCUUCAUUGCAGGGCGGCGAACCUCGAGGCCCUAGGGGCGGUCAGGCCGACCUAGGGCAGCCCAUAGCCGCCGCGCGCCUUGACGGGGUCCUUCCCGAGCGUGUGGGGUUUCGGGUCCUCAAAAGCACCCGCCGGAUUGCCUGCGUACCACGCUUCCGGCCGGGUCUCCUUCAACGUGAGCUGCGGUGCAUCACCCUCGGCGUUGAAGGUACACGGUGACGUGUUCGUGUGCGAACACACCUUUUUGACGACUCCGCUGGGGAAGAAGCUUUGAACGGUCUCCGGCCUAUUCUUGCUACGAAAGGAUCGUCAUCUAGGGUUUGCAAUCUACAAAGGUAAUAUGAAUACCCAAUUCCCUACUGUAGAUGCAAAUAAUUCAUAUGGUGUUACUAGAUUGUUCAAUGAGUAUACUCUAUCGGCCAGCCCUAGUUUUUUCGAUAAUGCAUCUAAUUACGUGCAAGGGACGAUUCAAAGUAAUUUGCAUGCUUUAAGUUCUUAUGAUACUAGUAACCUACACCAUAUGUAUCCCAACUCUCAUGCAUUGGCAACCCCACAAAUUGUUAUGCCGAUGAACAACAUGGUGAGUUCAGUUAUUUGAAACACCUCAUGUUAGAAUCUCCAAUGCCAUGCAAGAAAGUGUUUCACCCUUUUAUUCAUCGGCAAGUAAUGUGCAAUAUACUAAUCCAACCAUGCCGAUGAACGAGAGAAUUGGCCAUGCUGCUACUAGUUAUUCGGCCAGUUACUCUCAAACGUCAUAUGCUACACCUCAUGUUAGUAAUUCUUUGGCACCAUACACAACUGUAGAUGCUCAUAAUUCGGCUUCACACCUUCCUGGUUAUAGCCGAAUGAAUGUAAAUUUUACAGGAGUGGUUGUGCCCAAUAUUGUAGAAGAUGAGGUAGUGGUGGCUGCAUUGAAGAGUUUAGCCCAAAAUAAGAGAAUUAGUGCUCUUUGCCUUGAACAACAUGAAAAGGGGGCUAUUUCCUGAUUAUGCCGCAAUAAAAGCUAGAGUUUUGCAAGAAGAUGAAUCUUUGCCAAUUGAUAAAAUUGGCGAGCAAAAGGAUGGUCUUACAACAAUGCAUAUGCCUUCACCUAGUACUACAUCAUAUUAUACACCCCCUACACAAUUGUAAAAUUUCGGCAACACCCGUGUAUCAUUGCCGAAAGAAUCUAAAAGCAUUGUGGGGCAAUCAUAUCCGGAGUGGGCUAAAAUUGAGAAAAAGCUUAAAGCUAAUUUUGCAGCUCGCCGUCAGAAACAAAUAGAAAAAGAAUUGGCUCAGAUAAAAGAAGCAUUGCCAAUUGGUAGUAUCAAUGAAAAGAAGGAUGAUUCAGAACAUGAAAGUGCUUCGGUUGAAAAAGCCGAAUCAAGUAGUAUAUAUUUUGUAUCCAUCAAAUCCAACGAGGCAAGCAUUAUUGAGGAAGGGCAUGGCAAGCAUAGGAAAACAACAGUGCUUGAUUUUUCUAAAGUUAAUGGAACCUACUUCCUGCCCUAUAGUUCCGUGUCGUAGAAAUUGACAAGCUUCAAGGACAAGAACAAGUAUCCGAACAAAGUUCGGCCGACAAAAAUCUUCAGUGUAAUGGUGCAUGGAAUAAAGAAAAAGAUGAUGAAAAGGCGUUGGAGAGUCAUCCAAAGAUGAAGCUAAAUAUUAUUCAAGUCGCACCACCAUCAUGCUCUCCCAACGUAUUUGAAGAGGUAUGCAUAGCGAGUAAUUUACCUAUUUUCAGAUUUGGUCACAACUUUAUUGUUGAUGCAUCUAUUAGAAAAAUCCUCAUAGGUAAUUUUGAAAGACCAAUGAAGAAGGGUAAUUUACUUGUUAGCAAUAAAAUUGUUUUAGAACAUAUCGGUCAACCAAUUGUGCCAUUUAUAAAGAUCAAUAAUGACUUAUUAUUGCAGCCAAAGCUUUCCUCGUUGCUUUAUCUAAAGUUCAUAUCUAUUUGGGUAGCUUUGCUUAUUUCGUACUUGGUUUGCACUUGGUCUCAAUUGAGACAUGUAUGUUCAUAUGUUCUAACUAUUUUUAUUUUAGAAAUUUAAAGCCAAGGUUAAAUCCUGUUGAGAAAACUGAUGAUAGUAUAAUAUCUUACCCAAAGACAUCGGAGAUAGAGUGCAAAACAUAAUGCAUAGCCGAAUGGUGUGAUGCAAAAUCUGAACCAUUCGUUUGCUUAACUCCAAAGCCGUUCUCACAACAAGAUCGGCUAGAGAAUGAAAAGUUUACCUUCAAUUCAAGCAUGUGUGAUCAAAUAUUUGAUUUGUUGUUGCAAAAUAAUUAUAUUAGAAGUCUUGAUCACCAUGUUGAACCAUCUGUCCAAGGACGAAUGUAUUGUAAGUUGCAUGAUUCGUCCAAGCAUAAUUUUGAGGAUUGCAACAAGUUUCGUCAAAUAGUUAAAUCGGCCAUUGAUAAAGGACGAUUGAAAUUUGUUGAGACACCAAGAGAUGACCAGUCUAUUCCGAUUGGUCCCGAUGGCAGAAAGUUUUUGCAUCGGCUGCUUCAAGCCGAUCCAUUUGAAGAGAAGGUAAAAACUACAGGUGAUGGGAUCAAGCUUUCAAGUAAAGAAGUUGUUGAAGAGAAUAAUGAACAUAAUCUUGAGGGAAAGAAUUCCAUCGAAGCUACAAUGGAGACACCAAGGACUGGAGGGCAGCAAGCAAAUCCAAUGAUCGAUGAAAGCAAACCAAAAGAAAACAAAGGCCGAAAUAAGCGCAAGUGUAAAAGAUCAAAAAUCACCUUCGCUGAACUAUUGGAUAAAUAUCAAAAAAAGUGUGAAGAGAAGAAUGCUUAUCGGCCAAAUCAUGCAAAGAAACCAAGGUCACCCCCAAGGUGCAAAUAUGAGGAUCGGUAUUGGCAAAGUGAUAAUUUUAAUGCAACAUAUUCAUAUCCUUAUUUUGGGCCGCCAAUGCCAAUGCCGCGGAUACCUCCCUAUGCUCAUAUAGAUACAUAUUCAUCAUGGGACAGGUAUGAUACAAGGGCACAUUCUCCAUCUUAUUCUAGACCAUCACACCAAUACUAUGCAGCUCCAAGGAGAUCAACAUUUGAACAAUCACGCGUCAAAGACCGUUUCAAUCAUAAGGAAUCGGUCCAGAGCUCAAGAAAGAAGAAAGAGGUGGUAAAGCAAAUUUACUGCGUGAAAAGAGAUGGUCGUAAGUAUGCUGCUUCAGAUUUGAUCUCAAAUAAUAAAGAGCCAAUUAAAGUGUUGACAUUGGCUACAAAAGGCAAAGAAGUGAAGCAAUCAAUUGAUAAAAAUCAGAGUGUCAAAUCUGAAGAAAAGAAGUUGAGGGUGCACUGUUGGGGAACGUUGCAGAAAAUUAAAAAAUUUCCUACGGUUUCACCAAGAUCCAUCUAUGAGUUCAUCUAAGCAACGAGUCAAGGGAGAGAGUUUGCAUCUACAUACCACUUGUAGAUCGCGUGCGGAAGCUUGCAAGGUGAUGAUGUAGUCGUACUCGACUUGAUUCGAAUCACCGAUGACCAAGUGCUGAACGGACAGCACCUCCGCGUUCAACACACGUACGGGACGGGAGACGUCUCCUCCUUCUUGAUCCAGCAAGGGGGAAGGAGAGGUUGAGGAAGACAGCUCCACCGGCAGCACGACGGCGUGGUGAUGGUGGAGAGGCAGUACUCCGACAGGGCUUCGCCAAGCACACAACGAAGGAGGAGAGGUGUUGGGGAGGGGAGGGCUGCGCCUUGGAGGGUGGUGCGGCUGCCCUCCCCUCACCCCUCUAUUUAUAGGGGGAAGGGAGAAGGGGCCGGCCCCCUAGAACCCAUCUAGGGGGGGUGCGGCGGCCUAGGGGAGAGGGGAGAGGGUGGCUUGCCCCCCAAGCCAAGGGGAGCGCCCCCUCUAGGGUUCCCCCUCAACCCUAGGCGCAUGGGCCCAAGGGAGGGGGGUGCGGCCAGCCCACCAGGGGCUGGCUCCCUGCCCCACGCAGCCCAUGUGGCCCCCCGGGAGGGGUGGCCCCUCCCGAUGGACCCCCGGAACCCUUCCGGUGGCCCCGGUACAAUACCGGUAUGACCCCGAAACUUCCCGGUGUCCGUUUGACAACUUCCCAUAUAUAAAUCUUUACCUCCGGACCCUUCCGGAUCUCCUCGUGACAUCCAGGAUCCCAUCCGGGACUCCGAACAACAUUCGGUAGUCACAUACUAGUCUUCCUAAUAACCCUAGCGUCACCGAACCUUAAGUGUGUAGACCCUACGGGUUCGGGAGACAUGCAGACAUGACCGAGACGCUCUCAGUCAAUAACCAACAGCGGGAUCUGGAUACCCAUGAUGGCUCCCACAUGCUCCUCGAUGUUGUCAUCGGAUGAACCACGAUGUCGAGGAUUCGAUCAAACCCUGUAUGCAAUUCCCUUUGUCAAUCGGUACGUUACUUGCCCGAGACUCGAUCGUCGGUAUCCCAAUACCUUGUUCAGUCUCGUUACUGGCAAGUCACUUUACUCGUACCGUAAUGCAUGAUCCCGUGUCCAACACCUUGGUCACAUUGAGCUCAUAAUGAUGAUGCAUUACCGAGUGGGCCCAGAGAUACCUCUCUGUCAUACGGAGUGACAAAUCCCAGUCUCGAUCCGUGUCAACCCAACAGAUACUUUCGGAGAUACCUGUAAUGCACCUUUAUAGUCACCCAGUUACGUUGUGACGUUUGAUACACCCAAGGCACUCUUACGGUAUCCGGGAGUUACACGAUCUCAUGGUCGAAGGAAGAGAUACUUGACACUGGCAAAGCUCUAGCAAAACGAACUACACGAUCUUUUAUGCUAUGCUUAGGAUUGGGUCUUGUCCAUCACAUCAUUCUCCUAAUGAUGUGAUCCCGUUAUCAACGACAUCCAAUGUCCAUAGUCAGGAAACCAUGACUAUCUGUUGAUCACAACGAGCUGGUCAACUAGAGGCUCACCAGGGACAUAUUGUGGUCUAAGUAUUCACACGUGUAUUACGAUUUCCGGAUAAUACAGUUAUAGCAUGAAUAAAAGACAUUUAUCAUGAACAUUGAAAUAUAAUAAUACUUUUAUUAUUGCCUCUAGGGCAUAUUUCCAACAGUCUCCCACUUGCACUAGAGUCACCAAUCUAGUUACAUUGUGAUGAAUCGAACACCCAUAGAGUUCUGGUGUUGAUCAUGUUUUGCACGCGAGAGAGGUUUAGUCAGCGGAUCUGCGACAUUCAGAUCCGUGUGCACUUUGCAAAUCUCUAUGUCUCCAUCUUGAACAUUUUCACGGAUGGAGUUGAAACGACGCUUGAUGUGACUGGUCUUCUUGUGAAACCUGGGCUCCUUGGCGAGGGCAAUAGCUCCAGUGUUGUCACAGAAGAGUUUGAUCGGCCCCGACGCAUUGGGUAUGACUCCUAGGUCGGUGAUGAACUCCUUCACCCAAAUCGCUUCAUGCGCUGCCUCCGAGGCUGCCGUGUACUCCGCUUCACACGUAGAUCCCGCCACGACGCUCUGCUUGCAGCUGCACCAGCUUACUGCUCCACCAUUCCACAUAUAUACGUAUCCGGUUUGUGACUUAGAGUCAUCCAGAUCUGAGUCGAAGCUAGCGUCGACGUAACCCUUUACGACGAGCUCUUCGUCUCUUCCAUAAAUGAGAAACAUGUCCUUCGUCCUUUUCAGGUACUUCAGGAUAUUCUUGACCGCUGUCCAGUGUUCCUUGCCGGGAUUACUUUGGUAUCUUGCUACCAAACUUACGGCAAGGUUUACAUCGGGUCUGGUACACAGCAUGGCAUACAUAAUAGAUCCUAUGGCUGAAGCAUAGGGGAUGACACUCAUCUCUUCUUUAUCUUUUGCCGUGGUCGGUGACUGAGCCGAGCUCAAUCUCACACCUUGUAACAUAGGCAAGAACCCCUUCUUGGACUAAUCCAUUUUGAACCUCUUCAAAAUCUUAUCAAGGUAUGUGCUUUGUGAAAGACCUAUGAGGCGUCUCGAUCUAUCUCUAUAGAUCUUGAUGCCUAAUAUGUAAGCAGCUUCUCCAAGGUCCUUCAUUGAAAAACACUUAUUCAAGUAGGCCUUAAUGCUGUCCAGAAAUUCUAUAUUAUUUCCCAUCAAUAGUAUGUCAUCUACAUAUAAUAUGAGAAAUGCUACAGAGCUCCCACUCACUUUCUUGUAAACGCAGGCUUCUCCAUAAGUCUGCAUAAACCCAAACGCUUUGAUCAUCUCAUCAAAGCGAAUGUUCCAACUCCGAGAUGCUUGCACCAGUCCAUAAAUGGAUCGCUGGAGCUUGCAUACUUUGUUAGCAUUCCGAGGAUCGACAAAACCUUCCGGCUGCAUCAUAUACAGCUCUUCCUUAAGAUGUCCGUUAAGGAAUGCCGUUUUGACGUCCAUCUGCCAUAUCUCAUAAUCAUAGUAUGCGGCAAUUGCUAACAUGAUUCGGACGGACUUCAGCUUCUCUACGGGAGAGAAAGUCUCGUCGUAGUCAAUCCCUUGAACUUGUCGAUAAACCUUAGCGACAAGUCGAGCCUUAUAGAUUGUAAUAUUACCAUCCGCGUCCGUCUUCUUCUUAAAGAUCCAUUUGUUUUCUAUCGCUCACCGAUCAUCGGGCAAGUCUGUCAAAGUCCAUACUUUGUUUUCAUACAUGGAUUCUAUCUCGGAUUUCAUGGCUUCAAGCCAUUUGUUGGAAUCCGGGCCCGCCAUCGCUUCUUCAUAGUUCGAAGGUUCAUUGUUGUCUAACAACAUGAUUUCCAGGACAGGGUUGCUGUACCACUCUGGUGCGGAACGUGUCCUUGUGGACCUACGAAGUUCAGCAGUAACUUGAUCCGAAGUACCUUGAUCAUCAUCAUUGUUUUCCUCUUCAGUUGGUGUGGGCAUCACAGGAACGGUUUCCUGCGCUGCGCCACUUUCCCGCUCAAGAGGUAGUACUUCAUCGAGUUCUACUUUCCUCCCACUUACUUCUUUCGAGAGAAACUCUUUUUCCAGAAAGCAUCCGUUCUUGGCAACAAAGAUCUUGCCUUCGGAUCAUAAGUAGAAGGUAUACCCGACAAUUUCCUUAGGGUAUCCUAUGAAUACGCAUUUUUCCGACUUGGGUUCGAGCUUUUCAGGUUGAAGUUUCUUGACAUAAGCAUCGCAUCCCCAAACUUUUAGAAACGACAGCUUAGGUUUCUUUCCAAACCAUAAUUCAUACGGUGUCGUCUCAACGGAUUUAGACGGUGCCCUAUUUAAAGUGAAUGUAGCUGUCUCUAGAGCGUAUCCCCAAAAUGAUAGCGGUAAAUCGGUAAGAGACAUCAUAGACCGCACCAUAUCCAAUAGGGUGCGAUUACGACGUUCGGACACACCGUUUCGCUGAGGUGUUCCAGGCGGCGUGAGCUGUGAAACGAUUCCACAUUUCCUUAAGUGUGUACCAAAUUCGUGACUUAAGUAUUCUCCUCCACGAUCUGAUCGUAAGAAUUUUAUCUUUCGGUCACGUUGAUUCUCUACCUCAUUCUGAAAUUCCUUGAACUUUUCAAAGGUUUCAGGCUUGUGUUUCAUUAAGUAGACAUACCCAUAUCUACUCAAGUCAUCAGUGAGAGUGAGAACAUAACGAUAUCCUCCGCGAGCCUCAACGCUCAUUGGACCGCACACAUCGGUAUGUAUGAUUUCCAACAAGUUGGUUGCUCGCUCCAUUGUUCCGGAGAACGGAGUCUUGGUCAUUUUGCCCAAGAGGCAUGGUUCGCACGUGUCAAACGAUUCAUAAUCAAGAGACUCUAAAAGUCCAUCGGCAUGGAGCUUCUUCAUGCGCUUGACACCAAUGUGACCAAGGCGGCAGUGCCACAAGUAUGUGGGACUAUCGUUAUCAACUUUAAAUCUUUUGGCAUCUACACUAUGAACAUGUGUAAUAUUACGCUCGAGAUUCAUUAAGAAUAAACCAUUGACCAUUGGAGCAUGACCAUAAAACAUAUCUCUCAUAUAAAUCGAACAACCAUUAUUCUCAGACUUAAAUGAGUAGCCAUCUCGCAUUAAACGAGAUCCAGAUACAAUGUUCAUGCUCAAACUUGGCACUAAAUAACAAUUAUUAAGGUUCAAAACUAAUCCCGUAGGUAAAUGUAGAGGCAGCGUGCCGACGGCGAUCACAUCGACUCUGGAACCAUUCCCGACGCGCAUCGUCACCUCGUCCUUCGCCAGUCUCCGUUUAUUCCGCAGCUCCUGCUGUGAGUUACAAAUAUGAGCAACGGCACCGGUAUCAAAUACCCAGGAGUUACUACGAGUACUGGUAAGGUACACAUCAAUCACAUGUAUAUCAAAUAUACCUUUGGUGUUGCCGGCCUUCUUAUCCGCUAAGUAUUUGGGGCAGUUCCGCUUCCAGUGACCCUUCCCCUUGCAAUAAAAGCACUCAGUCUCAGGCUUAGGUCCAUUCUUUGACUUCUUCCCGGUAACUGGCUUACCAGGCGCGGCAACAUCUUUGCCGUCCUUCUUGAAGUUCUUCUUACCCUUGCCCUUCUUGAACUUAGUGGUCUUAUUGACCAUCAACACUUGAUGUUCUUUCUUGAUUUCAGCCUCUGCUGACUUCAGCAUCGAGAACACUUCAGGAAUGGUCUUUUCCAUCCCCUGCAUGUUGUAGUUCAUAACAAAGCUCUUGUAGCUUGAUGGGAGCGACUGGAGGAUUCUGUCAAUGACCGCCUCAUCUGGGAGGUUAAUGUUCAGCUGGGUCAUACGGUUGUGCAACCCAGACAUCUUCAGGAUGUGCUCACUGACAGAACUAUUUUCCUCCAUCUUACAACUGUAGAACUUGUCGGAGACAUCAUAUCUCUCGACCCGGGCAUGAGCUUGAAAAACUAGUUUCAGCUCUUCGAACAUCUCAUAUGCUCCGUGGUGCUCAAAACGCUUUUGGAGCCCCGGUUCUAAGCUGUAAAGCAUGCCACACUGAACGAGGGAGUAAUCAUCAGCACGAGACUGCCAAGCAUUCAUAAUGUCUUGGUUCUCUGGGACGGGAGCGUCACCUAGUGGUCCUUCUAGGACAUAUUGUUUCCUGGCAGCUAUGAGGAUGAUCCUCAGGUUCCGGACCCAGUCCGUAUAGUUGCUGCCAUCAUCUUUCAGCUUGGUUUUCUCUAGGAACGCGUUGAAGUUCAUGUUGACAUUAGCGUUGGCCAUUGAUCUACAAGACAUAUUUGCAAAGGUUUUAGACUAAGUUCAUGAUAAUAAAGUUCUAAUCAAAUUAUGAACUCCCACUUAGAUUAGACAUCCCUCUAGUCAUCUAAGUGUUACACGAUCCGAGUUGACUAGCCCGUGUCCGAUCAUCACGUGAGACGGACUAGUCAUCAUCGGUGAACAUUCUCAUGUUGAUCGUAUCUUCCAUACGAUUCGUGUUCGACCUUUCGGUCUCCGUGUUCCGAGGCCAUGUCUGCACAUGCUAGGCUCGUCAAGUUAACCCUAAGUGUUUUCGCUGUGUAAAACUGUCUUACACCCGUUGUAUGUGAACGUAAGAAUCCAUCACACCCGAUCAUCACGUGGUGCUUAGAAGCGACGAACUGUAGCAACGGUGCACAGUUAGGGGAGAACACUUCUUGAAAUUUUAUAAGGGAUCAUCUUAUUUACUACUGUCGUCCUAAGUAAACAAGAUGCAUAAACAUAAUAAACAUCACAUGCAAUUAUAUAGUUGUGACAUGAUAUGGCCAAUAUCAUAUAGCUCCAUUGAUCUUCAUCUUCGGGGCUCCAUGAUCAUCUUGUCACCGGCUUGACACCAUGAUCUCCAUCAUCAUGAUCUCCAUCAUCGUGUCUUCAUGAAGUUGUCACGCCAACGACUACUUCUACUUCUAUGACUAACGUUUAGCAAUAAAGUAAAGUAGUUUACAUGACGUUAUUCAAUGACACGCAGGUCAUACAAAAAAUAAAGACAACUCCUAUGGCUCCUGCCGGUUGUCAUACUCAUCGACAUGCAAGUCGUGAAUCCUAUUACAAAGAACAUGAUCUCAUACAUCACAAUUCAUCAUUCAUCACAACUUGUGGCCAUAUCACAUCACAUGAUCAAUCGCUGCAAAAACAAGUUAGACGUCCUCUAAUUUGUUGUUGCAUCUUUUACGUGGCUGCAAUUGGGUUCUAGCAAGAAUGUUUUCUUACCUACGAAUCACCACAACGUGAUUUUGUCAACUUCUAUUUACCCUUCAUAAGGGUCCUGUUCAUCGAUUCCGCUCCAACUAAAGUGGGAGAGACAGACACCCGCCAGCCACCUUAUGCAACUAGUGCAUGUCAGUCGGUGGAACCGGUCUCACGUAAGCGUACGUGUAAGGUUGGUCCGGGCCGCUUCAUCCCACAAUACCGUUGAGCAAGAAAAGACUAGUAGAGGCAAGUAAGAUGACAAAAUCCAUGCCCACAACAAAAUUGUGGUCUACUCGUGCAAAGAGAACUACGCAUAGACCUAGCUCUGAUACCACUGUUGAGGAACGUUGCAGAAAAUUAAAAUUUUUUCUACGGUUUCACCAAGAUCCAUCUAUGAGUUCAUCUAAGCAACGAUUCAAGGGAGAGAGUUUGCAUCUACAUACCACUUGUAGAUCGCGUGCGGAAGCUUGUAAGGUGAUGAUGUAGUCGUACUCGACGUGAUUCGAAUCACCGAUGACCAAGUGCUGAACGGACAGCACCUCCGCGUUCAACACACGUACGGGGCGGGAGACGUCUCCUCCUUCUUGAUCCAGCAAGGGGGAAGGAGAGGUUGAGGAAGACAGCUCCACCGGCAGCACGACGGCGUGGUGAUGGUGGAGAGGCAGUACUCCGACAGGGCUUCGCCAAGCACACAACGGAGGAGGAGAGGUGUUGGGGAGGGGAGGGCUGCGCCUUGGAGGGUGGUGCGGCUGCCCUCCCCUCACCCCUCUAUUUAUAGGGGGAAGGGAGAAGGGGGCCGGCCCCCUAGAACCCAUCUAGGGGGGGUGCGGCGGCCUAGGGGAGAGGGGAGAGGGUGGCUUGCCCCCCAAGCCAAGGGGGGCGCCCCCUCUAGGGUUCCCCCUCAACCCUAGGCGCAUGGGCCCAAGGGAGGGGGGUGCGGCCAGCCCACCAGGGACUGGCUCCCUGCCCCACGCAGCCCAUGUGGCCCCCCGGGAGGGGUGGCCCCUCCCGGUGGACCCCCGGAACCCUUCCGAUGGCCCCGGUACAAUACCGGUAUGACCCCGAAACUUCCCGGUGUCCGUUUGACAACUUCCCAUAUAUAAAUCUUUACCUCCGGACCCUUCCGGAUCUCCUCGUGACGUCCAGGAUCCCAUCCGGGACUCCGAACAACAUUCGGUAGUCACAUACUAGUCUUCCUAAUAACCCUAGCGUCACCGAACCUUAAGUGUGUAGACCCUACGGGUUCGGGAGACAUGCAGACAUGACCGAGACGCUCUCAGUCAAUAACCAACAGCGGGAUCUGGAUACCCAUGAUGGCUCCCACAUGCUCCUCGAUGUUGUCAUCGGAUGAACCACGAUGUCGAGGAUUCGAUCAAACCCUGUAUGCAAUUCCCUUUGUCAAUCGGUACGUUACUUGCCCGAGACUCGAUCGUCGGUAUCCCAAUACCUUGUUCAGUCUCGUUACCGGCAAGUCACUUUACUAGUACCGUAAUGCAUGAUCCCGUGUCCAACACCUUGGUCACAUUGAGCUCAUAAUGAUGAUGCAUUACCGAGUGGGCCCAGAGAUACCUCUCCGUCAUACGGAGUGACAAAUCCCAGUCUCGAUCCGUGUCAACCCAACAGAUACUUUCGGAGAUACCUGUAAUGCACCUUUAUAGUCACCCAGUUACGUUGUGAUGUUUGAUACACCCAAGGCACUCUUACGGUAUCCGGGAGUUACACGAUCUCAUGGUCGAAGGAAGAGAUACUUGACACUGGCAAAGCUCUAGCAAAACGAACUACACGAUCUUUUAUGCUAUGCUUAGGAUUGGGUCUUGUCCAUCAUAUCAUUCUCCUAAUGAUGUGAUCCGGUUAUCAACGACAUCCAAUGUCCAUAGUCAGGAAACCAUGACUAUCUGUUGAUCACAACGAGCUGGUCAACUAGAGGCUCACCAGGGACAUAUUGUGGUCUAAGUAUUCACACGUGUAUUACGAUUUCCGGAUAAUACAGUUAUAGCAUGAAUAAAAGACAUUUAUCAUGAACAUUGAAAUAUAAUAAUACUUUUAUUAUUGCCUCUAGGGAAUAUUUCCAACAUGCACAAGGCCCAAAAAGAGUUGCCAUUGCUUGAAAUAAAAUCACAACCGAGAUGCCCACUCGGUUUAUCAUAUUGGCAAAAGAAGAAAUUACAAAAUCUUAGUGCACAAGAGCUGAAAAAGAAGAACAUGGCAUGGGUUCCCAAGAAGGUCAAUCAACACAAAAAUGGUGUGCAUGCUUCUAUUGCAACAAGUACAAUAAAAGUGAACAAGGCAAAUAAUAAAUGCAACAAACAAUUAAGCCGAAGGUGCGCAUCACAACAUCAAAAUCUUCGGUUAGCACAUCAUCCAUUUUCUUCAACCAUGCUGUUGAUGCCUUUGCCAUGGAAUUCAUCCCUAGGUAUGAUCAAUUACCCUCCAUGGAUUUAUUUUGAUCCAUGGAUGCAACAUAAUUUUCUAUAUCAUGAGAGGGUAUUACCAAAUUACCAUACAUUUGGUUAGUUACAUUGUUGCUAAUACAAAGGGGCCGAAAUAUUAUAUUCCUAUUUUAUUUGUUUAUUUCGGCUAUACAUACUUUGGUGGGUGAAUUCUAGAUGGACCUCAUGUUAAUGGCUAAUAUUUAUCUGUUGCCCUAAGAAUAUGUCAAAGCAUGGCCGGUGUAGUAUCCUAACAUCGUCAUUAGUUCAAUUGAAGAGCAAAACAAGCCUCAUGUCGCUUAAAAUAUUUUUUCACAAUGAUCAAAGCCGAAUAUAAAAUUUUAUUCGGUUUGGAGCUUUUGGUUGCCAUAGGUACUAUACACAUUGAGGCUUUCGGUGAUUCGUUAUUAGUAGUGCAACAAAUAUCCAAGGGUUAUCAAUGUUUUGACGAAUCACUUAUAGUUUAUCUUUUGGUAUGUCUAGAUGCAAGAUUUACCUUGGGUUGCUUUUAAAUUGUUCAUAUGUAUAGGCAUGACAAUUCGAAAGAGUUGGCACAGCAAGCGUCCGGCUACUAUGUUAACCAUGGUGUAUUGCAUUUCUAUCAAUAGCCGAUGCUAGGUCUUGUCAACAUAGGUAAGACUGAAUCGAAGCCCACCGCUUCGGCCACUAAUGAAAAUUUUAUGCAGGUGAAGUAAGGAUUGGAGGAAGUUUAUUCUUGAUUAUCUGCAAAAUCCUAGCGAAAGGGUGAACAAUAUGGUUCGGAGGAUGGUUUUGAUCUAUGGAACCUUAUCACCGGAUUGUUAUAGAAGCUGAGAAGUUUUCACCCAAGUUUGCAUCAAGAGGUUCAAACAAGCAAUGGACGAUAUAUACUUGUCGUCCUAAGAACAUGCAAACUGGCCGAUGGAGUGUUGACAUCGUCCUUAGAACAAGCUAUGCGGAAGUUAUUUUUCGGCACACAAACUUUGCCAAAAAAUAGGGGGGCAUGUGUUGACACCAGAUUUUGGCACGGUCAAUAACUUAUUUAAGAUGGCCUCAAAUGGAGAAGUGAUCUUCAUGAAAUAGUUCCGUAUUGUCGAUAUGAACAUCUUUGAAGUUUGGAUCAUUGCAGUCCGAUUUCAUCUCGAAGGCCGAAACUAUGCUCAAAGUACUAAGAUCUUAUAUUCAGAGUAUAGUUUGGCUGAUUAAGCCCCCAAGACGACCUCAAAUGGAAAACUUAUCUACACGGAUUGUCUUCGUCUCGUCGAAGCGGUAGAUUUUGAUAUAAAAAUCAUUCCAAUCUGAGUUCGUAUGCAAAAGUUAGAUCCAUCGGAAUACAGCCCUGUCACGAGGCAAAAACUGGCGCGCCCCACCAGACACCCUGUCUGAUGGGUAGCGCGAGGGAUAAUCUGUUUUACGUGACCGAUUUGACCCUCAAGAUGACCUCUGAUAAAAAAAUGUUCAACAUAAAAGUUGUUCGUCUCGUCGAAACGGUCAAGAUUUCUUUUGGGCUCGUUUCCAUCCGAGAUCGUUUACCACCACAAAAAAGACCUGCAAGGUGCAGCCAGUUUAAACCGAACAGUUUUGGAAAGUUCGGACAAAACCAAUCCGAAUUUGACUAGGGUUUUGGACGUGAAUCCAAGCAUUUUCCUUGCACGGGAAGUCCAGCCUCCUCUUAUAUACCUAAGGGGUGACGGCCGAUUGAACAACACACAAUCGAUCAAAUCAUAUACCACUUUUUAUCUUUUAUCUUUUCUCCUUAACCCUAGUUCUUCUUCUUCCUCGUUCUUUGUUGUUCUUCUUCAUUGCAGGGCGGCGAACCUCAAGGCCCUAGGGGCGGUCAGGCCGACCUAGGGCAGCCCAUAGCCGCCGCGCGCCUUGACGGGGUCCUUCCCGAGCGUGUGGGGUUUCGGGUCCUCAAAAGCACACGCCGAAUUGACUGCGUACCGCGCUUCCGGCCGAGUCUCCUUCAACGUGAGUUGUGGUGCAUCACCCUCGGCGUUGGAGGUACACGGUGACGUGUUCGUGUGCGAACACACGGCUAUCCCAUGUUUCAUCGGGAGGGGCUUGCCGUCGUCGACAACCAAGACCGAACACCUGACCGUGACGCGCCCAUCGCUCCUCGUGUCAUAGUUGUGGAGAUCUCUCUGGUGGACGAACUGAUCGAACCCCCAGAAGUCAUCAUCCCUAUGGUCGUCCUCAGGUGAGUCACUGAAGCCGAAGACAUGCACGGCCCGCCUGUGCCACAAGAAGCGUGACGCCCCUGCCGCCAGCUGGUCGUUUCCCGUAAUGGCGGCGUCGAAGAUGGCCGUGACGUUCUUGGCUUCGUCCAUGAGCUCGAGGUACACGGACACGAAGCUUCCGACGUCGUUCGGGUAGCAUGCUAUCCGCCAUUCGUACCCUCCGGCAGAGAAGAUGUCGGAGUGGAAAACGUGGUCGAAUGGGAACUGAUCGAUCGACAAGUAGUUGAGCUCGAACUCCGCGGCACCGGUGGAAUCCGACAUUGCCGGACGAUUGAUCGAUUAUACAAUGCUAGCUGCUACUGCUGUUUUGUAGACAGAAAUCGUGGGCUCCGUGCGUUAGGGUUUGGGUGUUAGAAUUAACCACGAUUAUGUUAGCUUGUCCGGCACGACUCUUAAACAUCACCGAUUCGUAGCGGUACUAGUUAGCUUCUGGUAUAUAUACCGAAAAAGUCUUUCGCCCUGCUUUAUAUAUAAAGCAAACCGCCCAAGCCAAACAUCCAACAAAGUUUAACACAAACACACACAUACAUGAAGGUCUCGCAGGCGCACAGAGUAAUCAUAAGGGUUAAUAAUGCUGAGGGCACGGCACAACAAGCCCUGAGAACAAAACACACACUCAACACAGCAACCCGAGCAACAUCUAGUCGGGCUCCGGUGGAGGGGGCGGCAGCACAGCAGGGGCGCCACACGGAAAGCCAUCGAGCGAAGGUCGACGAGGAGGGUGUUGAUGGCGUCCCGGUCCUGAGGGCGGCUAAGCGGCCGCCAAAGCUGCAAGUAGCCACACAUUUUAAAGAUCGCGUCAGUCGCACAUCGGAGAGGCACUUUCUGAAUAACAAGCUUGUUGCGGAUGGUCCAAAGCGUCCAGGCGAGGACCCCAACGCACAGCCAUCUAAUAUGGCGGUAGCGAGGGGAGGAGGCGUGGAUCUCCGCAAGUAAGUCGGGGAAGUCAGUGUUGCACCACUGUCCACCGACCGUCUCGCGGAAGUAGGCCCACAGGAACUGGGCAGUGGAGCACGAGAAGAAGAUGUGGUUAGCAUCCUCCACCGUGCGGCACAUGGGGCACAUCCUAUCUCCUGGCCCAUUACGCUUGAGGACCUCAACCCCAGAGGGGAGACAUCCAUGGAUCGACUGUCACAGGAAGAUACGGAUCUUCAAAGGCAGUCGAAUGUCCCUGAUAAGGCUAAAGGGCUUAGGGGCUGAUGACGGUGCGAUGGCGGCGUACAAGGAUUUAGUGGAGAAGCGGUCAGAAGGCUCCAGACGCCAAGUGAAGGAAUCCGGAGUAUCCUCGACGUCCAUCGGCAUAUAGGCAAUGUCCCGGAGGAGGGAGUCCCAAGCAGCCACCUCAGGGGGGCCAAAGGGCGCCGGAAAGCGAGAUGCCCUAAGUCAAUAAGAGCCAUCUCGAUAGAAACCCGAGGGUCAACCGCAAUGGCAAAUAGUUCCGGGAAUCGAGCAGCCAAGGGGGAAUCCCCUAAUCAACGAUCGAACCAGAACAGUGUCGAGGACCCGGAGCCAAUCGAGAUGGAUGUGCCGAUGCGAAGGACGGGAAGGAGCUGAAUCACAGCCUACCAGAACUGGAAGCCACCAGAGCGCUGGCAGAAAGCUAGAGGUUGACCCCUGAGGUACUUAUUUCGGAUGAUGGUAAGCCAGAGUCCUUCCUUCCUAUUGGCGAUACGCCAAAGCCAUCGGGUCAGAAGAGCAAUGUUCAUGCGCUUUGGUAUAUAUGUAUCCCCUUGUAAUCAUAUUAUUAUACUAGAUCAGAGCAAUAAAAUCUACGGAAAUGCUACAAGUCUCACAUCAAGUUUUUAGACAUGACAAAUCAAAUAUUUUCAUGGCAAUUUAUAUUGACACGAGGAUGACACUUUAGUUUGAGCACCACAAUUUUUUUGACAAAAAAUGAACUCAGGCGGAUUUGCCGUGCUCGCCAACUAAAGUUGUCAUUCUCAACAAACAUAAUUUGCUAUGAAAACAUUCGAUUUGGCAUGCCUAAAAAUUUGGUUCGCUAGACAUUCAGGUCCGGACGCUGAUAAUGCGCGUACGUUCGGCCUGGGGAACCCCCAAACCGAACAAGUCAUUCGGUACGAGGGAUCACCACCAACGAACGCUUUCGUUCAAUGGGAGAACCCCCACGCCCGAACGCAUCCUCUCGCCACGUACAUGCCUUUCCCUGUAAAAAAAGAAAAUUAAAGCCCAAUAGCAAAACAAUAGAAAAUCACAAGUUUUGUUUUUCUGUUGUGAGGAAACUGGACCGUGAAAAUAAUGUAUAAUUGGUCACAUCAAAUUUUUAUGAGAAACAAUGUCAUGGGAAAUAAAAAUUAAAUUUUGUCAUGGUUGAAAAAGCAAUGAAACAUUGCCAUGGUCCAAAAAAUUGAAAUUAUCAUGCUGUAUAAACUACAUUUGCCUUUGUCCAUAAAAAAUGUCGUGCCAAAAAAUAGAUAGAAAAAUUUGCCAUGAGCGUUUAAAAUUAAAUUUGCCUUGUAUGUUGUUGUAAAAUUGCCAUGGCAAUAUAGGAAGGUUGGCAAUUGCAAAAAAAAAAAACAGGUAAAAUUUCCCAUCGAAAAUAAAAAGUAAAUUUUUGCCAUGGUUGAAAACAAAUGAAAUUUGCCAUGGUCCGACCAAAAAAGAAAAUUUCCAUGUUGUAUAAACUACGUUGCAUUGUCCGUAAAAGUAAAUUUUUCCUGGCAAAAAAUAGAAAGUAAAAUAUUGCCAUGAAAGUUUAAAAUUAUUAUCGUGUAUGUUACACUAAGAAUGACAUAGCAAUAUAGGAUGAUUAGAGAUACCAAAAUGAAGAUAAAUUUCCAUGGGAAAUAAUAGGUAACUUUUGACAUGGUUGGGAAACAAAUUAAAAUUUGCCAUAGUCCAAAAACUAAAAAUUGCCAUGUUGUAUAAACAACAUUUGCCUGAUCCAUAAAACUAAAAUUGCCAUGCGUGCAUAGAAAGUAUGCCAUAAGCUAGUUUGCAGUUGUAGCCCUCAGAUUUGGUUACAGUAUAAACAUGGCUAGCCAAAUUAUCCACAAAUUAACGACAACUAACUAAACCAAAUAGAAACCAACCUCGGUUAGUGGUCUCACCAGAAACGAAAGCUAGGCAGCACCAAGCUACACUAGCGUCUGUUUAUUCUUCAGAUCGAAACACAUAAGCACAAUCUUAGGACUUGAACUGUUGGCGGCAAUGGCAGCAGUCGAAAGCAGCAAGACGAUGUCGUCAUCUUGCACCGUCGCACUACCAAAUCUACACCACACAGCACCAACAAAGCUAAUGGCCAAAAUUCAAAGGGUUUGGAACUAAAUUGUAGUACAUCAGAAUAUGCUAAUGCCAAUUCCUGGGUACAGUAUGAGUCCCAUUUAUCUGUCAGUUAGUAUGUGACAGAGGAGUAAAUACGUGCUUAGAUUGAUAAUAUUUGAAAUUUAUUUAUAGCUCACUAGAAAAUAAAAACGUUGUCGCCUGAAAGAACUCAUAGACUAAAACAAAUAUGUUCUUAUUGAGAUGACAAAACUCACAAAGAAAUAAAAUAUUCUGAGUCUACAAAGACUAACCUCAACAUACUAUUCCUAUGCCACUCCAAGAAAAUAAAAAUGAAGGUAAAAUUUGCCAUGGAAAAUAGUAUGAACAUUGCAAACAUAAAUUAUGAACAAAAUAGUGCCAUGGCAGAUUCAUAUUGGAAUUUGCCAUGGUAUGCCCCCAUGGAAAUGACAAGAGAAGAUUGAAAUGGUUGUAAAAGUGAAUUUGCCAUGGUCCAGGGAAAAGGAAUUUUGCCAUUGUUCAAAAGAAUAAAGAAAAAUGCCAUGUUCCGUCAAGUGAAUUUUCCAUGGCAGAUUCAUAUUGGAAUUUGCCAUGGUAUUCCUCCCAUGGAAAUGACAAAAGAAUAUUGCCAUGGUUCGUGAAGUGAAUUUGCCAUGGUCCAGUGAAAAAGAAGUUUGCCACUAUCCAACAAAUAUGAAAAUUGCCAUUGUCCAUUAAGUGAAAAUGUCAUGGUCUAUAAACUGAAUUUGCCAUGGAAAGGAAAUUUGACAAUGCCUUCAUCAAUUAAAAAUUUAAAACAUGGAAAACAUGACAAUGGGGGCAAACAUGCUUUUAGUUGCCAUGGUAAAAAAAUACAUCUAUAAAUUUUACUGAUUUUAGUUGCCAUGGCAAGUUUGCCAUGUUUUUGAACAUAUUAAGGGCCUGUUCAGCAGCUCUCCAACUCCAAUAAAUCCACAAAUCCAGCUUCGUUUUUGGAUCGCCAGCUUCCGGCGCGAGCGCUAGCGCUCAGAAAUUCGUUCGGCCCCUCCGCUCCAGCUUCUCGUACGUGUUAACAGGCCAACCUGGCUAGGUGGGCUGGAGCCCAGCCGGCUCAACAGGUAAGGUGGCCUGAGGCCCAGGCGAACACACGAGAACAGGGGAGAUAAAAGUAGCGAACCGGUAUGUGACCCCCUUGAUUCACUUCGCGGUGGCAGCUGCUCGUAAAUAAAGCCAACUCCAGAUUCCCGAUUUCUGAGAUCACCGAAAUCGUCGCUCCGAUUUUUUUUACGUGCGUGUCGCUCCGCUCCAGGAAGCCAGCUUCAUGGAGCUGGGCCGUUCGGGCUAGCUCCGCUCGCAUAUUUACGGAAGCUGGGAGCCAGCGAGCUACCGAACAGGCCCUAAGAUGCCAUGUUUUUUUAACAUAUUAAGAUGCCAUGUUUUUGAAGAUCUUAAGUUGCCAUGGCAAGUUUAUCAUGUUUUUGAACAUCUUAAUUAGAGAAGUUUGCCAUGUUUUUGAAUAACUUAAGUAAGGAAGUUUGCCAUGUUUUUGAACAUCCUAAGAUCUCCAUGGCAAGUUUGCCAUAUUUUUGAACAUCUUAAGGUUCCAUGGCAAGUUGGCAAGUUUUCCAUGUUUUUGAACAUCUAUAACUUUGCUAUGUUUUUGAACAUCGUAAGUUUCCAUCACUACAAAAGUUACCAUGAAGUUCAAAUAUAUAUGGAUACAACAUGGAAAGAAGAUGGAAAAAAAAUGAAGUUUACACUUCAAAAGUUGCCAUCAUGGCAACAUAUGCAAAAAAGGUAUGGCGAAAAAUGUUUCUCUAGACACAUGAUUUUUUUUGAAAAAUGGAGAAAACAUCUGAAAGUGAUAUGGUACAUGUAAUCGCCACGGCAAAACAAAUUUCGAAGGAUCAAAUACUUUUUUCCAUGGCAAAACAAAUUUGAAAGAUCAGACUUGCCGUGUUACCAAAGUAAUUUGUUAUUGUCAUGGCAACAUUUUUCGGAUGGACAUGGCAAAAGAUAAAAUGAAUCAUGGCAACACAUGUUUUUAGUUGCCAUAGGUAAAAACACAUAUAUAAAUUUACCAAUUUUAGUUAACAUGGCAAGUUCAACAACUUUUGAUAUCUAGGCAAUGGCAAUCGUAUGAAAAACAACAUGGCAAGUUACUGAUUUUUUUCCCCAGAAACGGUCAUGGCAAAAUGUAUCAAAAAGUCAUGUUCCCCCUAAACAUGUCAAGUUGUAAACAAAAAGACAAAAUUGCCAUGGAAACACAACUUUAAAAAGUAGAUUUCUAAACUAAAAGUUGCCAACUAACAACUUAAGUUUAGAAGAUGUAAAAGUUUCAAAGUUUAGAGAUGGCAAAUAUAUGUAAGUUUGCAUCUCGAGCACUAACUAAUGCCGACAACAUGGAUUCAAGGUUAAAACCACAAUCAUGUUCACACCAAGUUGCCAUGAUUUUCAAAAAGUAAAGAAGUACCAUGGCAAAUCACAUGAAUUUCGUCAUAUAUAGCAUUAUACAGUAUAAAAUUGCCAUUGUGUUUGAAUAAGGAUAGAGAUGAAAAUUGACAUGAACUUUGCAAGUACCUACUACAUGAAUUAUCUGCGUUUGAGAGAGAAAACAUGGGGAAAUGGAGGAGAGUAGUACACCUGCAGUCGUCAAUGGGUGCCUGAAUGUAGAUGACGACCAAGAAGCGCCGAAGAGAAGGAAUGAUGUACGAGAUCAGAGAACUGCUCGAUGCCUCCGGCUUGCUCCUCUUGUAAUUUAGGAAAAUGCAAAUUGUUGCACGCCAAAAUUAGCACAUCGUGUGUCUGGAAUCAUGGCAUAAAUUAGCACAUUUUGUGUCCUGAGUUAUGCCAAAAAAUAUUAGAGAAUGUUGAAAAGGUCGCAUGACAAAUGUAGUAAUUUUUAUAUGCUGAAGCAUGGCAAAAUUUGGAAAAACUCAUGUACUUCUUACAUGGCAAAAUUUAGUGUGAGAAUUUGAAUACUGUACAGACAAGAAAGCUGCUAGCUAGUAACGAGUAAGACUACCCACAGUAAAAGUAACAUAGAUGAUAAUAACAUCACACAUCUUUAGGCAAAACAGAUGAUGUGACGAGUAAUUAAUGAGGAAAGAGAAACAUGUGAUAAUAUAGCUAGUUACUGUAACAUCACCCAUACGAAGACAAGAUGAGUCUACAACCUAAUAAAUAAAAUGUUGCAUGACACCACAUAUAUGUUACUUCCACUAUAGAGGUAGUAACAUAGACUAGUAACAUAUGCAUGAUGAAAGAUUAAGUUACUACCCAUUAUGACUAGUCUAGGACUACCAGUGGAGUAGAGUAGUAUUAGUCCAAUGAGAUAGACUGAGACGUAGUACUUACAUGCAUGAUGAAAGAUUAAGGUAACAAUCAAUGAGAUACAGGUGUCACUCUGCCUGCGCCAUCCAGGCCCUGGCGUAGCCAGUGACACAUGCGACCUUCUGGAGCUCCUCGUCGUCCUCGUCCCAGCAGAAAGCACAUGACGUUGCACACGAACUCGGGACACAAAAUGUGCUAAUUUAUGCCAUGAUUCGGGAUACAAGAUGUGCUAAUUUUGCCAUGCAACAAUUUACAUUUCCGUAUGAUCAUUGUACCGAUUUUUAUUACUAGAAUUAGUACUGCAGUACUAACUCGCCAUAUUUAGACAGUACUAACUCAUAUGGUCGCAAUACUGAAAACUGGUAUUUUGCUAGAGGGACAUCAAUUGUCACUAGCUAAAUAGUCUUCUAAAAUUUCAUUGUAAUAAUAAUCGGAGCUAUUACAAUAAAUUGAUCGGAUGUUUCUCUCUGAGUUGAAGACUAAUAAUUCUUUAGAAAACAAGACUUUUAUUGCAAAUAUUAAUUCCAACAGUCAGAUCAGUCGAGAUCGAGGACGAUGAAUUGGCGGAUGCGUGGUAGCUAAGGAUAUUAAUUUUGCACUUUGAUUGCAAACAUUAGCUACAUUUGUCCUUGUGGUCAGAAGCUAGCAUAUCUCUUUUCAAAAUGGAUCAAUGAAGCAGUUGUAGACUAGCGCCACUAUAUAUUGGGAAUUGUCGGGAGCUAGCCAUCAUCAGUGUCUCCCUUGAGCCUUGUUGGUUUGCCACUGCUUGAAACAACACGAAAAUACGUAUACAGUGGAGGAGAAAGAGAUGGUAAGCUAUAAAAGAGGGAAAUAAAAUAAAUAGCUCUUAGAUACUAGUACUGUAGUACAUUCCAGCAACAUUCAAAUGGAGGAGAAAUCAUUUCAAAAAAAAAUGGAGGAGAAAGAUCUAGUGAAGUGUAAUAAUUAACAAAUCUGUUAGCGAGGGAAUAGGAGGCGUUGGGGAAGAAAUAUACGUUUGACUACAAAGUUAGGCAAUAGUAUGUGCCUGAGGUUCAAUCAUAGCUAAGCUUUUUUGAAAUCAAAAUCAUAGCUAAGCUUUAACCUUCCUAUUGGAUGAGAAUCUGAGACACCACCUCUGCUACAUUGGAUGAGAAUCCUCUGAGAUCUGCGACAGCAUGGACGUGUCCUUCCUCCAGAUUCCUAUUCAUGGAGUCAACUGGAGGUAGUUUCCCAGCCGCCACUCCGCCUUUGACCAGGGAAAACAUUGACCAUUUUUUUCUUUUUGAGGCAAGGAAAACAUCAACCAAAUGAGUCAUCCCGUCCCACUUACAAAUAGCCCAGGCCCAUGCCGCCAAUGCUGAUUAAAAAGGCCCAUAAAACGACAAGAUCAACAAGCCCAAUUAACAAAGGGAAGAAUGGGGAAGACCGAGUCGAAACCGAUGCUACAUGAAGGUCGUCAUUCUAACAAUGAUUCUCAUAGCUUAGCAAAGUUUUCCCUUAAUCAAGUUUAGGGGCGUCACAUGUGGCUUCCUCAACCCGAUGAUCCUUUAUGUAUCCCACAAACUGUCGUAUUUAAUGAAUAAAGUUAUGUUCAUCCCUCAAAAAUAAAAAACGGGGGAAGGCCGCCUGAAAUCGCUAUUCAAGCCCGGGGAGCUUAGUGAUUUUAAGUAUUAUACAUAUUUUUCAACCGAUUUUUCAUUCAAUCUAUGCCUUCAGAAAAUUAGAACAGUCGGAACUGUGCUUCAUUAGUUUUUUACAAGGCAUAUUCUUUUGUUAGUUGGUUUUUUUUUCUUGAAUUUGUCCAUCAUUAGCAUAUGCGGCAGCGGCAGUAAAACACACAAAAUUCCCAAAAGAAAAAGUGAAACGCAAAGCUAGUAGGAGAAACCAUUGAUCGUGUUGAUGAUAGUAUUAAAGUAUAAUACACCAUCUUCCUCCUUGAUCAUUAUUAUUAUUACAUCAUAAUAACCCCUCCAUCAUCUUCCUCCUUGCAAAAUAUAAGCGGUACCGUAAUUAUAGAUAAGUGGGCGACGACGACAAAUUGGGUUGAUGGGUGAUUAAAGAGUAGCAGGGAUAAAGGAAGCGCACGCGAUCGAGCUUCGUGCUCGUUGAAUGUAGUUCAGGCGUGGGGGUUCAGCCGCGACUUGCGGGCGGCGACGGGGCUUUCGUUGUCGUCCAUGACGGUCUCGAAGGCGCCGACGAGAGCCUUCACCUUGUUCACCUGCCGCAGCUCCAGCAGCUUGAUCCGCGCCUCCUCGACCGCCUCGUUGCUGCGUGCCGACUCCCGCCGCCGCGGCGUGUCAGCGUCGAACGACCGCUUCCCCGUCGACGUCCUCACCCGGCAGCCCUGGAACCUCCACACCACCUCCGCCUUGAUGUCAUCCUCACGCUGCUGCUUCUUGGCAGCCGCGAUUUUGUCCACUUCGGCAACGGUGUCAUCCGGAGCAGGAGGAGCUUCCUUCUUGGGCACCUCCUCCUCCUCCUCCUUGGGCACCUCCUCCUCCUUCUUGGGCUCCUCCUCCUCCUCCUCCUUCUCUGCGGCGGCGUCCUCCUUCUUCGGCGAGUUAUUGCGCGCCUCUUCCUGUUCCUCCGCCACGGGCGCCAGCUGAUUGAUCACGGGCGACGGCGGGUUCGCCUCGUGUAUGAUCUUCUCCGGCACGAUCUCCUCCUGCUUGGAGGCGGCUCCGGCGUCGACGACGUCGUCGGUGAUCUGAUCGUCCAAGGAAAAGACGCUGCUUUCAGCGUCAGACCCCUUGCUGGCGACCGACCUGGGGCUGUCCACUUCGCCGACGUCCGCCGCCAAGUUCCUCUUGUGCCGGGACGACCUGCCGCGGAAGGCGCGGGAGGCCCGCUGCAUGAGCUUCCUCGGGGAGAACAUCGACGAGUACGACGCGGACUUGGGCUUCUGCUGCUUGGUGCCCCUGGGGGUGGCCGGCGGCGUGUCGGUGGAGGUGGCCGCCAUGCAGUUGAUGGACGGCGCCUUGUGGCGCGCGAAGGCAGGCGCGUUGGCCGUGGACGUCGAGGCGCGCGCCGACUGGUACUGGGAGGAGGAGGAGGAGACGCUGAGCGGCGACGGGGAGGACGCCUGCUUCGCGCUCGCGCUCCGCCGGAGCACUGGCGCGCCGUCUUCCGCCGGUGGAGCCCUACGCUGCUUCGGCAUAUAGAUCGACAAAGGACAACCGUGAGACGUGGCGGUGUUAGGGCAAAUCGAGAACAACCCUAGCUACGAACAAGGCGUCCAAUAAGUACAUCCAACCCUAGUUCCGAAAAUUAUAGUAUAUAUAUAAUUAAUAGGAAAACCAAUUCUAGGAAGAUUGGGAACUAAGUAAUGACUAGGAUAUAAUUUUGAACGUGUAUUUUGGAGUUGUUUGUUCGAACCAUGUCUAAUCAAAAGAACUGAUGCUGAAGAGUAUGAAUUAUUAAUUUUCAACACAUGGAAACUCGAUUUUGUGUUCCAGCCCGGCCCAAUAACCGGCAACAUGUCCAAAGAAGAUAUUGUUACUCCGAACAUCAUAAAGUGUAAGUAAAUUUACCUGAAGACUAUACGACUUCAUUUCUUAGAGGAGAUGGAGAGGGCGACGCGAUGGAUUUUUAGUUAUAAGCGUGGCGCCGCGCUAGGAGGUAGGGAGGAGACAAAGGGCCCCAUAUGAAGGCCCCAAAUGGCCUGAAAAUUGCACGGUGAAGGAUUGGAGGAGAUGACAACGGAGGAGCGUGCGCUAGGAGGAGGGCGAAUGCAACAGUUAAAACCGUCUUGGAAUCUAUUGUUAGAGAGGAAACCGACUAAGUUGGGGAGAAGUUCAUGCGUAACCUCAAGUGCUCAUGCCCAGAAUCGCAUGGCUUGGAGGAAUUUUAGGAGCCGUAUUUUUUGGUUCCUCUCAUACCUACGCAUCUGUAAUACAAUGUGUUUAGGGAAUUAUAUUUUAACUCUGUUUUAGUUAUGAAGGUGAUAUCCUUAUAAUUUUCUUUCAUUCGUCAGGUAGUAAAAUUCGCAAAGUCUUUCAUGGAUUUAUAUCAAAUAAUUAGAGAAGAUAGGUUCCAAGUCGAGGCCGCUAUACAAGUGCCCGGUCAGUUGAACACAGAGGAGUAUCAAAUCAUUCACUAAAUAGUCCUUUUUUUACUCUCUCUCUCUCUCUCUCUCUCUCUCUCAUAAAAUACGCCCAACCUAAGAUUUCCUGGAAAAACACCUAAUAUCUAAACCAGAGGGGUCCUCCUCAAUAGGAAAAACACCCAACCUAAGAUUUCCAGGAAAGAAACACCUAAGAUCUAAACCGGAGGGGUCCUACUCAGUAGGGAAAACACCUAACCUAAGAUCUAAACUGGCGGAUCUCCUUUCAUAAAAAAAAGACCAUAUCUACAGUGUGUGAGCCAUCCAACCAAAUUGCCCACAUCGGUUGUCUGAAAGUUUUCUUUUUGAUUAUUCAAUCUUGGUUUUUUCCUUCAAACCCCACCAUGGUCUUCCUCCAACCCCUCACAUCGUCCUACCCUUAAACCAUCCUAUAUAUGGCACUCCGUCCCUGCUACAGAGAUCCCCAAGGUGAGAUCUAGAUCUUCCCCAAAUGUGCCCGCUAAAUCUUCUCACUCAACAUGCUCUAGCUUCGAGCCGGUGCUCAUCGGCAGGGUUCACCGAGGUCGGCCCCGACCCGGAAUGGGGUUUCCAUCCAAGCCAAUGCAUUCCUCCCUCACGUGGACCAUGCCCCCAUUGCCCUCUUUGAUCAUCCCUCCCAUGCGCACCUCUGAUCCAAAAACAUUGCACGGCCAUCCAAUUCAUGUGGGUAAGCAUAGCAAGUCUUCAGAAGAAUUCAUCCUUGCAUUGAGGUUUCUAGAAUGCACCACGUGUUUUCUAUAGUGUAAUCGUCACCUAUGUAUGCUUUUGGAGCAAUACUCUACUAACUGAUUCACUGUGGAUGAGUUACUCUAGUUUAUACCAAACAAUGUCCAUAAUAACUGGUAAUUUGGUAUAUACAACUACGAAAAAGGUUCUUGAACAUAGCAUAGUAAAAUGAGCGAAAAAAGAGAAAUUAUCUAGUGAGAAUUUGACCCCAAAACUCCUUUAUUAUGGGCAUUGUUUAAUAUAACCUAUAACGGAUCUAGAAAAUAACUCAUCCGCGGUGAAUCGGGUAACAAAAUAUUGAUCCGGAAAGCAUAUACAAUAGGUGACGUUGGCGUUGUAGAAAACAAGGGAUGCAUCCUAGCAACCUCAAUGCGAGAAAUGGAUGAAUUCUUUUGAAGACUCGAGUAACCGCUCUGUUUACCCGCAGGCAAUGGAUGGUCGCACAAAGCUUUUGGAUCGGAGGCUGCAUGGGAGGGAUGAUCGAAGUGAGCGAUGGGGGCACGGACCACAUGGGCGAGGAAGGUCUCGGCUUGGAUGGAAACCCCGUUUGAGGUUGAGGCCGACUUUGGUGGUGCCUGCCGAAGGGCAUCGACUAAACGCUAGACCACGCUGAGGGAGAAGUGAAGGAAAUAUGCCCUAGAGGCAAUAAUAAAGUUGUUAUUUUAUAUUCCCUUAUGUCAAGAUAAAUGUCUAUUAUUCAUGCUAGAAUUGUAUUAACCGGAAACGUGAUACAUGUGUGAAUACAUAGACAAAACACCGUGUCCCUAGUAUGCCUCUACUAGACUAGCUCGUUAAUCAAAGAUGGUUAUAUUUCCUAACCAUGGACAUGUGUUGUCAUUUGAUGAACGGGAUCACAUCAUUAGGAGAAUGAUGUGAUGGACAAGACCCAUCCAUUAGCUUAGCAUAAUGAUCGUUCAGUUUUAUUGCUACUACUUUCUUCAUGUGAAAUACAUAUUCCUCCGACUAUGAGAUUAUGCCGGACACCGGAGGAAUACCUUGUGUGCUAUCAAACGUCACAACGUAACUGGGUGAUUAUAAAGAUUCUCUACAGGUAUCACCGACGGUGUUUGUUGGGUUGGCAUAGAUCGAGAUUAGGAUUUGUCACUCUGAGUAUCGAAGAGGUAUCUCUGGGCCCUAUCGGUAACGCACAUCAUAUGAAGCCUUGCAAUCAAUGUGACUAAUGAGUUAGUUGCGGGAUGACGCAUUAUGGAAUGAGUAAAGAGACUUGCCGGUAAAUAUAUUGAACUAGGUAUGAAGAUACCGACGAUCAAAUCUCGGGCAAGUAACAUACCGAUGACAAAGGGAAUAACAUAUGUUGACAUAGCGGUUCGACCGGUAAAGAUCUUCGUAGAAUAUGUGGGAACCAAUAUGAGCAUCCAGGUUCCGCUAUUGGUUAUUGAUAAGAGAGGUGUCUCGGUCAUGUCUACAUAGUUCUCGUACCCGUAGGGUCCGCACGCUUAACGUUUGAUGACGAUAUGUAUUAUAUGAGUUGUAUGUUUGGUGUCCUGGAUGAGAUCACAGACAGGACGAGGAGUCUCGAAAUGGUCGAGAGGUAAAGACCGAUAUAUUGAAUGGUAGUAUUCGGACACCGGAAGGGUUCCGAAGUGUAUCGGGUACAUACCGGAGUACCGGAGGGGUUACCGGAACCCCCCUCCCCACCCCCCCCCCACCCGGGGGAGGGGAUAUGGGACAUAGGAGGGUGGCUAACUAGCUCACAAGGGGCUGGUGCGCCCCCCACAAGGGAGGAGGCCGAAUUGGACUAGGGAAGGGGGUGCCACCCCCCUUUCCUUCUCCUAGUCCCUCUCAUUCCCCCUUUCCCCCUCAGUUAGAAGGAGGGGGGCGACUAGGACUAGGAGUCCUAGUAGGACUCCCCCCAUGGCGCACGCCCUAGGGCCGGCCUCCUCCCCUCUCCCUCCUUUAUAUACGUGGGCUGGGGGACCUCUAGGACAUCAAUUGUCUUAGCCGUGUGCGGUGCCCCCCUCCACCGUUUACUCCUCCGAUCAUAUUGUCGUAGUGCUUAGACGAAGCCCUGCGCUGAUCACUUCACCAACACCGUCAUCACGCCGUCGUGCUGACGGAACUCAUCGACUCCUUCGUGCCUCUACUAGAUUAAGAGUUCCAGGGACGUCAUCGAGCUGAACAUGUGCAGAACUCGGAGGUGCCGUAUGUUCGGUACUUGAUCGGUUGAUUCAAGAAGACGUUCGACUACAUCAACCGCGUUAAGUUAACGCUUCUGUUUUCGGUCUACGAGGGUACGUGAACACACUUGAUGAUCCACAAGUAUAUGGGUUCAAUUGUAGCCUUUUCGAUAAUUAAGAGUGUCAAACCCAACGAGGAGCAGAAGGAAAUGGCAAGCGGUUUUCAGCUAGGUAUUGUUUGCAAGUGCUAAAAUUGUAAGUUGUGGAUUAGUUUGAUAGCAAGAUAAUUUGUAACAAACAAGUAACGAAAGUAGUAACAAAAGUGCAGCAAGGUAUCCCAAUCCUUUUGAGACAAAGGACAGGCCAAAACGGUUUCUUAUGAUAAGCAAAGUGUUCUUGAGGGUACACGGGAAUUUCAUAUAGUCACUUCCAUCAUGUUUGCUUAAUUUGUUUUCGGUACUUUGACAAUUUGAUAUGUGGGUGGACUGGUGCUUAGGUGUUGUUCUUACUUGAACAAACCUUCUACUUAUAAUUAACCCUCUCGCAAGCAUCCGCAACUACAAGAAAAGUAUUAAGAAUAAAUUCUAACCAUAGCAUUAAACUUUUGGAUCCAAUCGGUCCCUUACGGAAUAGCGCAUAAACUGAGGUAUAAGCUUCUGUCACUCUCGCAACCCACCAUCUAAUAACUACUCCAUAAUACAUUCCCUUAGGCCCAAAUAUUGUUAAGUGUCAUGUAGUCGAUGUUCACAUGACACCACUAAGAUAACGGCAACAUACAUAUCAUCAAAAUAUUGAACACAUAUCAAGUUCACAUGAUUACUUGCAACAUGAUUUCUCCCGUGACCUCAAGAACGAAAGUAACUACUCACAAAUGAUAAACAUGUUCAAGAUCAGAGGGGUAUUAAAUAGCAUAAUGGAUCUGAACAUAUAAUCUUCCACCAAAUAAACCAUAUAAUAAUCAACUACAAGAUGUAAUCAACACUAGUAGUCACCCACAAGCACCAAUCUAUAGUUUUGAUACAAAGAUUGAACACAAGAGAUGAACUAGGGUUUGAGAGGAGUUGGUGCUGUGAAGAUGUUGAUGAAUAUAGCCCUCCCCAAGAUGGGAGAGUUGUUGGUGAUGAUGAUGACGAUGAUUUCCCCCUUCGGGAGGGAAGUUCCCCUGAUGGAAUCACUCCGCCGGAGGGAAAAACUGCUCCUGCCCAAGUUCCGCCUCGAGGAGGCGGCUCUUCGUCCCGAAUGUCCUCCUCUGAUUUUUUUUAUAGGCCAAAAUGACAUAUAUACCAAACGAUGGGCACCGGAGGUGGGCCAAGGAGGGCAGCACCCACCAAGGCGCACCUGGGCCUCCUGGCGCGCCCAGUUGGAUUGGGAACACCCGGUGGCCCCCUAUGGUACUUAUUUGCUCCAAUAUUUGUUAAAUAUUCCUAAAAAAAUCCUCGUGAAGUUUCAGGUCAUUUGGAGUUGUGCAGAAUAUGUAGCUUGACAUAGCUUUUUCAGGUCCAGAUUUCCAGCUGCCGGAAUUCUUCCCCUUGGUGCAUACCUUGCAUAUUAUGAGGGAAAAGGUAUUAGAAUUACUCCAAAAAGCAUUAUUAUACAAUAAAACAACAUAAAUAACAGUAGGAAAACAUGAUGCAACAUGGAUGUAUCAACUCCCCCAAGCAUAGACAUCGCUUGUCCUCAAGCGAAAACCAAAACCGAAAAACAUUCCACAUGCUUAGAGAGAGAGAGGGAGAGAGAGGUGUCGAUAAAAACAAAAAUACGGACAUAGCAGCAUCAUGUGACUUAUUAUAACAGAAACAAACUUUAAUAUAAAACUUUUGUCAUAGAACUUUUAUCAUAGACUUCUCAUGAACAAGUGACCAUCACAACAUAAAAGUAUAAAGCAUAAACUCUGACCAACAAACUAUGUUCUCAGUCAACUUUGCAACUACAAUUCAUCAUUUUUUCAGGAAGGGUCACGUAUCGGAGCCUUUAGGCAAGUCCACAUACUCAACCAUCAUUUAGUCUUCUAUGAUUGCUAACACUCACCGCGUACACAUGAGCAAAACGUUUCAACCAGACACAAAGAAAGAUAGGGGCUUAUAGUUUCGCCUCCCAACACACUCACCUCAAGGGUGAUGUCAACAAUAAUAACUUAAUGCCAUCCAUAUUCAACUAGACAUAUGUGCCUAGAUCUUUCCUCGCCACAUGAUGCUUGCCAAAGGAGAAAAAUAAAAGGAAUAGAGAGAAAAACUUUGACUCUUGCAUGAAAGUAAAAGAUAGGCCCUUCACAGAGGGAAGCAGAGGUUGCCAUGCGCCGCGCUUUUGUUUGUAUGCUCAACCCCUUAGUGCAAGAGAAUGUCAUGUUAUAUUGCCCCUUGUGAUAGCAACCUUUAUUAUGCAGUCUGUUGCUUUUAUUCUUCACCAUCACAAGUUCGUACAACACUCAAUUUUCCCUUACACUAAAUGAUCUCACAUUUUUAUAAGCAAUUUUUUGUUGCCCUUUUUGCACCGAUGACAACUUACUUGAAGGAUCUUACUCAAUCCAUAGGUAGGUAUGGUGGACUCUCAAACAAGAUAGGGUUUAAGGGUUUUGGAUGUACAAGUAGUAUCUCUACUUAGUGCGGAGUUUUUGGCUAGCAAAGAUAGGGGCAAGCACCACAUGUUGAAGGAUCUAUGACAAUAUAACUUCUAUGUGAAUAUGAACAAACAUAAAUCAUUAAGUUGUCUUCAUAGUCCAACGUCAACAAUUUUGGCAUAUAAUAUUUUGAUGGGUGCUUACAAUCAUAAAAGAUUUCCAUGAUAGUAUAUUUAUAUGUGAAUCUUCUCUUCCCUUAUUAAUUCUUUCAUGAGUUGCAUCAUUGACCAAUGCUAUGUUUGUUAAUCUACAAUAAAGCUUUCUGCUUAUACUUUUCCUUGUGUAAUGUCAUCACUUACCAUAAGGUUAGCAUAUGAUCUUUUUAUUUUUAUUGCAACAAGAAAGUAAAGAAGGCAGAACUCAAACUAAACUUUAUUAUAUCUCGCACACGAUUACAAGGAUUGACCACUAAGCAAACUCACAAAAAGAAAGGAUCGAACUAAACUUUUAUUCAUCUAAUAGCAAAAGAUAACCAUGGAUCGAAUUAGGAAAGUAAAGGCAAAAGAUAGUGGAGAUGAUAUGAUACCGGGGCACCUCCCCCAAGCUUGGCGAAAGCCAAGGGGAGUGCCCAUACCCGAUACUCAAUUUUAUUUUGGUGGUGAAGAAGAAGGUGGUGGUGAUGAAGUAGUGGCGAUCAUAUUCUUUUUCUUUAGCUUGUUUCGGAGGCAGAAAUUUUCUAUCCUCAAGUCAUCGUUCUCCUCCUUGAGCUUUAGUAUCCUCUUGCAUAAUGUUUCCUUGCUUUCCUUCAGGAAGCGAGGAGGGACCGAUUCAUCUUCAUCUUCUUCAUCAGAAAACCAUAUGUAGGGAUAGGUGUCCUUGAAGACAUUUUUAACUAAAGGUUGAUAAGAAACUGGGCUCUCCUUCUCGGAAUCUUGAGACGACAUAUUUUCAUAUCUAUCAGAAAGCAGCAAGAAAAGAAAAUAGGAGAUUUCUACGUGAUACGGAGGUUAACAGGUUCAGGAGGUAUAUAUAGAUUUUUUUAUCUUGGGAAACAAGCAGAACGGAAGAAAAAUGGAGUCCAGAAAGUACCCGAGGUGGGCACAACCCACCUGGGCGCGCCAGGCAUGCCUGGCGCGCCCUGGUGUAUCGUGCCCACCAUGGUCACUUUCCUGGAAUUUUCUUAUUUUCCUAAUUUUAUAAAUAUUCCAAAACUAACAAAAAAUAUUUUUGUGGAUUUUUUGAAGUCUGAUUACUUACCAUAUCACGUACCUCCUUUUUUUGCAUUAUUCUAGAGUGUUCCGGAAGGUUUCCUUUAUAUGUUCUUCCGGUGUCAAAUUUUGGGUAACAUUGCUUUCAACAUUAAUGGGCGUACCUGAGAUAUAGUGUUUUAUCCGUUGCCCAUUGAUAACCUUCGGGUUAGUCCCUUCGGCAUUAUUUAUUUAGAUAGCUCCGGAUCGAUAGACCUCCUCUAUGACAUAGGGUCCUUCCCAUUUGGAGAGGAGUUUUCCUGCAAAGAAUCUGAAAUGAGAGAAAGGACAUAUUCUCUGAGUUUGAACUCAUGCUUUUGGAUUCUUUUGUCAUGCCAUCUUUUAAUUUUUUCUUUGAAUAACUUAACAUUUUCAUAAGCCUGGGUUCUCCAUUCAUCUAAUGAGAUAAUAUCAAAUGACCUCUUUUCCGCAAUAAGUUUGAAAUCAUAAUUGAGUUCUUUUAUUGCCCAAAAUGCUUUGUGUUCUAACUCAAGAGGUAAAUGACAAGCUUUUCCACAAGCCAUUUUAUAUGGAGACAUACCCAUAGGAUUUUUAUAAGCCGUUCUAUAAGCCCAAAGUGCAUCAUCUAAUUUCUUAGACCAAUGCUUCCGGGACCAAUCGACGGUCUUUUGUAAGAUUGGAUUUAUUUAUCUAUUGCCGAGUUCAACUUGACCACUAGACUGAGGAUGAUAAGGUGACGCAAUUCUAUGGUUAACAUCAUACUUAGCAAGCAUUUUACAGAAAGCACCAUGAAUAAAGUGUGAACUGAUGGCCCACAAGUAUAGGGGAUCAAUUGUAGCUCUUUUCGAUAAGUAAGAGUGUCCAACCCAACGAGGAGCAGAAGGAAAUGACAAGUAGUUUUUAAGUAAGGCAAUGUCUGCAAGUGCUGAAACUGUAAGUAGCGAGUAUCUCUACUCUUAAUGGAGCAGUUGGUAGUCUCGCUUCCAGGUUUUUUUUCGUCCCACCACUUUCGUCCGGUUUUUUUUGUAGGUUAAUCGUCGUAGAUUUUUUUCGAUACUGGUUUCUUAUUCACCGGUUUAUUUACCCCUCAGUUCUUUCCUUGCAAAUCAGCACUUUCCAAACGUGCACGCAAUCACGGAUCUAAAUUUACUAACUUAUCCAAAUCAACCGAUACCUUCCAUUAUUGCAAAUUUCUUUAGGAAACAAAUAAUAGAUUUUAAGGAAACAAAUAAACCGUGCAAAACCAAAAAAAAAACCGUCUCUCGAUCCACCCGAUGCGGCCGCCCUAUCUCCCUCGUACAUACGGGAAAUCAAUCAAUCAUUUCCAUAUGCAUCAGACAGAGAGAAAAAGGAUGGAAAGUUUCUUUUAAAAUUUAGGGUAUGAUUUUGGCAUGCAAUCAGGAGUUAUGAUUUUCCUAAGAAAGAGAUAAUUGACUUUUGUCCAUGAAAUCAAUCAAUCAUUUCCAUAUGCAUCAGACAGAGAUAAAAAGGAUGGAAAGUUUCUUUUAAAAUUUGGGGUAUGAUUUUGGCAUGCAAUCAGGAGUUAUGAUUUUCCUAAGAAAGAGAUAAUUGACUUUUGUACAUGAAAUCAAUCAAUCAUUUCCAUAUGCAUCAGACAGAGAGAAAAAGGAUGGAAAGUUUCUUCUAAAAUUUGGGGUAUGAUUUUCGCAUGCAAUCAGGAGUUAUGAUUUUCCUAAGAAAGAGAUAAUUGACUUUUGUCCAUGAAAUCAAGCAUUGCCAUAUGCAUCAGCCAAAGGAACGGUGAGAAGGAAAAGAAGAAAAAUAUGCGGUGUUUAUUUCUAUAUUUGGGACAUCCGUGCCAGCAUUUAUCUCUACACCUAAUGUUUGAAAAAAAACACAAUUUGCCGUAGAUCUCAUCCCAAGCCGCUACUCCACGUCUCCGGACGAGACGCAGCCGCAGACGCCGACGCUGAUCCAGGGAGUCAACGCCGCGACGCCGGCGACCGCCGCCGCCAUCGCGGAUCACCAGGACGCCACCGCCGCAGGCACCUCGGAUACAUCACGGAAUACCAGAACGUGGCCGUCGCGGAUCACCAGGACGACACCUCCUUCCCCUCACUCCACCUCACGCCGCCCGCCAGAUUUCGCCGUGCAUUGACAGCCAUCGACGACCCACUCCACCCUACCUGCCCCGGCCCCGACGCCGCACGUACCAAGCGCUGGCACCGCUGCAUCGAUCUAAGGUGCGACGCGUGCCAUCACCACUGAUCUGUGGUUGUGGUUCGAGACGGGUCUGCAGCACCGGCGAGGGGAGGAGCCGCCUGGUUGAGAAGCUCAUCCAUGACUUUUGUGUCAGCCCGUGGUCUUCCGGCGUGUCAAGCCAUCGAUCGGCAGUCCCAGGUCCAUACUCUCUACCAGUACACAUAUCUUUUGACUGCAUUCUCACCAUAGUAGUUCGAUCUAUUCUGUCGAUGAACAUCCACGCGAGGCUGCAAGGCUGGUUGUGAGUUACGGAAACAUGGUCUUUUAAAAAACUCAGUUUAAAAAAAAUAGGUCCUCAUUCUAAUGUCGACGCCGCCGGCACCCUCCUCGCCCCACCGAGCCCAUGGCCCAGGUCGGCCUACGCCCUUCCCCCAUAUACCGCAGCUCCAAUUCAUGUUCCUCUGUUUGUUCCGCUCGAUUCUGCUGGCCGUUCCCAUGGUUGACGGAGGCCUGCAUGUUUUCUAUGCGGUGCACAUGCUGAGACAAUGCAUGGCGUUUGGAUCGACCUGAUCUGUGCUCCCGUAGCCCGUUCCGUUCGUGUAUGUUCGUAGAUUCGGGUUGUGAGAACCUGGGCAGAUUUGUUUCUGCUAUUCAUUUCUGGGUUGUGUGGAUUUGUUUCUCCAUGCAUAACGGAUUACUGAUAAAAAUCUCCCUUUCCUCUGUUAAUUGGGUAUGCAUACGGUGGUUUGAUUAAUAUGGCUUGUGUUCUUAAUGCUAAUUCAGGUGUACAGAACAUUAGGCGAAAAGUAUGGGGUGAAGUACUCGGAGGAUGAGAUCUUGAUGAGGACCUCGAGGCCUCGGAGAGCCCCUCUGAACAAGACGCGCACGGGAGCUCUGCCUUGAUGGGGAAAACAGCGGAGUUGGUGCAGUGGCGAAUGUGGGCGGGGUCGACCGUGGAGGGAGACUUGCUGGUCGGAGCAGAAGGAGCAAGAAGGUUGAGGCGGUUCAGGUUUGUCUCUAUCUUCCUCCCCCUCUCUUUCCCCCCUUGUCUCAUGGAUGAGGUCGCUGGUGCAUGCAAGGAGUGGGUCGAACACGAAUUGUAGCAAGAGCAAGGAGCUGGACGUGGUUCAUGGUUUGCCUUUAGUUCCUCUCUCUCUAGAUCUCUAGACGUGGGUCUUUUUGUCCAUAUACUGAACCAUGAAGUUGUAAGUUCAUGUUCUUUAUAUUUGUACAGCUAUUUAACUGCAUUAGUGAAUGUUCUGGGUCUGAUACAACAGCUAAGCUUAGGUGAUUCCCCAUGUUCUAUGUGGAUCGCAUAGAAAAUAGAAAUCCUAAUUUCUGAAAAUAGACUGAAUCAUGUAUAUAUUUGCAGGGCAAGACAAGAACAUUAGUUGGAUCCAGAGUAUUGAGAUUGCAGAGGACUCAACAAAGGAUCUGCACUUAUUCUAUAAAUUCAGUACCAGGUUAGUGCCUCUGUUUAGUGAUUAUGUAGAACUACCUUUUGAACUUGCAGAAACUGAAUGCAUAUAAGAAUCGAGGACCUUUACAGUGGAUGCAUGAUGAUGAUCAUCCACCGAGCAGCACAUCAUCUUGGAAAAGCAGAUGCGAAUUUCUGCUAGGUUUGCUUCUCCGGUUGUCCCUCCCAUCAACUCUCUCAGUUCCCAAACCAUUAACCCCGUCCUGGUUGUUCCUAUAUUUUCUUUUUGUUUUGUUUUUACCAAUGCACUUUUCUUGGCAUGUUUUAGUGUGUUCCUUCCUACGGCCAGCUCGACCAUUUGCUCCGCAGGGAGUUUUUUAGCUCAGAAGGAGCAAAUAAUUUGAGAAUGCAUUGGUCUUUUCUGCAAUCUGUUAUAUAGGGGGAUCUUUCAUGUUUUUCUGCAGUUCUUUCUUCUCUUUGGCAAUUCAUUUGGAUUGUGUCUCUCUCAAACUUGGGCAUAUUAGUUGUAUGCUUGACUUUUUUUAGUAGCAGGGAGUAACUAAGUAGUUCACAAGCCAAGCAUUUGUAAACUUUGAUCAUUUAUUUGUAGAGAGUAUAUUUCUUUUUUUGUUCACCGUUUAGAUAUACAUUUUUUGCAUGUGUAGAGAGUAUACAUUAUUUGUAGAGCUGAAUUGACUCUCUUCACAAGAUUCACUUUGAUACAGCCAUUUUCUUAAUGACAAUCUUCAUGUGAAGGUUUCAAGUACUACAUAUAGGAGGAGGCACGAGUGGCUGCAAUCUUGCUACGAAAUGACACUUACGGAGCUUCUUUACCUAACAUGGCCAAGAAGUCCGCAAAUUCCAUAGAGCGUAGAGUAUAGCCGGUUGGAUACAUAUCUGCAGAGUGCAUGUAGUGUGUGUGUCAGAUAUACAGUGGGAAAACACCACAAUGCAAGUGUCAGAUCCUGUUCUUGAUGCAAUUUUGUGACUUUAUUCUGGACUGUUAAGCAAUUGGUUGAUGUUAAGCUGAAACUCGGAUCAGUCUUGUGGCUCUUCUAUACCUAUAUGCCUAGAUUAUUUGCUAAUGGUAUAUGAACUAUAUCUUCCUGUAUAGGAUGAUCAAUUGCCAGGAAUAGAAAGACUAUGGUUUUGAUUUUUAUCAUGUUUUUGUGAUAAGCUUCCUGGUAGACUAGACUUCCAGUUAUCUGCUAGACUAAAUAGUUUCUAGCUAUUUUUUAACUAUUGAUUAGUACACACAGAUGAAUUAUGUUGGUCUCAAAAUGCAACACAUUUCUUGGAUGCCUUGACUGUAUGCAUACUUGUGUUAUAUGGAUGCGCUCACGAUAUAUGCUAGAUGGUGUCUUCCUUUUUAUAGCUUGAUUAGAUGCAACUGUAGACGUUUAAUUAUAACUAGACAUUGUGGCGAGCUCCGCUGCGCCUGGCGAAAGAACUGUAGUUUGUGGGAGACUUCAGGUGGCCUGGUCCUUACAGCCUCGUUGGUGGCCUGAUUUUCUGUGUGGCUGGUAGCUUGUCUAUUUUUUCAUGGGACGGUCAAAAUGAGUUGUAUGCUGCUAGCUCUGGACGGGAAAAUACAUGGAUGAACCCAAGUACAUCUGCACCCACUUCGAAAGACACCUUUUCAAGUUUAAAAAAAACUGAAAAUUGUUGCACAUGUACAGCUUCACAUUCUAUGUGUGUGCCAAAAGUUUCGAAGGAUUUUUUUCGUGUGCAAAAAAGACAAAAAAACUGGUGUCGCGCACAUAUUUUUGCAGAGAUGUAGACGAUAAUUUUUUUUGGAAUUAUUUAUAACAUUUAAAAAUGCAUUUAACAUGCAUUUCUACGACCGAUAUAUGCAUAUAUACCUAACAUGCGGUGGUGGAUCGACACGAAUAGGGGCAGGGGGGUUCAGGGCAGAGAGCGUAGUGGUUGGCGGGAUACUCCUCCUUGGCGGUCCAUCGGGAAAUAUGGCGUGAAGGAGAUAGGGUGUCAUGGGGAAGAUGAUAUGGGCAUCGUGUGGUUUUAAAGGAGUGGGUUCUAGCGAGCAAUGUCCCGCUACAGCGGGAUACCGAGCAAGAAGAGGAGGGUCCACUAAAAAAGAGAAGGGCCCAUCGUGGGAUGGGUUUUCUUUUGUGUUGGGCCAGUGUGUUGAAUAUAACAUGGCGGACCACCAUGUUCCUCUCACACAUAUGGUCUGGAUUUGGGGUAGGAUGGACUGUCCAGACGGUUGAAUUUUGAGAAGCCCGCUAGGCCCCCGUUUCAUGUCCGAACAUGGUCGGGCGUACAAGAGAGAAAUGAGCGUCGGACUUGGAGACGACCCUAAUCAUUUGUUCAAUUCAUUUAUAUAUAUCAUAGCCCGUAGCAACGCACGGGCACUCUGCUAGUAGUUUUAUAGCAAGAUAAUUUGUAACGAGCAAGUAACGAUAGUAACAAUAAGUAUGCAGCAAGGUAGCCCAAUCCUUUUUAGACAAAGGACAGGCCAAAACGGUCUCUUAUAACAAGUAAAGCGUUCUUGAGGGUACACGUGAAUUUCAUCUAGUUACUUUUGUCAUGUUGGUUUGAUUUGUGUUCGCUACUUUGAUAAUUUGAUAUGUGGGUGGACCGGUGCUUAGGUGUUGUUAUUACUUGAACAAACCUCCUACUUAUUAUUAACCCUCCCGCAAGCAUAUGCAACUACGAGAAAAGUAUUAAGAAUAAAUUCUAACCAUAGCAUUAAACUCUAGGAUCCAAUAUGUCCCUUAUGAAAUAGUGCAUAAACUGGGGUUUAAGUUUCUGUCACUCUCGCAACCCACCAUCUAUUUACUACUCCACAAUGCAUUUCCUUAGGCCCAAAUAUGGUGAAGUGUCAUGUAGUCGACGUUCACAUGACACCACUAAGGGAAUCACAACAUACAUACUAUCAAAAUAUCGAACACAUAUCAAAUUCACAUGAUUACUUGCAACAUGAUUUCUCCCGUGACCUCAGGAACAAAAGUAACUACUCACAAAUAAUCAACAUGCUCAUGAUCAGAGGGGUAUUAAAUAGCAUAAUGGAUCUGAACAUAUAAUCUUCCACCAAAUAAACCAUAUAGUAAUCAACUACAAGAUGUAAUCAACACUACUAAUCACCCCCUAGCACCAAUUUAUAGUUUCGGUAACAAGAUUGAAUACAAGAGAUGAACUAGGGUUUGAGAUGAGAUGGUGCUGGUGAAGAUGUUGAUGGAUAUUUCCCUCCCCAAGAUAGGAGUGUUGUUGGUGAUGAUGAUGACGAUGAUUUCCCCCUCCGGGAGGGAAGUUCCCCCGGCAGAAUCGCUCCGCUGGAGAGCAAAAGUGCUCCUGCCCAAGUUCCGCCUCGAGGCAGCGGCGCUUCGUCCCGAAUGUCUCUCCCUUUAUUUUUCUAGGUCAAAAUGACUUAUAUACCAGAAGAUGGGCGUGCCUGGGCUCCCUGGCGCGCCCAGGUGGGUUGUGCCCACCUAGUGGGCCCCCUCUAGUAGUUAUUUGCUCCAAUAUUUCUUAAAUAUUCCAUAAAAAAUUGUCCAUGAGGUUUCAGCUUGUUUGGAGUUGUGCAGAAUAGGUAGCCUGACGUAGCUUUUCCAGGUCCAGAUUUCCAGCUCCCAGAAUUCUCCCUCUUGGUGUGUACCUUGCAAAUUAUGAGAGAAAAGGCAUUAGAAUUACUCCAAAAAGCAUUAUUAUGGAUAAAAACAUUAUAAAUAAUAGUAAGAAAACAUGAUGCAAAAUGGACGUAUCAACUCCGCCAAGCUUAGACCUUGCUUGUCCUCAAGCGAAAACCAAAAUCGAAAAACAUGUCCACAUGCUUUGAGAGAGAGGUGUCGAUAAAAACAAAAAUACGGACAUAGAAGCAUCGUGUUAAUUAUUAUAACUGCAACAAAAUUGAACAUAGGACUUUUAUCAUUGAACUUGCAUCAUAUAAUUCCCAUUAAUAAGUAACAGUUCAUCACAUAAUCAAAGUAUAAAGCAAAAACUCUAUUAAAAACCAACAAACUAUGUUCUCAGUCAACUUUGCAACUACAAUUCAUCAUCUUUUCAGGAAGAGUCACGUGUCAUAGCCUUUUAGCAAGUCCACAUACUCAACCAUCAGAUAGUCUUCUAUGAUUGCUAACACUCACCUCAUACCAUGAGCAAAGCGUUUCAACUGGACACCUAGAAAGAUAGGGGCUCAUAGAUUCGCCUCCCAACAUACUCAACUCAAGGGUGAUGUCAACAAUAAUAACUCAUGCUAUCUAUAUUCAAAUGGACAUAUGUGCCUAGAUCUUUCCUCACCACAUGAUGCUUGCCAAAAGAGAAAAAUAAAAAGGAAUAGAAGGAAAACUUUGACUCUUUGCAUACAAGUAAAUACAUAAAUGUAAAAGAUAGGCCCUUCGCAGAGGGAAGCAGAGGUUGCCAUGCGCUUAUUUGUUAGCAUGCUCAAUCCCUUAGUGCAAGAGAACGUCACGUUGUAUUGCCCCUUAAGAUGACAACCUUUAUUAUGCAGUCUGUCGCUUUUAUUCUUUGUCAUCCAAGUUCGUACAACACUCCAUUUUCUCUUACACUAAAUGAUCUCACAUAUUUAGAAGCAAUUUUUAUUGCCUUUUUGUACCGAUGACAACUUACUUGAGGGAUCUUGCUUAAUCCAUAGGUAGGUAUGGUGGAUACUUGAAAAAGAUUUGGGUUUAAGGGUUUUGGCUGCACAAGUAGUAUCUCUACUUGGUGCAGAAUUUUUGGCUAGCAAAGAUAGGGGGCAAGCAUCACAUAUUAAAGGAUCUAUGACAAUAUGACUUCUAUGUGAAUAUAAAUAUACAUAAUUCAUUAAGUUGUCUUCCUUGUCCAACAUCAACAAUUUUGGCAUAUAAUAUUUUGAUGAGGGCUCACAAUCACAAAAGUUUUCUAGGAUAGUAUAUUUAUAUGUGAAUCUUCUCUUCCCUUAUUAAUUCUUUCAUGAGUUGCAUCAUUGACUAAUGCUCUGUUUGUCAAUCUCUAAUAAAAUUUCCUACUUAUACUUUUCCUUAUGUGGUUCCAUCACCUACCAUAGGAUUAGUAUAUGAUCUUAUUGAUUUAUUUCUUUCUUUUAUUUUAUUUUUUUCUUCCUUUCUUAUUUAUUUUCUUUAUUUGCAACAUGAAAGUAAAGAAAGCAAAACUCACACUAACUUUAUUAUAUAACUUGCACACGAUUACGAGGAUAGAUCACUAAGAAGACUCUCAAAUAAGAAAGGAUCGAACUAACUUUAUUUCAUCUAAAGCAAAAAUAUCGAACUAAGACAAGUAAAAGCAAAAAAUAUAGUGGGAUGAUACGAUACCGGGGCACCUCCCCCAAGCUUGGCAGAAGCCACGGGGAGUGCCCAUACCCGGCAAGCAGUGCUUGUGCUGUCACCGAGGAUGGAUUUACGAUAGCUUCCUUGACCUUGCCUCCCUUGACAGCAUCCGUAGGCUCCUCCCUCUUCGUCUCGAUCUUCAUCAGCCAAGCAUCUUCUUCCAUGUUGUUGGAGGAGUAGGAAGAAGUGAUGCCUGGCUUGAUAAAUCUGGCAACAAACAACAAGAAAAGAAAUAGAGGAUUUCUUUGCGAUACGGUGGUUAAUAGGUUCGGGAAGUAUAUAUAAAUUUUUUCUCUUGUAGGACAAGUAUACAGAAGAAAAACAGAAUCCGGAAGGUGCCCCAGGUGGGCACAACCCACUUGGGCACGCCAGGCAUGCCUGGCUCGCCCCGAUGUCUUAUGCCCACCAGGGGACAUCUCCUGGGAAUUUCUUUAUUUCCAAAAUUCUAAAAUAUUCCAAAACUAACAAAAAAUGAUUUUAUGGAUUUUUCUGAGACUGUUUACUUACCGUAUUACGUACCUCCUUAUUUUGACGAUUCUCGGGGGUUCCGAAAGGACUCUUUUAUGUGUUCUUCCGGUGUCAAAGUUUGGAUAAUAUUACUUUCAACAUUGAUAGGCGUACCUGUGAUAUAAUGCUUUAUUCGUUGCCUGCUGACAACCUUCGGAUUAGUGCCUUGGAAAUUAUUUAUUUUGAUGGCUCCAGACCGGUAAACCUCCUCGAUGACAUAUGGGCCUUUCCAUUUUGAGAGGAGCUUUCCUGCAAAAAAAUCUAAAACGAGAGUUGUACAAAAGAACAUAUUCUCCGACUUUGAACUCACGCUUGUGGAUUCUUUUGUCAUGCCAUCUUUUAACUUUAUCUUUGAAUAAUUUUGCAUUUUCAUAAGCCUGGGUUCUCCGUUCAUGUAUAGAGCAAAUAUGAAAUAAACUCUUUUCACCGGCAAGUUUGAAAUCAUAGUUGAGUUCUUUAACUGCCCGAUAUGCUUUAUGUUCUAACUCAAGAGGCAAAUGACAAGCUUUUCCAUAAACCAUUUUAUGAGGAGACAUGCCCAUUGGAUUUUUAUACGCUGUUCUAUAAGCCCAAAGUGCAUCAUCUAAUUUCUUAGACCAAUUCUUCCUGGUGCUAUUGAUAGUCUUUUGCAAAAUUAAUUUUAUUUCCCUAUUGCUAAGUUUAACUUGACCACUAGACUGAGGAUGAUAAGGUGAUGCAAUUCCAUGGUUAACAUCAUACUUGGCAAGCAUUUUACGAAAAGAACCAUGAAUAAAGUGUGAACCACCAUCAGUCAUUAAAUAUCUAGGGACUCCAAACCUUGGGAAAAUAACUUCCUUAAGCAUUUUAAUAGAGGUGUUGUGAUCAGCACUACUUGUUGGAUAGCUUCUACCCAUUUAGUAACAUAAUCAACAGCAACCAAAAUAUGUGUAUACCCAUUAGAGGAAGGAAAAGGUCCCAUGUAAUCAAAUCCCCAAACAUCAAAUGGUUCAACAACAAGUGAAUAAUUCAUAGGCAUUUCUUGACGCUUACCAAUGUUACCUAUUCUUUGGCAUUCAUCAUAAGAUGAGACAAACUUACGGGCAUCCCUGGAGAGAGUAGGCCAAUAAAAUCCAGAUUGCAAUACCUUGUGAGCAGUUCUAUCUCCAGCAUGAUGCCCUCCAUAAGCCUCGGAGUGACAUUUCCGUAGGAUUUGUCCCUGUUCAUACUUGGGUACACAAUGUCUAAUAAUACCAUCUACUCCUUCUUUAUAAAGAUGUGGGUCAUCCCGAAAGUAAUGUCCUAAAUCAUAGAAGAUUUUUUUCUUUUGUUGGUAUUUAAAGCUGGGAGGUAACUAUUUAACAACGAUGUAAUUAGCAUGAUCAGCAUACCAAGGAGUACUAUUAGCAACAUUUAUUGCAGCUAACUGCUCAUCAGGAAAACUAUCAUCAAUAGGUAGUGGGUCAUCAAGCACAUUUUCAAGGCUAGACAAGUUAUCUGCUACGGGGUUCUCAACUCCUUUUCUGUCAAUAAUAUGUAAAUCAAAUUCUUGUAACAAGAGAACCCAACGAAUAAGUCUAGGUUUAGCAUCUUUCAUUUCCAUAAGAUAUUUAAUAGCAGCAUGGUCUGUGUGAACAGUUACUUUGGAAUCAACAAUAUAAGGUCUAAAUUUAUCACAAGCAAACACCACUGCUAAUUUUUUCAGUAGUAGCAUAAUUUCUUUGAGCAUUGUCUAGAGUUUUACUAUCAUAAUGAAUAACAUUCAAUUUCUUAUCAACUCUUUGUCCUAGAACAGCACCCACAGCAUAAUCACUAGCAUCACACAUAAUUUCAAAAGGCAAGUUCCAAUCCGAUGGUUGAACAAUAGGUGCAGAAAUUAAGGCUUUCUUGAGUGUUUCAAAUGCUUCUAAACAAUCAUCAUCAAAAACAAAAGGAACAUCCUUUUGCAAAAGAAUAGUGAGAGGCCUAGAAAUUUUAGAGAAGUCUUUAAUAAAUCUCCUAUAGAAACCAGCAUGACCUAGGAAACUGCGAAUACCUUUGAUGUCCUUAGGACAUAGCAUUUUCUCAAUUGCAUCAACCUUAGCUUGGUCCACUUCAAUAUCUCUUUCAGAAAUUUUAUGACCCAAGACAAUGCCCUCAUUAACCAUAAAGUGGCACUUCUCCCAAUUCGAGACAAGAUUUGUUUGUUCACAUCUCUGCAAAACUCGCUCAAGAUUGCUUAAAUAAUCAUCAAACGGCUUCCCAUAAACAGAAAAGUCAUCCAUGAAAACCUCAACAAUCUUUUCACAAAAGUCAGAGAAUAUAGCAGUCAUACAUCUUUGCAAGGUAGCGGGUGCAUUACAUAAACCGAAAGGCAUACGUCUAUAAGAAAAAGUUCCAGAAGGACAAGUAAUUGUGGUAUUUUCUUGAUCAGAUUGUAAAACAUGUAUUUGUGAAAAGCCAGAGUAUCCAUCAGGGAAGCAAAAAUGUGUGCCCAUCCAUAUCUUCUUCCAAGAGAUCUUUAACCAUAGCAAUGCUAGGUUCUACUUUAAUUUGUUCAUCGGGUUUAGGUGUUCCAACAUAGCUUUUGUUAACCACGGUUGAAACUUUAGCAUGUUCUUUUAUCCUAACAGGGAAAGGUGGUUUCUCAAUGUAAGCAGAAGGAACAAAUGGAUCAACAUUAUAAAGUAUAGUUUCUUCUUUAACUGGUACUGGCUCUUUAAUUUCAUCUUUAAUAGGUGGGUGAUAUUUAACCCACUUCUCUUUAGAAAGUUCAACAUGAGUAGCAAAUGAUUCACAAAAGGAGGCUACUAUUUCAGACUGUCCAUAUUUAGUGCUAAACUUUUGAAAAGCAUCGGUAUCCAUAAAAGAUUUAACACAAUCAUACUUAACCUUUAUAACCGACUCCUUAACUUCGUCAAGUUCCCAACCUUCAGAGUUGCGUUUAAUUCUUUCCAAAAGAUCCCACCGGAAUUCAAUAGUUUUCUUCGUAAAAGAACCAACACAAGAAGUAUCCAGCAUGGUUUGAUCAUUACGAGAAAGCCAAGCAUAAAAAUUCUGAAUAAUAAUUUCCCUUGAGAGCUCAUGAUUGGGGCAUGAAUAUAACAUCAACUUAAGCCUCCCCCAUGCUAGAGCGAUACUUUCUCCUUCACGAGGAGAAAAAUUAUAAAUAUAAUUUCGAUCACAAUGAACUAGAUGCAUAGGAUAAAUUUUUUGAUGGAACUCCAAUUUCAGACGAUUCUAAUUCCAUGAUCCAAUAUCAUCACAUAGCCUAUACCAUGCCAAUGCUUUUCCCUUCAAAGAUAAAGGGAAAACCUUUUUCACCACUUAAUCCCUGGGUAAACCUGCAAGCUUAAACAAUCCACAAAUUUGUUCCACAUGUAUCAAGUGCAUAUCAGGAUGUUCAGUUCCAUCUCCUGCAUAAGGAUUAGCUAGCAGUUGUUCUAUCAUACUUGAAGGGAUUUCAUAUUCAAUAUUUUCAGUAGGUGCAGUAGGUUGAGGGUUAACUAAUUGUGGUUCUGGACGAGGUGAAGAUACCCCGAACAAACCCCUCAAAGGAUUGUUUUCCAUAGUAACAAGUGACAAUAAAUUUCAGCACACUAUAUAAAUGUUUGCUUACCGAAUUCCACUUACCAAAGGCGCUUCAUUCCCCGGCAACGGCGCCAGAAAAUAGCCUUGAUGACCCACAAGUAUAGGGGAUCAAUUGUAGCUCUUUUCGAUAAGUAAGAUUGUCGAACCCAACAAGGACUAGAAGGAAAUGACAAGUAGUUUUCAGUAAGGUAAUGUGUGCAAGUGCUGAAACUGUAAGUAGCGAGUAGUUUGAUAGCAAGAUAAUUUGUAAUGAGCAAGUAACGAUAGUAACAAUAAGUAUAUAGCAAGGUAGCCCAAUCCUUUUUAGAUAAAGGACAGGCCAAAACAGUCUCUUAUAACAAGCAAAGCGUUCUUGAGGGUACACGUGAAUUUCAUCUAGUUACUUUCGUCAUGUUGGUUUGAUUUGUGUUCGCUACUUUGAUAAUUUGAUAUGUGGGUUGACCGGUGCUUAGGUGCUGUUCUUACUUGAACAAACCUCCUACUUAUUAUUAACCCUCCCGCAAGCAUCAGCGACUACGAUAAAAGUAUUAAGAAUAAAUUAUAACCAUAGCAUUAAACUCUAGGAUCCAAUCGGUCCCUUCCGGAAUAGUGCAUAAACUGGGGUUUAAGUUUCUGUCAAUCUCGCAACCCACCAUCUAUUUACUACUCCACAAUGCAUUCCCUUAGGCCCAAAUAUGGUGAAGUGUCAUGUAGUCGACAUUCACAUAACACCACUAAGGGAAUCUCAACAUACAUACUAUCAAAAUAUCGAACACAUAUCAAAUUCACAUGAUUACUUGCAACAUGGUUUCUCCCGUGACCUCAAGAACAAAAGUAACUACUCACAGAUAAUAAACAUGCUCAUGAUCAUAGGGGUAUUAAAUAUCAUAAUGGAUCUGAACAUAUAAUCUUCCAUCAAAUAAACCAUAUAGUAAUCAACUAUAAGAUGUAAUCAACACUACUAGUCACCCCCUAGCACCAAUAUAUAGUUUCGGUAACAAGACUGAAUACAAUAGAUGAACUAGGGUUUGAGAUGAGAUGGUGUUGGUGAAGUUGUUGAUGGAGAUUGGCCUCCCCAAGAUGGGAGAGUUGUUGGUGAUGAUGAUGACGAUGAUUUCCCCCUCCGGGAGGGAAGUUCCCCGGCAGAAUCGCUCCGCCGGAGAGCAAAAGUGCUCCUGUCCAAGUUUCGCCUCGAGGCGGUGGCGCUUCAUCCCAAAUGUUUCUUCCUUUAUUUUUCUAGGUCAAAAUGACUUAUAUACCAGAAGAUGGGCACCGAAGGUGGGCCGAGGAGGGCACAACCCACCAGGGCACGCCUGGGCUCCCUGGCGCAUCCAGGUGGGUUGUGCCCACCUGGUGGGCCCCCUCUGGUAGUUAUUUGCUCCAAUAUUUUUUAAAUAUUCCAUAAAAAAUUCUCCGUGAGGCUUCAGCUUGUUUGGAGUUGUGCAGAAUAGGUAGCCUGACAUAGCUUUUUCAGGUCUAGAUUUUCCAGCUGCCACAAUUCUCCCUCUUGGUGUGUACCUUGCACAUUAUGAGAGAAAAGGCAUUAGAAUUACUCCAAAAAGCAUUAUUAUGGAUAAAAAUAUUAUAAAUAACAGUAAGAAAACGUGAUGCAAAAUGGACGUAUCAUGAACCACCAUCAGUCAUUAAAUAUCUAGGGACUCAAAACCUUGGGAAAAUAACUCCCUUAAGCAUUUUAGUAGACGUGUUGUGAUUAGCACUACUUGUUGGAAUAGCUUCUACCCAUUUAGUAACAUAAUCAACAACAACCAAAAUAUGUGUAUACCCAUUAGAGGAAGGAAAAAGUCCCAUGAAGUCAAAUCCCCAAACAUCAAAUGGUUCAAUAGCAAGUGAAUAAUUCAUAAGCAUUUCUUGACGCUUAUCGAUAUUACCUAUUCUUUGGCAUUCAUCACACGAUGAGACAAACUUACGGGCAUCCUUGAAGAGAGUAGGCCAAUAAAAACCAAAUUGCAAUACCUUUUCAGUGGUUCUGUCUCCCGCGUGAUGUCCUGCAUAAGCUUCAGAGUGACAUUUCCAUAGAAUUUGUUCCUGUUCAUGCUCAGGUACACAACGUCUAAUAAUACCAUCUACUCCUUUAUAAAGAUGUGGGUCAUCCCAAAAUUAAUAUCUUAAAUCAUAGAAGAUUUUUUUCUUUUGUUGGUAUGUGAAGCUAGGUGGUAUGUAUUUAUCAACAAUAUAAUUAGCAUAGUCAGCAUACCAAGGUGUACUAUGAGAAACAUUUGUUGCAGCUAGUUGUUUAUCAGGGAAGCUAUCAUUAAUAGGUUGUGGGUCAUCAAGAAUAUUUUCAAGCCUAGACAAGUUAUUAGCUACGGGGUUCUCUGCUCCUUUUCUAUGAGUGACAUGCAAAUCGAAUUCUUGUAGCAGAAGAACCCACCUAAUGAGUCUAGGUUUAGUAUCUUUCUUUUCCAUAAGAUAUUUUAUAGCACCAUGAUCGGUGUGAAUAAUUACUUUAGAAUCAACUAUGUAAGAUCUGAAUUUAUCACAAGCAAACACCACUGCUAAGAAUUCUUUUUCAGUAGUAUCAUAGUUUUGUUGAGCACUGUCUAGAGUUUUACUAGCAUAAUGAAUAACAUUUAGUUUCUUAUCAACUCUUUGUCCUAGAACAGCACCAACAGCAUAACCACUACCAUCACACAUAAUCUCAAAAGGCAAGUUCCAAUUAGGUGGUUGAACAACAGGUGCAGUAAUUAAGGCUUUCUUUAGUGUUUCAAAGGCUUCCAUACAAUCAUCAUCAAACACAAAGGGAAUAUCCUUUUGCAAAAGAUUAGUAAGAGGCCUAGAAAUUUUAGAAAAGUCUUUGAUAAACCUCCUAUAGAAACCAGCAUCACCAAGGAAACUACGAAUACCUUUGAUAUCUUUAGGACAUGGCAUUUUCUCAAUUGCAUCAACCUUGGCUUUGUCCACCUCAAUGCCUCUUUCAGAAAUUUUAUGGCCCAAGACAAUACCUUCAUUAACCAUAAAGUGGCCCUUCUCCCAAUUCAAGACGAGAUUUGUUUGUUCACGUCUCUGCAAGACUCGAUCAAGAUUGUUUAAAAAAUCAUCAAAAGACUUCCCAUAAACAGAAAAGUCAUCCAUGAAAACCUCAAUAAUCUUUUCACAAAAAUCAGAGAAUAUAGCAGUCAUACAUCUUUGAAAGGUAGCAGGUGCAUUACAUAAACCGAAAGGCAUACGUCUAUAAGCAAAUGUUCCAAAAGGACAAGUAAAAGUGGUCUUUUCUUGAUCAAAUUGUAAAACAGAUAUUUGUGAAAAGCAAUAGUUUCCAUCAAGGAAGCAAAAAUGUGUGUGCUUGGAUAAUAUUUCUAACAAUUGAUGGAUAAAAGGUAGAGGGAAAUGAUCUUCUCUAGUAGCUUUAUUGAAUUUUCUAUAAUCAAUUACCAUUCUGUAGCCCGUGACAAUUCUUUGUGGAAUAAGUUCAUUCUUAUCAUUAGGAACAAUAGUAAUACCUCCUUUCUUAAGGACACAAUGAACAGGACUUACCCAUCUACUAUCAGCUAUAGGAUAGAUUAUACCUUCUUCCAGAAGUUUCAAUAUUUCCGUUCUUACCACUUCUUUCAUUUUCAGAUUUAACCGAUGUUGGUGAUCAACAACUGGUUUAGCAUCAGGUUCCAUAUUAAUCUUGUGCUGACAUAGAGUGGUACCAAUGCCCUUAAGAUCAUCAAGAGUAUAUCCAAUAGCAGCCUUGUGCUUCCUUAGAACUUUCAAUAAUCUUUCUUCUUCAUGUUCUGAAAGGUUAGCACUAAUAAUAAUAGGAUAUAUCUUCUUUUCAUCAAGAUAAGCAUAUUUCAAAGUGUCUGGCAAUUGUUUUAAUUCAUACACGGGAUCACCUUUAGGUGGAGGAGGACCUCCUAGAGUUUCAAUAGGCAAAUUGUGUUUAAGCAGAGGUUGUUGUUCGAAAAAGAUUCUAUCUAUUUCAUUUCUUUCAAGCAUAUGCAAAUCAUUUUCAUGGUCUAGCAAAUAUUGUUCUAGAGGAUCAGUAGGAGGUAUAGCAAUAGAAGCAAGACCAAUAAUCUCAUCCUUAUUAGGAAAAUCUUUCUUAUGAGGUUGUUUACUAAACUUCGAAAAAUUAAAUUCAUGAGAUUCAUCACCAAAGCUAACACUGAUAGUUUGUUUCUCACAAUCUAUUUUGGCACUGACGGUGUUCAAGAAAGGCUUACUAAAAAUAAUGGGACAAAAGUCAGUAGGGUAUUUUAUUUUCCCACACAAGACUUCAACAUCUCUAACAAUCCCAAUUGGUUAUAUAGUAUCUCUAUUAGCAAGUUUAAUAGUGACAUCUAUGUCUUCUAUUUCAACAGGUGCUAUUUCAUCUUUGAUUUCUUGAUAUAAUGAGAAAGGAAUAGCACUCACACUAGCACCUAGGUCACAUAACCCAUGAUAACAAUGAUCUCCUAUCUUAACUGAGACAACAUGCAUGCCAACAACUGGUCUAUGUUUAUCUUUUCCUUCAGGUUUGGCAAUUCUAGAAGCUUCACCAUAGAAGUAAAUAACAUGCCCAUCAAUAUUAUCAACUAAGAGAUCUUUAACUAUAGCAACACUAGGUUCAACUCUGAUUUUUUUCAGGUGGUUUUGUUAUUCUAACAUAACUUUUGUUAACCAUAGUUGAAGCUUUAGCAUGUUCCUUCACCCUAACAGGAAAAGGUUUUUUUUUAUUAUAAGUAGUGGGAACAACUGGAUCAACAUUGUAAAUAACGGUUUCUUCUUUAGCUUUUACCAGUUCUUUAAUUUCUUCUUUAAUUUGUGGGUGAUAUUUAAACCACUUCUCCUUAGGUAGAUCAACAUGAGUAGCAAAAGAUUCACAAAAGGAAGCUACUAUCUCAGAGUCAAGUCCAUAUUUAGUGCUAAACUUUUGAAAAGCUUCAGUAUUCAUAAAAGAUUUAACACAAUCAAACUUAGGUUCAAUACCUGACUCUUUGCCUUCGUCGAGUUCCCAAUCUUCAGAGUUGUGUUUAAUUCUUUCUAAAAGAUCCCAUCGAAAUUCAAUAGUUUUCUUCAUAAAAGAACCAGUACAAGAAGUAUCGAGCAUGGAUUGAUCAUUACGAGAAAGCCGAGCAUAAAAAUUCCGAAUAAUAAUUUCUCUCGAGAGCUCAUGAUUGGGGCAUGAAUAUAACAUUGACUUAAGCCUCCCCCAAGCUAGAGCGAUAUUUUCUCCUUCACGAGGCCAAAAGUUAUAUAUAUAAUUCCGAUCACGAUGAACUAGAUGCAUAGGAUAAAAUUUCUGAUGAAAUUCCAAUUUCAAAUGGUUCCAGUUCCAAGAUCAAAUAUCAUCGCAUAGCCUAUACCAUGUCAAUGCUUUUCCCUUCAAAUAUAAAGGGAAAACCUUCUUCUUAGCUUCAUCUCCGGGCAGACCUGCAAGCUUAAACAAUCCGCAAAUUUCAUCCACAUAUAUCAAGUGCAUAUCAGGAUGUCGGUUCCAUCUCCUGCAUAAGGAUUAGCUAGCAGUUGCUAUAACAUACCUGAAGGAAUUUCAUAUUCAAUAUUUUCAGUAGGUGCAGUAGGUUGAGGGCCAACUAAUUGUCGUUCCGGUCGAGGUGAAGAUACCCUGAACAAACCCCUCAAAGUUUUGUUUUCCAUAGUAGCAAGUGACAAUAAAUUUUAGCACGUCGUAAUAAUGUUUCCUUACCAAUUUCCACUUACCAAGAGCGCUUCACUCCCCGGCAACGGCACCAGAAAAUAGACUUGAUGACCCACAAGUAUAUGAGGUCAAUUGCAGCCUUUUCGAUAAGUAAGAGUGUCGAACCCAACAAGGAGCAGAAGGAAAUGACAAAGUGGUUUUCAGCAAGGUAUUGUCUGCAAGUGCUAAAAUUGUUAGUAGCGGAGUAGUUUGAUAGCAAGAUAAUUUGUAACGAACAAGUAACAAAAGUAGUAACAAAUGUGCAGAAAGGUAACCCAAUUCUUUUGAGGCAAAUGACAGGCCAAAACAGUUUCUGAUGAUAAGCAAAGUGUUCUUGAGGGUACACGGGAAUUUCAUCUAGUCACUUCCAUCAUGUUGGCUUAAUUCGUGUUCUGUACUUUGAUAAUUUGAUAUGUGGGUGGACCGGUGCUUAGGUGUUGUUCUUACUUGAACAAACCUCCUACUUAUGAUUAACCCUCUCGCAAGCAUCCGCAACUACGAGAAAAGUAUUAAGAAUAAAUUCUAACCAUAGCAUUAAACUUUUGGACCCAAUCGGUCCCUUACGGAAUAGCGCAUAAACUGGGGUUUAAGCUUCUGUCACUCUUGCAACCCACCAUCUAAUGACUACUCUACAAUGCAUUCCCUUAGGCCCAAAUAUGGUGAAGUGUCAUGUAGUCUACGUUCACAUGGCACCACUAAGAGAAUGGAAACAUACAUAUCAUCAAAAUAUUGAACACAUAUCAAGUUCACAUGAUUACUUGCAACAUGAUUGCUCCCGUGACCUCAAGAACGAAAGUAACUACUCGCAAAUGAUAAACAUGCUCAAGAUCAGAGGGGUAUUAAAUAGCAUAAUGGAUCUGAACAUAUAAUCUUCCAUCAAAUAAACCAUAUAGUAAUCAACUACAAGAUGUAAUCAACACUACUAGUCACCCACAAGCACCAAUCUAUAGUUUUGAUACAAAGAUUGAACACAAGAGAUGAACUAGGGUUUGAGAGGAGUUGGUGUUGUGAAGAUGUUGAUGAAGAUAGCCCUCCCCAAGAUGGGAGAGUUGUUGGUGAUGAUGAUGACGAUGAUUUCCCCCUCCAGGAGGGAAGUUCCCUCGGUGGAACCGCUCCGCCGGAGGGCAAAAGUGAUCCUGCCCAAGUUCUGCCUCGAGGCGGUGGUGCUUCAUCUCGAAUGUCCUCCUCUAAUUUUUUUCUCUAGGUCAAAAUGACUUAUAUACCAGAACAUGGGCACCGGAGGUGGGCCGAGGAGGGCAGUACCCACCAGGGCACGCAUGGGGGUCCUGGCGCGCCGAGGUGGGUUGUGCCCACAUGGUGGACCCCUCUGGUACUUAUUUUCUCCAAUAUUUAUUAAAUAUUCCAUAAAAAACCUCAGGAAAUUUCAGCUCAUUUGGAGUUGUGCAGAAUAGGUAGCUUGACGUAGCUUUUUCAGGUCCAGAUUUCUAGCUGCCGGAAUUCUCCCCCUUGGUGCAUACCUUGCAUAUUAUGAGGGAAAAGGCAUUAGAAUUACUCCAAAAAGCAUUAUUAUACAAUAAAACAACAUAAAUAACAAUAGGAAAACAUGAUGCAAAAUGGAUGUAUCAACACUCUCCCCUCUCGUUGCUAUGCAUUUCCUAGAUAGAUCUUGUGUGAGCGUAGGAAACUUUUUGAAAUUGCAUGCUACUUUUCCCAACAGUGGCAUUAGAGCCAGGUCUAUGCGUAGAUGAUAUGCAAGAGUAGAACACAAAGAGUUGUGGGCGGUGAUCGUCAUACUGCUUACGACCAAUGUCUUAUUUUGAUUAGGCGGUAUUGUUGGAUGAAGCGGCCUGGACCAGCCUUACAUGACCGCGUUCAUGAGACCGGUUCCACCGACAGACAUGCAACUAGUUUUGCAUAAAGGUGGCUGGUGGGUAUAUGUUUCUCCAACUUUAGUUGAAUCGAAUUUGACUAUGGUCAGUCCUUGUGAAGGUUAAAACAGCAAACUUGAUAAAUUACCAUUGUGAUUUUUGUGUCGUAGGUAUGUACGGUUCAUGCUAGAAGCUCGUUGCAGCCACGUAAAACUUGCAACAACAAAGUAGAGGACGUCUAACUUGUUUUUGCAGGGCAUGUUGUGAUGUGAUAUCGUCAAGGCAUGAUGUGAUAUAAGUUGUUGUAUGAGAUGAUCAUGUUUUGUAAAAGUUAUCAGCAACUGGCAGGAGCCAUAUGGUUGUCGCUUUAUUGUAUGAAAUACAAACGCCAUGUAAUUGCUUUACUUUAUCACUAAGCGCUAGCGAUAGUUGUAGAAGCAAUAGUUGGCGAGACAACCACGACGCUAUGAUGGAGAUCAAGGUGUCAAGUUGGUGAUGAUGGAGAUCAUGACGUUGCUUUGGUGAUGGAGAUCAAAAGCACAAGAUGAUGAUGGCCAUAUCAUGUCACAUUUUUUGAUUGCAUGUUAUGUUUAUCUUUAUGCAUUUUAUUUUGCUUAGUAUGGCGGUAGCAUUAUAAAGUGAUCCCUUACUAAAAUUUAAGGUAUAAGUGUUCUCCCCGAGUAUGCACCGUUGUGAAAGUUCUUCGUGCUGAGACACCACGUGAUGAUCGGGUGUGAUAAGCUCUACGUUCAAAUACAAUGGGUGCAAGCCAGUUUUGCACAUGGGGAAUACUCAGGUUAAACUUGACGAGCCUGCUACCUCUUGAGCACUGCGUUGGUUUUCCUUGAAGAGGAAAGGGUGAUGCAGCAAAGUAGCGUAAGUAUUUCCCUUAGUUCUUGAGAACCAAGGUAUCAAUCCAGUAGGAGGCUCCUCAAAAGUCCCACGCACCUACACAAACAAACAAGAACCUCGCAACCAACGCAAUAAAUGGGUUGUCAAUCCCUUCAUGGUAACUUGCAAAAGUGAGAUCUGAUAGAGAUAAUAAGGUAAGAUAAAUAUUUUUAGUAUUUUUAUGAUAUAUAUUGGAAAGUAAAAUAUGCAAAUAAAAGUAGAUGUAAAACUUGUAUGAUAAAAGAUAGACCCAGGGGCCAUAGGUUUCACUAGUGGCUUCUCUCAAGAUAGCAUAAGUAUUACGGUGGGUGAACAAAUUACUGUCGAGCAAUUGAUAGAAAAGUGCAUAGUUAUGAGAAUAUCUAGGCAUGAUCAUGUAUAUAGGCAUCACGUCCGUGUCAAGUAGAUCGAAAUGAUUCUGCAUCUACUACUAUUACUCCACACAUCGACCGACUCUUGCCUGCAUCUAGAGUAUUAAGUUCAUGAAGAACAGAGUAACGCAUUAAGAAAGAUGACAUGAUGUAGAGGGAUAAACUCAUGCAAUAUGAUAUAAACCCCAUCUUUUUAUCCUCGAUGGCAACAAUACAAUACAUGCCUUGCUGCCCCUACUGUCACUGGGAAAGGACACCGCAAGAUUGAACCCAAAGCUAAGCACUUCUCCCAUUGCAAGAAAGAUCAAUCUAGUAGGCCAAACAAAACUGAUAAUUCGAAGAGACUUGCAAAGAUAACAAAUCAUACAUAAAAUAAUUCAGAGGAGAUUCAAAUACUUCUCAUAGAUAAACUUGAUCAUAAACCCACAAUUCAUCGGAUCUCGACAAACACACCGCAAAAAGAGUUACAUCGAAUAGAUCUCCAAGAAGAUUGAGGAGAACUUUGUAUUGAGAUUCAAAGAGAGAGAAGAAGCCAUCUAGCUAAUAACUAUGGACCCGAAGGUCUGUGGUAAACUACUCACAACUCAUCGGAGAGGCCUUGGAGAUGAUGUAGAGGCCCUCUGUGGUCGAUUCCCCCUCCUGUGGAGCGUCGGCGAAGGCUCAAAGAUGGGAUCUCGUGGAUACAGAAGAUUGCGGCGGUGGAAUAAGGUUUUCAUGGUGCAUUUCAAUGUUUUCAGGGUACGGGAGUAUGUAUAGGAGGAACAAGUAGGUUGGUUGACGCUCAAGGGGCCCACGAGGGUGGGGGGUGCGCCCACCCCCAGGGGCACACCGGGCACCCUCGUGGCCGCCUCGUUUGUUGCUUGACGUCUACUCCAAGUCUCCAGGUUUGCAUUUGUUCUGAAAAGAUCGCUCCCGAAGGUUUCAUUCUGUUUGGACUCCGUUUGAUAUUCCUUUUCUUCGAAACAUUGAAAUAGGCCAAAAAAAGCAAUUCGGGCUAGGCCUCCGGUUAGUAGGUUAGUCCCAAAAAUGAUAUAAAAGUGUAAAGUAAAGCCCAUAAACAUCCAAACGGGUAAUAUAAUAGCAUGGAACAAUCAAAAAUUAUAGAUGCGUUGGACACUUAUCAAGCAUCCCCAAGCUUAAUUCCUGCUUGUCCUCGAGUAGGUAAAUGAUAAAAACAGAAUUUUUGAUGUGGAAUGCUACCUAGAAUAAUUCUCAAUGUAAUUCUCUUUAAUGUGGCAUGAAUGUUCAGAUCCAAAUGAUUCAAAAUAAAAGUUCAUAUUGACAUAAGAAAUAGUAAUACUUCAAGCAUACUAACAAAGCAAUCAUGUCUUCUCAAAAUAACAUGGCUAAAGAAAGUUCAUCCCCACAAAAUCAUAUGGUUUGGUCAUGCUCCAUUUUCGUCACACAAGAAUGCUCUCAUCUUGCACACCCCCGAUGACAAGCCAAGCAAUUGUUUCAUACUUUAGCAAUCUCAAAAUUUUUUCAACUUUCACGCAAUACAUGAGCGUGAGCCAUGGAAAUAGCACUAUGGGUGGAAUAGAAUAUGAUGAUGGAGGUUGUGUGGAGAAGACAAAAAAGGAGAAAGUCUCAUAUUGACGAGGAUAAUCAACGGGCUAUGAAGAUGCCCAUCAAUUGAUGUCAACAUAUGAGGAGUAGGGAUUGCCAUGCAACGGAUGCACUAGAGCUAUAAAUGUAUGAAAGCUCAACAAAAGAAACUAGUGGGUGUGCAUCCAACUUGCUUGCUCAUGAAGACCUAUGGCAUUUUGAGGAAGCCCAUCGUUGGAAUAUACAAGCCAAGUUCUAUAAUAAAAAAUUCCCACUAGUAUAUGAAAGUGACAACAAAUGAGACUCUCUGUAUGAAGAACAUGGUGCUACUUUGAAGCACCAGUGUGGAAAAAGAUAGUAACAUUGUCCCCCUUUUUAUUUUAUUUUCUUUAUUUUCUUUUUUUCUUUUUUUGGGCCUUUUUUUAUUUGGCCUUUCCUUUUUUUUUCUUUGGCCUUUUUUUGGCCUUUCUUUUUUAUAAGGGACAAUGCUCUAAUAAUGAUGAUCAUCACACUUCUAUUUAUUUACAUCUCAUGAAUUACAACUCAAAACUAGAACAAGAUAUGACUCUAUAUGAAUGCCUCCGGCGGUGUACGGGGAUGGGCAAUGAAUCAAGAGUGACAUGUAUGAAAAAUUAUGAAGGUGGCUUUGCCACAAUACGAUGUCAACUACAUGAUCAUGCAAGGCAAUAUGACAAUGAUGAUGCGUGUCAUGAUAAACGGAACGGUGGAAAGUUGCAUGGCAAUAUAUCUUGAAAUGGCUAUGGAAAUGCAUAAUAGGUAGGUAUGGUGGCUGUUUUGAGGAAGAUAUAAGGAGGUUUAUGUGUGAUAGAGCGUAUCGUAUCAAGGGGUUUGGAUGCACCGGCAAAGUUUGCACCAACUCUGAAGGUGAGAAAGGGCAAUGCACGGUACCGAAGAGGCUAGCAAUGAUGGAAAGGUAAGAGUGCGUAUAAUCCAUGGACUCAACAUUAGUCAUAAAGAACUCAUAUACUUAUUGAAAAAUUCUACAAGUCAUCAAAAACCAAGAACUACGCGCAUGCUCCUAUGGGGAUAGAUUGGUAGGAAAAUACCAUCACUCGUCCCCGACCGCCACUCAUAAGGAUGACAAUCUAAGAACACCUCAUGUUUCAAAUUUGUUACACAACGGUUACCAUAUGUGCAUGCUACGGGACUUGCCAACUUCAACACAAGUAUUCUUUAAAUUCACAAUUACCCAACUAGCAUGACUCUAAUAUCACCACCUCCAUAUCUUAAAACAAUUAUCAAGUAUCAAAUUGAUCAUAGCAUCCAAUUCACUUCCUAUGAUAGUUUUUAUUAUACCCGACUUGGAUGCCCAUCAUUCUAGGACCAAUUUUACAACCAUAGAAAAUACCAUGCUGUUCUAAAAGACUCUCAAAAUAAUAUAAGUGAAUCAUGAGAGAUCAAAAAUUGCUACAAAAUUAAACCACCGCCGUUCUCUAAAAGAUAUAAGUGAAGCACUAGAGCAAAACUAUCUAGCUCAAAAGGUAUAAGUGAAGCAUAUAGAGUAUUUUAAUAAAUUCCAAAUCAUGUGGGCUUCUCCCAAAAGGUGUGUACAGCAAAGAUUAUUGUGGAAAUGUAAAAAUGAAAUACUAAUAUCAUACAAGACGCUCCAAGAAAAACACAUAUCAUGUGGCGAAUAAAAAUAUAGCUCCAAGUAAAGUUACCGAUAGACGAAGACGAAAGAGGGGAUUCCUUCCGGGGCAUCCCCAAGCUUAGGCUUUUGGUUAUCAUUGAAUAUCUUGUGGUGCCAUGGGCAUCCCCAAGCUUAGGAUAUGGGCACUCCUUAUUCCAUAGUCCAUCAAAUCUUUACCCAAAACUUGAAAACUUCACAACACAAAACUCAACAGGAAAGCUCAUAAGCUCCGUUAGUGCAAGAAAGAGAAACCACCACAUAAGGUACUGUAAUGAACUCAUUCUUUAUUUAUAUUGGUGUUAAACCUACUGUAUUCCAACUUCUCUAUGGUUCAUACCCCCCGAUACUAGCCAUAGAUGCAUCAAAAUAAGCAAACAACACACGAAAAACAGAAUCUGCCAAAAACAGAACAGCCUGUAGCAAUCUGUAACUUUCGAAUACGUAUGGAACUCUAAAACUGCGACAAAAAUAGGAAGUCCUGGGCAAUUUGUGUAUUGAUAUACAUCAAAAAGAAUAAACGCAAUAUCACCUUCCUGUGAUUUAUUAAAAUUAUUCUCGUGCGCGCAAAAGUUUCUGUUUUUCAGCAGAAUCAAAUUAACUAUCACCGUAGGUUAUCCUAUAGGUUCUACUUGGCACAAACACUAAUUAAAACAUAAAACCACAUCUAAAAAGAGGCUAUAUGAAAUAUUUAUUACUAAAUAGAAGCAAAAAAGCAAGUAACAAAAAUAAAAUUGGGUUGCCUCCCAGCAAGCGCUAUCGUUUAAUGCCCCUAGCUAGGCAUUGAUAAUUUUAAUGAUGCUCACAUGAAAGACAAGAAUUGAAGCGCAAAGAGAGCAUCAUGAAACACGUGACAAACACAUCUAAGUCUAACAUACUUCUUAUGCAUAGGUAUAUUAUAAGCAAACAAUUUUACAAUAGCAAUCUCAACAUGACGAGAGGUAAUUUAGUAAGAUAAAAAUUUAUACGACCAUAUUUUCCUCUCUCAUAAUAAUUACAUGUAGGAUCUUAGGCAAAUUCAACAAAAUAUCUAUCACAUAACAUAUUCUCAACACGAUCCACAUGCAGGUGAAGUUGACACUCUUCCAAAAUAUUGGGAUUAUCAUUAACUAAAGUCAUGACCUCUCCAAACCCACUUUUAUAAAAAAAUCAUAAGAUUGAACAUUCUCCAAAUAUGUGGGAUCUAAAGUUAACACUCUUCCAAACCCACUUCCAAUAUUAUUGCAAACACUAUUAUCAAUCUCAUAUUCAUCAUGGGGCUUAAAUAAAUCUUCAAGAUCAUAGGAAGAAUCAGCCCAAUCAUGAUCAUUGCAAGAAGUAGUAGACAUAGGAAAACUAGCAUGCCCAAGCUUAGGGUUUUGCAUAUUAUUAGCACAAUUGACAUCAAGAGAAUUAUAGUAACAUAAUUGCAAUCAUGCUUUUCUUUGAAGGAACUACCAAGUAUGGGUGCAAUAGCAACGAUCUCAUGUUUAACAUAAGGAACUAUAGCAAAUUCAUCUUCAUAAAUAUCGGCAUCAUGGCCACAAGAAUAGCAAGCAUCAUGUUCAUCAAAGGAUAUUUCAAUCAAAUCAUCAGAAUCAAAAUUAUUUAUAGAUUCAUGCAUAUCAUUAUUUUCUUCCAAAGCAAUGGUCAUUCUUUCAAUAAAUUCUUUGACAUAGACAUUAUGAGCCUAGUUUUCAUAGCAAUAUUUAAGCAUGUCAAAAUUUUCAGAUUCUUAGAGAGUAAUAUCAUACUUUUCAGUCAAAGAAGCAACUUCAUAAGCACCCUUAAAAGCAACAAAUUUUUCAAUUUGCUCGAUAUCAUAGUAACUAUAAACACCCUUUGCAUAAGAAGAUAAGAUUUCAUUAUCAUUAAACCCACAUAGGUAGGGAAGGUAUUUUUUAGGGUUCUUAGAGCAACAAGUAAAAUCAUAAGUUUCACAAAGAUUCCAAGCAUAACUCAACAAUCUAUUUAUUUGAUCCCAUAAGAGUCUCCCCUUUUUCAGACAACUGGUGACGCACAAAAUGAGCAUGCUCAUCUAAAGAUUUCCCAUCAACUAGGCUAGUUGGGGUUUUAGCACGAGCGCAUAUAGAUCGAAGAUGAUCCAAGUAGAAUACUUUAAGUGGAUCCAUAACAAUAGAUUUUUUGGCAAGCAAACAUGCAAGCAUAUAGAAGGCACAUGGAGACACAAGCAAACAAGAUCGAAUGGAAGAAGGGUGAAUAAAACGGCAAGGGUGAGGUGGGGGAGAGGAAAACGAGAGGCAAAUGGCAAAUAAUGUAAUGCGAGGGAGAUGAGUUUGUGAUGGGUACUUGGUAUGUCUUGACUUGAGCAAAGACCUCCCCGGCAACGGUGCUAGAAAUCCUUCUUGCUACCUCUGGAGCACUGCGUUGGUUUUCCUUGAAGAGGAAAGGGUGAUGCAGCAAAGUAGCGUAAGUAUUUCCCUCAGUUUUUGAGAACCAAGGUAUCAAUCCAGUAGGAGGCUCCUCAAAAGUCCCACGCACCUACACAAACAAACAAGAACCUCGACACCAACGCAAUAAAGGGGUUGACAAUCCCUUCAAGGUAACUUGCAAAAGUGAGAUCUGAUAGAGAUAAUAAGAUAAGAUAAAUAUUUAUGGUAUUUUUAUGAUAUAGAUUGGAAAGUAAAAGAUGCAAAUAAAAGUAGAUGUAAAACUUAUAUGAUAAAAGAUAGACCCGGGGGCCAUAGGUUUCACUAGUGGCUUCUCCCAAGAUAGCAUAAGUAUUACGGUGGGUGAACAAAUUACUGUCAAGCAAUUGAUAGAAAAGUGCAUAGUUAUGAUAAUAUGUAGGUAUGAUCAUGUAUAUAGGCAUCACGUCCGUGUCAAGUAGAUUGAAACGAUUCUGCAUCUACUACUAUUACUCCAUGAUAACCCACAAGUGUAGGGGAUCGCAACAGCUUUCGAGGGUAAAGUAUUCAACCCAAAUUUAUUGAUUCGACACAAGGGGAGCCAAAGAAUAUUCUUGAGUAUUAGCAGUUGAGUUUUCAAUUCAACCACACCUGGAUAACUUAGUAUCUGCAGCAAAGUGUUUAGUAGCAAAAGUGGUAUGAUAAUAAUGGUAACAGUGGCAAAGGUAAAGAUAAAUGUUUUUGGGUUUUUGUAGUAGUUGUAACAGUAGCAACGGAAAAGUAAAUAAGCGGAGAACAAUAUGUGAAAAGCUCGUAGGCAAUGGAUCAGUGAUAGAUAAUUAUGUCGGAUGCGUUUCUCAUGCAAUAGUUAUAACAUAGAGUGACACAGAACUAGCUCCAGUUCAUCAAUGUAAUGUAGGCAUGUAUUCCGUAAAUAGUCAUACGUGCUUAUGGAAAAGAACUUGUAUGACAUCUUUUGUCCUACCCUCCCAUGGCAGCAGGGUCCUAGCGGAAACUAAGGGAUAUUAAGGCCUCCUUUUAAUAGAGAACCGGAACAAAGCAUUAGCACAUAGUGAAUACAUGAACUCCUCAAACUACGAUCAUCACCGAGAAGUAUUCCCAUUAUUUUCACUUCGGGGUUGUUGGAUCAUAACACAUAAUAGGUGAUUAUAGACUUGCAAGAUAGGAUCAAGAACACACAUAUAUUCAUGCAAACAUAAUAGGUUCAGAUCUGAAAUCAUGGCACUCGGGCCCUAGUGACAAGCAUUAAGCAUAGAAAAGUCAUAGCAAUAUCAAACUCAGAACAUAGUUGAUACUAGGGAUUAAACCCUAACAAAACUAACUUGAUUACAUGGUAAAUCUCAUCCAACCCAUCACCGUCCAGCAAGCCUACGAUGGAAUUACUCAUGCACGAUGGUGAGCAUCAUGAAAUAGGUGAUGAAGGAUGGUUGAUGAUGGCGACGGCGACGAAUCCCCCUCUCUGGAGCCCCGAACGGACUCCAGAUCAGCCCUCACAAUAGAGAUUAGGGCUUGGCGGCGGCUCCAUGUCGUGAAACGCGAUGAAACUUUCUCUCUUAUGUUUUUCUCCUCGAGACGGAAUAUAUGGAGUUGGAAUUGAGGUCGGUGGAGGUCCAGGGGGCCCACGAGAUAGGAGGCCGCGCCCUAGGGGGGCACCCCCUGUCUCGUGGACAGGCUGUGAGCCCCCGGGCAUUAAUUCUUUCGCCAAAAAUUCUUAUUAAUUCCAAAAGGUGCCUUCGUGGAUUUCCAGGACAUUCGAGAACUUUUCUUUUCUACACAUAAAACAACAUCAUGGUAGUUCUGCUGAAAACAGCGUCAGUCUGGGUUAGUUUCAUUCAAAUCAUGCAAGUUAGAGUCCAAAACAAGGGCAAAAGUGUUUGGAAAAGUAGAUACGUUGGAGACGUAUCAACUCCCCCAAGCUUAAACCUUUGCUUGUCCUCGGGCAAUUCAGUUGAUAAACUGAAAGUGAUAAAGAAAAACUUUUACAAACUCGGUUUGCUCUUGUUUUUGUAAACAUGAAGAGCCAGCAUUCAAGUUUCGGCAAACAUUAUGAACUAACCAUACUCUCAAUAACACAUAGCUCUCACAAUCACUCAUAUCAAUAGCAUAACCAGCUAGCGAGCUAUAAUAAUAAAACUCGGGUGACAACACUUUCUCAAAAUAAUUAUAACAUGAUAUAACAAAAUGGUAUCUCGCUAGCCCUUUCUGAGACCGCAAAACAUAAAUGCAGAGCACCUUUAAAGACCAAGGACUGCCUAGACAUUGUAAUUCAUGGUAAAGGAGAUCUAGUCAAGUCAUACCCAAUAUAAACCAAUAGUAAUGAAUGCAAAUGACAGUGUGCUCUCCAGCGGGUACUUUUAAUAAGAAGGGUGAUGACUUAACAUAAAAGUAAAUAGAUAGGCCCUUCGCAGAGGGAAUCAGGGAUUUGUAGAGGUGCCAGAGCUCAAUUUUAAAAUAGAGAUUGAAUAACAUUUUGAGCGGCAUACUUUCAUUGUCAAUGCAACAUCUAUGAGAUGGCUAUAUCUUCCAUACUACAUCCAUUAUAGGCAGUUCCCAAACAAAAUGGUAAAGGUUUAUACUCCCCCAACCACCAACAAGCAUCAAUACAUGGCUUGCUCGAAACAACGAGUGCCUCCAACAUACAACAGCCCUGGGGGAGUUUUGUUUAAUUAUUUUGAUUUGUUUCGAUCUUUUUGGAUCAUGGGUCUGGGCAUCCCGGUUACCGGCCCUUUCUCGUGAAUGAGGAGCAGAGUACACUCCUCUUGAGAAUAACCCACCUAGCAUGGAAGAUAUAGGUAGCCCUAGUUGUAACAUGAGCUGCUCGAGCAUACAAAACAGAAUUUCAUUUGAAGGUUUGGAGUUUGGCACAUACAAAUUUACUUGGAACGGCAGGUAGAUACCGCAUAUAGGUAGGUAUAGUGGACUCAUAAAGAACAACUUUGGGGUUUAAGGAGUUUGGAUGCACAAGCAGUAUUCCCGCUUAGUACAGGUGAAGGCCAACAAAAGACUGGGAAGCGACCAACUGAGAGAGCGACAACAGUCGUAAACAUGCAUUAAAAAUAAUUCACACCGAGUACAAGCAUGAGUAGGAUAUAAUCCACCAUGAACAUAAAUAUCAUGAAGGCUAUGUUGAUUUGAUUCAACUACAUGCGUGAACAUGUGCCAAGUUGAGUCACUUAAUACAUUCAAAGGAGGAUACCAUCCCAUCAUAUCACAUCAUAAUCAUUCUAAUAGCAUGUUGGCACGCAAGGUAAACCAUUAUAACUCAUAGCUAAUCAAGCAUGGCACAAGCAACUAUAAUCUCUAAAUGUCAUUGCAAAUAAGUUUACUUCAUAAUAGCUGACUCAGGAACGAUGAACUCAUCAUAUUUACAAAAACAAGAGAGGUCGAGUUCAUACCAGCUUUUCUCAUCCCAAUAAGUCCAUCAUAUAUCGCCAUUAUUGCCUUUCACUUGCAUGACCGAAUGAUGUGUAUAAUAAUAAGAGUGCACGUGCAUUGGACUAAGCUGGAAUCUGCAAGCAUUCAACUCAAGAGAGAAGACAAGUAAUAUGGGCUCUAAGUUAAAUAAACAAUCACGCAUAUAAGAGCCACUAAGCAUUUUCAAUAUGGUCUUCUCGACCCCCAAAAGAAAGAAAAGAAAAGAAAACUAUUUACACGGGAAAGCUCCCAACAACUAAAAGAAGAACGAGAAAUCUUUUUGGGUUUUCAUUUUAAUUCCUACUACAGGCAAGGAAAUUAAACUAACUAAUUUUUUUGGUUUUUCUUAAGGUUUAUCAAACACACAAGAAGAAAACUAGAAAAAGAAAUUUAAACUAGCAUGGAUAAUACAAUGAAAGAGUAUGAGCACUGACAACUAGUGUGUGCACAUGAAUGUAAAGUCGGUGAGAAAUACGUACUCCCCCAAGCUUAGGCUUUUGGCCUAAGUUGGUCUAAUACCAAUGACCGCCUGGCUGAUAUCCAUAAGUGAAACUGGGGUAGUACUGACAUGCAGAGGCAACUGCCUCCUGAGCAGCAGCGUGUUGGCGAGCUACCUCCAUUCCCCUCUCAUAUUCAGUUGCUUCUUCCCUAGUGACAACAUAUCUUCCUUUUGCCUAAUAAUCAAAAAGGUAGGGAGCAGGAAGAGUAACAGGGACGACGUUGCAUCUGUCAUAGAUUAGUCAAUAAUGGAGGAAUUGUUCAUUCCUCUCAAGAAAAUGAUGAUCAAACAUAGCUUCUUUAUCCAAAUAAACAGGGGGUACAAUCAUAUCCCCCUCUCGUGGAGCUAUAUUAACAAAAUUAGCCACACGGGUUGCAUAAAUUCCUCCAAAGAAAUCUCCCCUUCUACUAUUAUUCUGCAACCUACGUGCAACUAUUGCCCCCAAGUUAUAACCUUUAUAACCUGACACAGCACUCUUGAGGACACAAAGAUCAGGGGCACACAUGUGACAUACCUCGUCCUUACCGUUAAUGCAUCUACCAAUAAGGAGAGCAAAGUAAUGUAUAGCAGGAAAAUGAAUGCUCCCUAUGGUAGCUUGUGCUAUGUACCUAGAUUCUCCCACAGUAAUAUUAGCAACAAAAUCUCUAAAUUCAGAUUUGGGAGGAUCAUUAAUAUUACCCCACUGCGGGAGUUUGCAAGCAGUUGUGAAAUCCUCUAAAUCCAAGGUAUAAGAUGUAUCAUAAAUAUCAAACAUGACACUAGGAGAAUUACGCGCAGAAAUAUAUUCGAACCUCCGCACAAAGGAAUCGGUCAAUUGAUAAUAUUGAGGACACUUAUCUUGUAAGAAGUCCUCCAGCUCGGCAUUACGCACAUACGCGUCAAAUUCUUCCUUGAAGCCUGCUUCCAUCGGAUGGCCACUCGCAAGCCCGUACAUUUGCGUCCCUUGGAAAAUUAACAUCUUGUUCACGUAUAGCAAUUCUUGGCCCUUUCUUUGCUGAGGAACCUCCUUGGUACAUUCUUCUAAGCAUAUUUCUUUUUCUGAAAAUUUCUGAAAUUUUAGUAACUUCAAAAUAAAAGUGAAUAAAACUAAACAAGAUUGAUAGCAACUACUCCUACAAGUGUCUAGAGCCUAUAUCAUGCAUUGGAAUUGCUUGGGACCUCAAAAUUUUAACAUGCAAGCACAAGAACAUGGUCACCUAAGCAGCAAAAAUUUGCAAUGAAUAAAGCACUAGAACAAAAACUAAUUGGACCAAUGGAGGAGUCACAUACCAAGCAACAAUCUCCCAAAGCAGUUUUGUGAAUGGAGCUUUGAGCUAAGAGAUCGAAAAUCGUAGCAAAAUGAGCUAGAACUCGUGCUUGAGCUGGAUGGGGAUUUUUCUGGGUAGAAGAUGAAGUGUGUGGGUGCUGGCAUAAGUGGAGGGGAGCCACCAGGGGCCCACGAGAUAGGGGUGCUCCCUACAGGGGGGGCGCCCUCCUCUCUCGUUGCCUGGUGCUUGCCCCUCCUGCAGUAUUUUUAGUGCCUAAAAUCCUCAAAUAUUCCAGAAAAAAUCAUACUAAAUUUGCAGGGCAUUUGGAGCACUUUUAUUUUUGGACUAUUUUUUAUUGCACGGAUAAUUCAGGAAACAGACGGAUAAUAUUGUUUUUGCUUUAUUUAUUCUAAAUAACAGAAAGUAAAAGGAGGGUACAGAAGGUUGUGCCUUCUAGUUUCAUCCAUCUCGUGAUCAUCAAAAUGAACCCGCUAACAAGGUUGAUCAAGUCUUGUUAACAAACUCAUUCCGAAUACCACGGAACCGGAGAAAUUUCGAAUAACACUAAGUUACCUCAACGGGGAUAUGAAAAUCCCCAACAAUAAGAAUAUCAUACUUUUUCUUGACAGUAGGGAGAGGAAAUUCAAAAUCUCCAAAAAUGAUAGUUGGAACUUUUUCAAUAGAAUUGAUGCUAUGAACUUGAGAUUGUUUCCUCGGAAAGUUUACCGUAUGCUCAUUACCAUUAAUAUGAAAAGUGACAUUGCCUUUGUUGCAAUCAAUAACAGCCCCUGCAGUAUUAAGAAAAGGUCUACCAAGGAUAAUAGACAUACUAUCGUCCUCGGGAAUAUCAAGAAUAACAAAGUCCGUUAAGAUAGUGACAUUUGCAACCACAACAGGCACAUCCUCACAAACACCGACAGGUAUAGCAGUUGAUUUAUCAGCCAUUUGCAAAGAUAUUUUAGUAGGUGUCAACUUAUUCAAUUCAAGUCUAUGAUAUAAAGAGAGAGGCAUAACACUAACACCGGCUCCAAGAUCACAUAAUGCAGUUCUGACAUAAUUUCUUUUAAUGGAGCAUGCUAUAGUUGAAACACCCGGAUCUCCAAGUUUCUUUGGUAUUCCACCUUUAAAGUGUAAUUAGCAAGCAUGGUGGAAAUUUCAGCAUCCGGUAUCUUUCUUUUAUUUGUGAUGAUAUCCUUCAUAUACUUAGCAUAAGGAUUUACUUUAAGCAUAUCAGUUAAGCGCAUACGUAAGAAAAUAGGUCUAAUCAUUUCAGCAAAGUGCUCAAAAUCCUCAUCAUCCUUUGACUUGGAUGGUUUAGGAGGAAAGGGCAUGGGUUUCUGAACCCAUGGUUCUCUUUCUUUACCGUGCUUCCUAGCAACAAAAUCUCUCUUAUCAUAACGUUGAUUCUUUGAUUGUGGGUUAUCAAGAUCAACAGCAGGUUCAAUCUCUACAUCAUUAUCUUUGCUAGGUUGAGCAUCAAUAUGAACAUUAUCAUUAAUAUUAUCACUAGGUUCUGUUCAUCACCUGAUUGUGUUUCAGCAUCAGAAAUAGAAAUAUCGUUGGGAUUUUCAGGUGUGUCUAUAGUAUGUUCACUAGAAGCAUGCAAGGUCCUAUCAUUUUUCUUUUUCUUCUUUUUAGAAGAACUAGGUGCCUCUAAAUUAUUUCUCUCAGAAUCUUGCUCGAUUCUCUUAGGGUGACCUUCAGGAUACAAAGGUUCCUGAGUCAUUCUACCAGUUCUAGUAGCCACUCUAAUGGCAAAGUCAUUUUUAUUAUUCAAUUCAUCAAGCAAAUCAUUUUGAGCUUUGAGUACUUGCUCAUCUUGAGUAGCAACCAUAGAAGCAUAUUUGCUAACGCGGUGAAGUUCAUCUUUAACUCUAGCCAGAUUAUCACCUACGCGUCCUAUCUCGAAAGCAUUAUUCUUUAACUCUCUACCAACAUAAGCAUUAAAACUUUCUUCACUAGCCAUGUCGGGGAAACUGAUCCACGAACACCUAUGGGGCCGGCGGACCGGGCCCCUUUCGGUUCAGCGGGGGGCGGAGAUUGCACGAAGAGCAGAUCGAGGCGAAGCACACGAGCAGUUUACCCAGCUUCGGAGCUCUCCGGAGAGAUAACACUCCUACUGCUGCUUGUCUGGUUCUAUUAUGUUCUUGCUCGCGAGAGCUAAGUGUUUUCUGGCUCACGAAUGAAUCGAACCUCCUCUACGUUGCGCAUGGGCCUCCUUUUAUAUGCUCAAGGGGUCACCAACAGGUGGCAACGCAGAGAAGGGUACAAAUAUAAAAGGUGGGGUCGUUGGUACAGCUACUUGUACAGUGCACCCUACCUAACCCUGACGGCAGGGGACAAGGGCAUUAAAUGCCCGUCUGAGUCGCCCAAACAGUGCAGAAAAGGACCGUUAGGGGCGCCACCGUUCGCCACGAUGGCGAUCUUGUCAGCUUCGCAUGCCACUGCGCACCGCUGGCUGCACAGCCUCCCGCAACGCGCGCCUGGAGAGGCCCCCAGAGCGACACGUUGGUGGAUGCGCUGGAGCGUGGGCACAGAGUGGCCGCCUGCCGUGGCAAGUGCCUUGCCGCUGCUGUUAUCUUGUUGGGUCCGGAGGCUUGUCGCUCACCGGGCCUCGAGGUACCUUGGUUGGUCUUCCCGGCAAGCUCCUCUUGCCGGGGCCUUGUUGCCUUGCCGGAGCGCGUGGCGCGUCGCGGCAAGUUCCUUGGAGUGCCUCGGUUGGCCUUCCCGGCAAGCUCCUCUUGCCGGGGCCUUGUCUCCUAAGCUUAAAUACUUUGUUCUUGAAUGGCUCCAAGGGAACCACGGAGGAUCUUGGUGUUAGCCCGGCAAGCCUUGUCGCGGGGUGCUGCAACUACCCAUGCACAAGUUCGGGGUACUAGGGUACCCCUAUUCUAGUACACCGACAGGAGCCCCCGGGCCUGGUCCAGACACGGUGCCGAGCGCUGUUGGGCCAUGCCCAAGACAGGGCACGGGCACAUGUGGACUGGGCCACGCCGAAUCUCGCUCCGUAUCCACCGCGCUCUCCCCUAACGGCACGCGUUGAAUGCGGCAUCGUGGGAGAGAUCGUGGGUGGUUCUUUAUUCGGAAGGGCGAAACGUCCGCCCCGUCCCUCUUUAUAAGUAGAGGAAACAGGGGCAGUUCAUUCCCCCUCGCUGGUUGCUACUACUCCAUCUUCACGAACCUCCGCCGCCCCCCCUUCUUCUCGAAGCUGAGAGAGCAGCGCUCUGCCCCCCCAUUGCCACCAGCAUCACCAACGCCGUCGACCUCCCCCACCACCUCCGCCGUGGCUCCGAAAGCCGACAAGGGAAAGGGCGUGAAGUCGGCCGAGGCGCAGCGGCUCGCGGCGCUGCGGAAGGAGCGGGCGAUCUUCUCCCCCCAGCUCGGCGUGAAGGAGCUGAGGGAGUACUUCUACCUCUUUUGGGCGACGGAGACGCGGGCGCAUCCACGCACGAGGGUACUCCCGGCCGCUGCUUCGGAACUGGCUCCAAACGGGUACCCAUUCUUCACGCUGUUCUUCUAUUGCAGGCUCUACCCGCCCUUCUCGGAGUUCUUCUGCGAUAUCAUGAACACCUACGGCUUCCGCCUCCUUGACUUCACCCCCAACGCCGUUCUGACCAUGGCAGUUUUCGCACAUUUGUGCGAAAACUUUGUCGGAGUCCACCCCAAUGUUUCCCUUUUCCGCCACUUCUUCAUACCUCGGGUAGAGAGAGGAGAGCCGCUUGCCGGAGGGAUCGCCUGGAUCUCGAGAGUCGGCAAGAAGGAGGCGUACUUGGAGGGUGAGCUCCGCAGCAAGUGGGAGGAGUGGAGAGCGGAGUGGUGCUGGAUCGUCAAGGAGAAUCCGCAGCCCUUCACUGCCGUGCGCCAAGCUCCAAUAGUGCGCGGCAAUGACUGGAGCAAUGUGGCCCCGGAAGACGAGAGGCUGAAGAUCGCCAUUACUAGGAUCCUUCGCCUCAGGCUUGCUGGGCUCACUGUAGGCGCUGUAGGCGCAGAUUUCCUCCGCCGCCGCAUCGCCCCCCUGCAGGAGAGGGGGAGGCCCGCCUGGGAAUUCAAGAACUCGGCGGACAUCAUGAGGCUGCGGCCGGGCCUCAACUACAACUUCACCAUCUUGGAGCUGGAGGCAAUGCUACUGGAGUUGUUCAAACGCGACCCCCAGCACCCAUUCACGCUGCCGAGGGGCGUCGUUCCAUUGUGCAACAAUUCUUCGCUUGACCGGAUCCGCGCCAUGAUGCCGUUGUGCGAUUCACACGGAAUCAUUCCAACUUGGCAAGAGCCUGCGGAUGACGUCAUGCAAGCGUUCUUCGACAACUUGGAAGAAGUGCCGGUCCACGCUGAUGAGCAGAAGAGCCUCACCCGUGACACCACCGACGAGGAGCUGCAGUGCAUCGCCACUAGGGCGGAAGAGGUUGCGGCCGCAGCUGCCGUGGGCGCGUUCGGGUUCACUAUGGAGGAAGCGGAGGCUGCAGAGGCGGCAAACCUCGCCAAGCGCGCGGAGUUCAUUGGUGAGGAAGAGCCUACCGGUUCUGAAGCUGAGCCGAGCGAGGCCGGCGAGGAAGAGCCCGAGCCUUCAGAAGGCUUGCCGCAGGCGGAGCCCUCGGCCCCGCCAAGAAGGCGUCUUCGCAGGGCCGCGGAUGUAGCGAGGCGGCAGCCGGGUCAAUAGCCGCCAAGCCGUGCGACACGCUCUACCGCGGCAAGCAAUGUUGCUGCGGGAGCGCCCCACGCAGCAGCGGCAACUGGAGCGGGAUCUUCCCGGGCCACCGCCACCGCCCCCGCCAAGUGGGCAAGGGAUCCUACUCCUCCGCCUCGCCGCACCGGAAGGGAGCCAGACUUUGAUCUUUCCGCGCUCAGCUCCGACGAGGAGGAAGAAGAGUAAGUUUCUUUGGUGCUCUUGUAGUUCUUCAAUUUUGCUGUUUUUAUCUUGUAUCUGACUUGCUUCAAUCUGGACUCCUUUCUUUUCAGGACGCUGGCCCAGAGAGCGGCGAAGAGGGCCAAGGCCACGGUGAUUGUCAUCGAAGAUGACCCCACCGUGUGAGCAGGGGGUGAGUCCGAGACCACCUUGACGGACCCGGCAACCACUCCUCAAAACAGCCCCCAGCGCAGUCCCCAGCGUAAGUUCAUAGUUAGCUUUCUGUUGUCAGGCGCGCAUGAGUGCUUUUUCCUUUGUUGAUAUCUUUCUUGUUGACUUGUGUAGGAGCAGAGCAGCCACAUCAGGAGCGCCCGGAAGCUGGUCCCGAAGUGCCAUCUGCUUCGACUACGCCGCCAAGGGAGGGGUUCCCGGUAAGGGAGCGCUCUCCGGCAAGGGGCAGCACCGUCGAUCCUGCGGCGGCCGAGACUGCAACUGCAGAUCUUGGCACAGGUAAUUCACUUGUCCAAAAACUUUCCCUUGGGUUCUUCUUCUUCUGAUUUUCUUCUCUUGGAUUUUUGAUUGAUUUUUCUCCCUUCUUCGUUCUUCAGACCCAUCUGCGGCUGAGCCAAUGGAGACAGAGGGUGUCGGCGAGGAAGGGACCGGUGCUGAUGAGGCCGCCGACGAGGAGGCCGCCAAGGCUGCCGCCGCAGAAGCCGGCGAGGGGUCGGGCGAUCGCACUGACGACCCUGAGGCCGCAGGAGCGCCAGGCGCUGCGCCGACCGCCGAUCCCUCUGCCGCUUCUGCGGAGCCGGGCUCCGAGGAGCCCCAGCCCGGCGCCUACUUGAAGGCCGGUGACGAUAUCUUCAUCAAGCUACCCUGGGCAUCGAGCUCCAGGGCGCCGGUCGAGGGGGAAACUUUUGAUGAGGAGGUGCUCGCCUCUGCUGGACUAUCGUUGGUCGACGCACCCAGCAGCAGCAGUGGCGAGCCUGAGGAGGAGCAGCUGCUGCAGAAGCUGCUGUCACUCUACCGCGCACGGCAAGCCAAGCUGGCUUCCCGGGAAGCGCUUGUCGCGAAGGCGGGAGUUGACAUGGAGAAGCGCAAGGAGGAGCUCCGGGGCCACAAUCAAGAAGCUCUCCGGUCCCUGGCACAGGAGCGGGAGCAACUCGACGAGGAGCGCACGGCCUUCCUUCUCGAGAAGGCCGAAGCUGAGGAGGAACAAAGGCUGGCCGCCGAGAAGCAGUCCGUGCGAGAAGGCGAAUUGGUGCAGUGGAAGGCCAACCUCGACAGCUAUGAGGAGGAGCUUGCCGAGCGCGGGCAAGCACUUGGCGGGGCGCUCAAGGAGGCAAAGGACGCUGCCGCAAUCGCAGAGGCUGCCAAGAAAGAGCUGGAGGAGAAGGUGGUGCAGCUGGAGGCCAACAUCGGGAAGAGCGGCGAGGAGCUUGCCGUGCUCAAGCGUGAGCGUGAGAAGGAUGUUGCCGCCCACGGUGAGCUGCAAGGUCUUCUCGCUGAGAGGGGCAAGGAGCUCAGCGCCGCCAAGGAUUCCAAUGCGGUCCUGGAGUUGAAGCUGGCCGCGCUGAUGCAGACGCUGGAGGCCGCCAAGGAGCGGGAGAAGACCUUGUCGGAGAAGGUCAAAGCUGACAAGGCGUUGCUGGAGAGCAUCGCAGUUACCCAGAACUCGUUCAGAGAUACUGUGGAGCACUGGACCGAGGGUCUGGUGAAUAUUGCCGCAGUCAUCGACGAGGAGCUGGCGCAGCUGGGGAUGGAGGACUUUGGGAAUCCCUCUGACGAGAAUCUCCAACCCAGCACCAAGCUCAGCCUGUUCUUCAAGGGCGUGGCGACGGCACUCCAGCGGCUCCGGGAGAGGAUCUCAAGGCAGCUGGCCGACGAGUCGCGCAAAAUCUACGUCGGGGUUCUCCAGAAGGUGCUGAUGAAGGUGGCCUUCCGCAAUCCGGGCCUCAGCUUCACCAACGUCCUCAAGUCCUUGCCACCAGACGCCGAUCGGGAUGCACUCAAGGCCCUUGUCGCACCCAUUGUGGACAAGGUGAGCGAGAUCAAGAGGGUUGAGGGCGAUCGCGUAGACUAGGCCGCCCAUUCCUUCUUUUCCCUUGUCGCUGCUAAUCAUGUUAUGAAAACAGUCUGUUAGAGCUGCGACAGGUUAUCUUGUAAUAUAACUUUAUUUCUGUUAUCAAUUGCUAUGUUAUUUCCUCUACUAUAUUCCUUCCUUUGUAUGUUUUUACCCUACGCUUCUAGGGAACUUGUCGGUGCAGGCACCCGAGCCGCGAGCGCUGAGUGCGGAACAUCAGCAGCCUGCUGGCGGCGCUGCUUCCGACAAGAAACCUUGUCGCGACUAGAUGCAGCACACUUAAGUUGUUGAGCGGACUCGAAACAAAGUAAGGGCGCAACUAGCCACGAGUUGGUUCCUCCGCGCACAGGUUUUCCAUACAAAGCAGGGUCGUUCGAGGAAGAUAACUCAAAAAUUUAAAAACUGAUUGCUCAAACUUUGGCAACUUAGCUUUUCUGUCGUUUGCUUCCCGGCAAGGCAAAACUUUGCUUGAACGACGCCUGGUCUAUACCACAAUCUUCUCCUUCCCCCCCGGCAAACUUGUGUGCGAGGGAACCUUCUUUUCCUUUGUUGAAAAGAAGAAAGAAGAGAAAAUAAUAAUAUGGAGUCCUUCGGCUCGUUAUUGCUUACUGGAUGUAGGUGCUACACAAAGUGUCAGAUAACACAUGCAAGAAAGAAACUAAUGCAUGAAAUGGACAAGUUGUGUGGAGCACAUGGGGUUCUAUUUAUGCACGGGAUCUGCACCCGGCUUUGUACAAAGGACUACAUGCAACAGCGGCAAGACUUGUACAAAAGGUGGUUGCCGGAACGGGGUUCCGGCAACCGCGCCCUACAGGAAAAACUUACGAAGAUGUGCUAUGUUCCAGGAGUUGCUCACCGGAAUGCCAUCUUCGGUCUCAAGGCGGACAGCGCCAGGCCUUGUGACUCGUCUCACCCGAUAAGGGCCUUCCCACUUCAGCGUCAACUUGUUGGAAUUCUUGGCGGACUGAACGCGCCAAAGAACAAGGUCGCCUUCCUCAAAGCUUCUGGCCUUAACUUUGCGGCUAUGGUAGCGGCGCAAAGCUUGCUGGUAUCGAGCAGCUCGUACAGCAGCCUGAAGACGAUCUUCCUCAAGGAGCAGCGCGUCGUCUUGUCGCAGCUGUUCUUGCUCAAGCUCAUCAUAAGCGAGCACUCGAGGCGAUCCGUAUACGAGUUCCGUGGGGAGAACUGCCUCUGCUCCAUAGACUAGAGCGAAAGGUGUCUGGCCAGUGGCUCGAUUUGGCGUCAUUCUGAUCGACCAAAGAACCACAGGCAGCUCCUCGAUCCAGUUUCUUCCGCACUUGUGCAGCCUGUCGAAAGUUCUGGUCUUGAGCCCGCGCAGCACUUUAGCAUUUGCCCUAUCUGCUUGACCGUUGCUUCUCGGAUGAGCAACAGAAGCGAAGCAGACCUUGGCGCCAAGGUCUUGGACGUACUGCAUGAAGGUGCGGCUCGUGAAUUGCGUGCCGUUGUCGGUGAUGAUCCUGUUAGGGAUCCCGAAACGUCAAACAAUUGACCUGAAGAACUUGACUGCUGACUGUGCUGUCACCUUCCUCACUGGCUGCACUUCCGGCCACUUUGUGAACUUGUCGAUUGCGACGUACAAGUACUCAAAGCCCCCGACAGCUCGGGGGAAAGGGCCGAGGAUAUCGAGCCCCCAGACUGAAAAUGGCCAGGAUAAAGGGAUCGUCUGGAGAGCUUGAGCUGGCUGGUGUAUCUGUUUGGAGUGGAACUGGCACGCUUCACACUUGGUUACUUGUGCAGUUGCAUCCUGGAGGGCUGUCGGCCAAAAGAAACCUUGCCGGAAAGCUUUGCCGGCAAGUGCUCUUGCGCUAAUGUGGUGGCCACAUAUGCCUCCAUGUAUCUCUGCCAACAACUUUUGUCCAUCUUCCCGGCAAAUACACUUCAAUUUCACACCGUUGAGUCUUCUUCUGUACAGUAUGCUAUUGACAAACUAGUACAUACUUGACUGUCGGGUUACUUUUUCCGCUUAUUCUUGCUCUUCGGGAAGUUCUCCUGUCUGAAGGAAAUGGACAAUCUGCUGUGCCCAUGCUGGAGCUUGUGGCUCGACAACAAGGACUAAAGGCACACCUGCUGCUGCGGGAACAUCCGCUUCCACGGCAAGGACUUGCGGCCCUGCUGGAGCUUGAUGUUCCCCGGCAAGCUUGCCGGAGCAAAACUUGUCAGGAGCGUCUGCUUCAACAGAACAAACCAUAAGGCUUGCCGAAGCAGACUGCCCCUCAACAACCUUGGUGUUGAUCUUGGGGACUUUCUUGGCGGCGGCUUCGGGGAGCUCUGCCGGAAAGUAGUCACCAGAAAUCAACUUCCUCUUCUUGCUUUGUCCAGUUGAUGGUGUUACGGAUGGUUGAGUCAACUUGAGCACAAAGAUCCCUGGUUCCAUAGGUAACUUUAGUGCGGCGCACUUUGACAGGCCAUCAGCAAUGUCAUUCUGAGCUCUUGGGAUAUGCUCCAUCUGUAGGUCGUCAAAGUACUCUUCUAGCUUCCUCACUUCAUCAACAUAUGCUUCCAUCAAUGGACUCUGGUAGUUCUUGUUCACUUGGCGGACGACAAGCUGUGAGUCACCCCUGACAAUGAGCUUCUUGAUCCCAAGGUCUGCUGCAAUUCUGAGACCGGCAAGCAAUCCUUCAUACUCUGCAGUAUUGUUGGUUGCUUGCUCCUUGGGAAAGUGCAUCUGGACUACGUACUUGAGGUGCUCUCCGGUGGGCGCGACAAGCAGCACGCCCGCACCGGCGCCUUGCAGCGAGAAGGCACCAUCAAAGUACAUCAGCCACUCUUUGCUUGCCUCUUUGACGGGGAUGCUCAUCUCUGGAAUUUCUUCAUCUGGUGUUGGCGUCCAUUCUGCUAUGAACUCUGCCAAUGCCCUGCUUUGGAUAGUUGAAGUGCUCUCAAACUUGAGGCCAAAGCUUGACAGUUCCAGCGCCCACUCGACAGUCCUGCCUGUUGCUUCUGGAUUUUGCAGUAUCCUCUUUAGCGGAAAGCGAGUGACGACUGUGAUCUCAUGUGCUUGGAAGUAAUGGCGCAGCUUUCUCGAGGCCAUGAGGAGGCCGAAAAGCAACUUCUGCACACCAGAGUACCUUGAUCUAGCCCCCUGUAGAAGGGAACUGACAAAGUAAACUAGACGCUGCAUCAUUCUCUUCUGCAUCUUAUCAUGCUCCUGCGCAGAUCCAUCUUUGUCGGGACCAGAGCUUGUCGGCGAAGCCCCCCGCUUGUCGCUGGAUGCAUCUGCCGUGGUUGCUGGCUCAUCAUCUGCCUCCCUCUCCGCCACUAACGCAGCACUAACCACUUGAUUGGUUGCCUCUAUAUACAGCAGCAACUUCUCUUGCGGCUUAGGUGUGACAAGUGUUGGAGUGGAGGACAGGUAUCUCUUCAAGUCCUGCAGCGCAGCCUCCGCCUCUGGAGUCCAUUUUAUUGGACCUGCCUUUUUCAAAAUUUUGAAAAAUAGCAGGGCGCGCUCAGCAGAUCUAGAGAUAAACCUGCUGAGAGCAGCCAUGCAACCGGCAAGCCUUCGUACAUCCUUGACGCACUUUGGUGCUUCGAUCUGCUCAAUGGCCUUGAUCUUGUCGGGAUUGGCUUCAAUUCCCCGCUGAGACACGAAGAACCCGAGAAGCUUGCCGGAAGGAACUCCAAACACGCACUUCUCGGGGUUAAGCUUGAGGUUGAUCUUGCGCAGAUUUGCAAAUGUCUCGUCUAAAUCUUGAAUCAGGGUCGCCCUGUUCUUGCUCUUGACCACUAUGUCAUCCAUGUAGGCUUCCACAUUUCUGUGCAUCUGCGGCUCAAAAGCGUGGUGGACUACCCUUGCGAAUGUUGAACCAGCAUUCUUCAAACCGAAAGGCAUCCGUACGAAGCAGUACGUGCCACACGGGGUGAUAAAUGCGGUUUUCUCUUCAUCCUCUUCUGCCAUGAAGAUCUGAUGGUAUCCUGAGUAUGCAUCAAGAAAUGAAAGCAAAUCACAUCCGGCUGUGGAGUCAACAAUCUGGUCAAUGCGCAGCAAGGGAAAUGGGUCUUUGGGACAAGCUUUAUUAACAUCAGUGAAGUCAAUACAAAGCCUCUAUUUCCCGUUAGCCUUGCGCACGACAACAGGAUUGGCCAACCACAUGGGAUGGAGCACUCCUCUGACAAGGAUUGUUGCUUCCAACUUCUUGAUUUCUUCUGCGAUGAAUUCUUGGUGCUCCACUGCCUGUUUCCUGACUUUCUGCUUGACGGGCCGCGCAUGAGGACAGACGGCAAGGUGGUGCUCAAUUACUUUCCUGGGAACACCGGGGAUAACAGACGGUUGCCACGCAAACACGUCGACAUUCGCCCGCAGGAAAGCAACGAGCGCGCUUUCCUAUUUGGGGUCAAGAGUGGCGCUGAUGGUGAAGGUACCACCAGUGCCGUCCUCCUUGGCGGACACCUUCUUGGUCUCAGGUGGAGCUGUCAUUGCCUUCUUACACUUGCCGGUGGAGCUCGAUGGUGCGUCCUCGACGGUAGCGCAGCACUCCGAAGAGGUGCGCUUGCCGGAGUGGGCAUCAGAGCUCUUGCCGGACUUGGUCUUCUUCUUCCCCCCGGGAGCUUCAGCGGCAAGUGUCUUGCGUUCUGCUGCGGCUGCUGCUUCCCGGUAGAUCUUGUCGGCACAGAUAAGAGCAUCCUUCUUGUCGCCAGGGACAGAGAUGACACUUAUCGGGCCUGGCAUUUUCAGUACGUUGUACGCAUAGUGAGAGGCUGCCAUGAACUUGGUGAGUGCCGGACGGCCAAGGAUUCCAUUGUAAGGUAAUGGAAAGUCAGCAACGUCAAACGUGACCCUCUCAGUCCUGAAGUUCAGCUCGCUGCCAAAUGUUACCGGCAACGUGAUCUUUCCCUUCGGCUUGCUCCUUCCCGGGUUGAUUCCUUGAAAGGUACCGGUCUCUUCAAGCUCGCUGUCAGGGAUCUGGAGUUUCUGGAGCACCGCGGAGGAGAUUAGGUUCAAGCCGGCCCCGCCGUCAACUAGCAUCUUAGUGACCUUGAGGUUGUGGAUUGUUGGUGAAACCAACAUCGGCAAGCACCCGACCGCAGUUAUGCGAUCAGGGUGGUCCUCAAUAUCAAAGAUGAUAGGCGUGCUGGACCAUUUCAGAGGCUUGCGUGACUCGACGGGUGGUUCUGCUGCAUUAACUUCCCGCACCCACUGCUUGAGCUGACGGUGCGAGGUUUGCAGAGAAGCACCACCAUCAACGCACAGGACCUCUGUGGCCUUCUGGAACUCCUGCUCAUCAGUCUCCUCAUCAUCCAUGUCUUCAUCGUCGUCGUCAUCUUCAUCCUUGUCGCGGCCGCGAGGAGGUCUGUCUCCUUGCCACUGCUUGGCCUUGCCGCGGCGUCCUCCUCGGCCGGGACGUCUCUUGCCGGAUCCCCCAGCACCUUCCUGGGCCUUCUCCUUGUCGCGCCGCUCGUAUUCAGCUUUCUGUUGCUCAACAAGCUGCUCGACUUUCCUGCAGCUCUGGAGAUCAUGGCCCUUGGUGCGGUGGAUCUUGCAAUACUGCUUGUUGGUGCCGUCCUGCUUGUCGGCGACCGCCACCUCUGCGGCAACCUCCUUGCCGGAGUCACCAGCUUUGGCUUCCUUGGCGCCACCACCGUUGCCGAACUACUCAACAACUAGCACCUCUUUGCCUUUCCUCUUCCUAUUGUUCCGCCGCCGGUUUUUCCUUGCCGGGGCAGCAUCUUCACUGUCAGAUCCUCCCGCUCCUACAUUCUCUCCGGGGAGUCUCCUCCCUUCCUCAGCACGUGCACACUUGUCGGCCAGUGCAUAUAACUCACUGACGUCCCUGAUCUUGCACAUCGCCAUUUCCUCCCGCAUCCUGCGGUUUCGCACAUUCUGAUGGAAUGCACUGAUCACCACGGCAGGGUGGACGUCUGGGAUGUUGUGCAGCACACUGCUGAAUCUCUGAAUGUACUUGCACAGGGGCUCUCCUUCCUUCUGGGCGAGCAGAUGAAGAUCACUCUCCUGGCCAUGAGGCUUGUGUCCGCCUGUGAAGGCGCCGACAAACUGAUGGCACAGAUCAGCCCAAGAGGAUAUGGAGUUGUCUGGCAAGUGCAUGAGCCAGGACCUGACAUUGGGCUUGAGCACCAGCGGGAAGUAGUUGGCAAGGAUCUUGUCAUCCCGUCCCCCAGCAGCCUGCACCGCAAUGGUGUAAAUGCUGAGGAACUCCGACGGAUGCGUCUUGCCGUCGUACUUCUCCGGUACGUCUGGCUUGAAGUUCUUCGUGCUGGGCCACUGGACUUGCUGCAGCUCACGAGUGAACGCAGGGCAACCUACCACAUACGGCAGAUCGCCUGGUUCCCCUGGCGCAUGCAUGUCAACAGAGGGCCCAGCGCGCUUGUCGGAUUGACGUCGCACUUCUCUUCGGCGCUCGAUGCGAGUUCGAGCGUCUUCUUGUUGUCGAUCAUGAAGAACUUGGCACUGAUCGCGACCAGCUCGUGGAUCCGAAGAUGUGGUGGAGUCGCUGUCGAGGUGGAUCCGGCGAGUCGGCGAUCUUGGCCUUCGGGGUGGUGAUUUCAUGGUAGUUGCACCUCCACCCGUUUCGUCGCCACCGGCUCGCGCCCGGCAACCCUGCCGCGGCGGCGACGCGCUCGGCCGCCAUGGAGUGUCGCCGUUGGCGUAGCCGAUGAGACUCUGAAUGGUGGCCCUCCAUUCGUCGAUCUUGUCCGACGUCGGAGGGUAAUCUAGGAGAAGUUGAGCUCGCGCCAAAGCUUCUGCUGGAGUGGUGGGUGGCAGUGGCGGACGGAGCGAGGAGCGGGACGUGCUCGGACUUCUAACUAUGUCAGAAGGAGCAGUAUCCCGUCCAGGCGACCGUGCCCCGCUUGUGCCAGCACGCUGGCGUGCAUGCUGGUCUUGAGCGCCCCGAGAUCCACCAGCUUGGUCUUGGCCUAUCAUGCGUAUGGCACUGCAAGUGCCAUGACGCUGUUGGUCUUGCACCUCCUGAGAGUGGCGUGGGACAUGUACAGUCGCCGAGGUUUGUGCAGCCUUGUUCUUGGACCUGGCAGCAUCAUGAGCUUCCUCGUCGACGUCCAUACUUCCGUCGGCGUCCAUUCCACCACCCGUUUGCUCCAACGGUGGCGGAAGUGACGUGGAUGGAGCGGCUGCCGCCGAAGUCUUCUUCUUCGGUGGCAUGUUGAUGAAGGGAAUGAAGAUCUAGCUCGUGUGAACGUCGGAUCAGGUUCACACAAUCUCGACGCCCCCUACCUGGCGCGCCAUAGAUGUCGGGGAAACUAAUCCACGAACACCUAUGGGGCCGGCGGACCGGGCCCCUUUCGGUUCGGCGGGGGGCGGAGAUCGCACGAAGAGCAGAUCGAGGCGAAGCACACUAGCAGUUUACCCAGCUUCGGAGCUCUCUGGAGAGAUAACACUCCUACUGCUACUUGUCUGGUUCUAUUAUGUUCUUGCUCACGAGAGCUAAGUGUUUUCUGGCUCACGAAUGAAUCGAACCUCCUCUACGUUGCGCAUGGGCCUCCUUUUAUAUGCUCAAGGGGUCACCGACAGGUGGCAACGCAGAGAAGGGUACAAAUGUAAAAAGUGGGGUGGUUGGUACAGUUACUUGUAUAGUGCACCCUACCUAACCCUGACGGCAGGGGACAAGGGCAUUAAAUGCCCGUCUGAGUCACCCAAACAGUGCAGAAAAGGACCGUUAGGGGCGCCACCGUUCGCCACGAUGGCGAUCUUGUCAGCUUCGCAUGCCACUGCGCACCGCUGGCUGCACAGCCUCCCGCCACGCGCGCCUGGAGAGGCCCCCAGAGCGACACGUUGGUGGAUGCGCUGGAGCGUGGGCACAGAGUGGCCGCCUGCCGCGGCAAGUGCCUUGCCGCUGCUGUUAUCUUGUCGGGUCCGGAGGCUUGUCGCUCACCGGGCCUCGAGGUACCUUGGUUGGUCUUCCCGGCAAGCUCCUCUUGCCGGGGCCUUGUUGCCUUGCCGGAGCACAUGGCGCAUCGCGGCAAGUUCCUUGGAGUGCCUCGGUUGGCCUUCCCGGCAAGCUCCUCUUGCCGGGGCCUUGUCUCCUGAGCUUAAAUACUUUGUUCUUGAAUGGCUCCAAGGGAACCACGGAGGAUCUUGGUGUUAGCCCGGCAAGCCUUGCCGCGGGGUGCUGCAACUGUCCGUGCACAAGUUCGGGGUACUAGGGUACCCCUAUUCUAGUACACCGACAAGCCAUAAAGUCAUCAAAUUCAUCUAAGCAAGGGCUAUGAAAUUUAGUAGAGGGUAUUUCAACUUUAUCAUAUCUAUAGAGAGAAUUAACCUUUACUACCUGUGUCGGGUUAUCAAGAUAAUGUGGUUCCUCAGGUGGUAAAUUAAGACCAUGUAUUUCUUCAAUAGGUGGUAAAUUCUUAACAUCUUCAGCUUUAAUACGUUUUUCUUUCAUUGAUUUCUUUGCCUCUUGCAUAUCUUUAGGACUGAGAAAUAAAACACCUCUCUUCUUCGGAGUGGGUUUAGGAAUAGGCUCAGGAGUUGGCUCAAUUGGUUCAGGAAUUACUUCGGGAACUAGCUCAGGAAGAGUCCAAUUAUUUUCAUUAGUCAACAUAUUAUUCAAUAAUAAUUCAGCUUUGUCGGCUGUUCUUUCCUUGAAAACACAACCAGCACAACUAUCCAAGUAGUCCUUGGAAGCAUUGGUUAGUCCAUUAUAAAAGAUAUCAAGUAUUUCAUUUUUCUUAAGAGGAUGAUCGGGCAAAGCAUUAAGUAACCGGAGAAGCCUCCCCCAAGCUUGUGGGAGACUCUCUUCUUUAAUUUGCACAAAAUUAUAUAUUUCCCGCAAGGCAGCUUGUUUCUUAUGAGCAGGGAAAUAUUUAGGAGAGAAGUAAUAAAUCAUAUCCUGGGGACUAUGCACAUAACCAGGAGCAAGAGAAUUGUACCAAGUCUUAGCAUCACCCUUUAAUGAGAACGGAAAUAUCUUAAGGAUAUAUAAAUAGCGAGACUUCUCACCAUGAGUAAACAGGGUGGCUAUAUCAUUCAACUUGGUAAGAUGUGCCACAACAGUUUCAGAUUCAAGGCCAUAAAAAGGAUCAGAUUCAACUAAAGUAAUAAUCUCAGGAUCAAUAGAGAAUUCAUAAUCCUUAUCAGUAACACAGAUAGGUGAAGUAGCAAAAGCAGGAUCAGGUUUCAUUCUAGCAUUAAGAGACUGCUGCUUCCAUUUAGCUAAUAAUUUCUUAAGAUCAGAUCUAUCAUUGCAAGCAAGAAUUUCCAUAGCAGUUGCUUCAUUCAUAACAUAACCCUUAGGAACAACAGGCAAUACAUAAUCAUUGGGAGAACGUUCAUCAUCACUAUCAUCAAUAGCAUCUUCAAUAUUUUCAUUCCCCCUAACUCUAGCAAGUUGUUCAUCUAGAAAUUCACCUAAUGGCAAAGUAGUAUCACGCACAGAAGUAGUUCCAUCAUGCAUAGCAGAAGUGGCAUCAUCAAUAACAUGUGACAUAUCAGAAUUCAUAGCAGUAGCAAGUUUAGGUGUCGCAAGCUUACUAAUAACGGAAGGAGAAUCUAUUGCAGAGCUAGAUGGCAGUUCCUUACCUCCCCUCGUAGUUGAGGGCAAAAUCUUGGUCUUAGCGUCUUUCAAGUUCUUCAUAGUGAUCAACAAAUAUAAAUCCCAAGUGACUCAGAGAAUAGAGCUAUGCUCCCCGGCAACGGCGCCAGAAAUUAGUCUUGAUAACCCACAAGUGUAGGGGAUCGCAACAGCUUUCAAGGGUAAAGUAUUCAACCCAAAUUUAUUGAGUCGACACAAGGGGAGCCAAAGAAUAUUCUUGAGUAUUAGCAGUUGAGUUGUCAAUUCAACCACACGUGGAUAACUUAGUAUCUGCAGCAAAGUGUUUAGUAGCAAAAGUGGUAUGAUAAUAAUGGUAAUAGUGGCAAAGGUAAAGAUAAAUGUUUUUUGGGGUUUUGUAGUAGUUGUAACAGUAGCAACGGAAAAGUAAAUAAGCGGAGAAUAAUAUGUGAAAAGAUCGUAGGCAAUGGAUCAGUGAUGGAUAAUUAUGUCGGAUGCGAAUCCUCAUGCAAUAGUUAUAACAUAGGGUGACACAGAACUAGCUCCAGUUCAUCAAUGUAAUAUAGGCAUGUAUUCCGUAAAUAGUCAUACGUGCUUAUGGAAAAGAACUUGUAUGACAUCUUUUGUCCUACCCUCCUGUGGCAGCGGGGUCCUAGCGGAAACUAAGGGAUAUUAAGGCCUCCUUUUAAUAGAGAACCGAAACAAAGCAUUGGCACAUAGUGAAUACAUGAACUCCUCAAACUAUGGUCAUCACCGAGAAGUAUCCCGAUUAUUGUCACUUCGGGGUUGUCGGAUCAUAACACAUAAUAGGUGACUAUAGACUUGCAAGAUAGGAUCAAGAACACACAUAUAUUCAUGAAAACAUAAUAGGUUCAGAUCUGAAAUCAUGGCACUCGGGCCCUAGUGACAAGCAUUAAGCAUAGCAAAGUCAUAGCAACAUCAAUCUCAUAACAUAGUGGAUACUAGGGAUCAAACCCUAACAAAACGAACUUGAUUAGAUGGUAAAUCUCAUCCAACCCAUCACCGUCUAGCAAGCCUAUGAUGGAAUUACUCACGCAUGGCACUGAGCAUCAUUAAUUUGGUGAUGAAGGAUGGUUGAUGAUGACGACGGCGAUGAAUCCCCCUCUCCGGAGCCCCGAACAGACUCUAGAUCAGCCCUCCCGAGAGAGAUUAGGGCUUGGCGGCAGCUCCGUGUCGUGAAACGUGAUAAAACUUUCUAUCUUAUUUUUUUCUCCCCGAGAUAGAAUAUAUGGAGUUGGAGUUGAGGUCGGUGGAGGUCCAGGGGGCCCACGAGAUAGGAGGUCGCGCCCUAGGGGGGGCGCCCCCCGUAUCAUGGACAGGCUGUGGGCCCCCUGGCAUUAAUUCUUUCGCCAAAAAUUCUUAUUAAUUCCAAAAAGUGCCUCCAUGGAUUUCCAGGACAUUCCGAGAACUUUUCUUUUCUACACAUAAAACAACACCAUGGUAGUUCUGCUAAAAACAGCGUCAGUCCGGGUUAGUUUCAUUCAAAUCAUGCAAGUUAGAGUCCACAACAAGGGCAAAAGUGUUUGGAAAAGUAGAUACGUUGGAGACGUAUCACUCCACACAUCGACCAACUCCUGCCUGCAUCUAGAGUAUUAAGUUCAUGAAGAACAGAGUAACGCAUUAAGAAAGAUGACAUGAUGUAGAGGGAUAAACUCAUGCAAUAUGAUAUAAACCCCACCUUUUUAUCCUCGAUGGCAACAAUACAAUAUGUGCCUUGCUGCCCCUGCUGUCACUGGGAAAGGACACCGCAAGAUUGAACCCAAAGCUAAGCACUUCUCCCAUUGCAAGAAAGAUCAAUCUAGUAGGCCAAACCAAACUGAUAAUUCGAAGAUACUUGCAAAGAUAACAAAUCAUACAUAAAAGAAUUCAGAGGAGAUUCGAAUACUUCUCAUAGAUAAACUUGAUCAUGAACCCACUCAUCAUCGGAUCUCUACAAACACACCGCAAAAAGAGUUACAUCAAAUAGAUCUCCAGGAAGAUCGAGGAGAACUUUCUAUUGAGAUUCAAAGAGAGAGAACAAGCCAUCUAGAUAAUAACUAUGGACCCGAAGGUCUGUCGUAAACUACUCACAACUCAUCGGAGAGGCCUUGGAGAUGAUGUAGAGGCCCUCCGUGGUUGAUUCCCCCUCCGGUGGAGCACCAGCGAAGGCUCCAAGACGGGAUCUUGCGGAUACAGAAGAUUGCGGUGGUGGAAUUAGGUUUUCGUGGUGCGCUUCAAUGUUUUCAGGGUACGGGAGUAUAUAUAGGAGGAAGAAGUAGGUCGGUUGAUGCUCGAGGGGCCCACGAGGGUGGGGGUGCGCCCACCCCCAGGGGCACACCGGGCACCCUCGUGCCCGCCUCGUUUGUUGCUUGACGUCCACUCCAAGUCUCCCGGUUUGCAUUUGUUCCGAAAAGAUUGCUCCCGAAGGUUUCAUUCCGUUUGGACUCCGUUUGGUAUUCCUUUUCUUCGAAACACUGAAAUAGGCAAAAAAACAGCAAUUCGGCUAGGCUUCGGUUAGUAGGUUAGUCCCAAAAAUGAUAUAAAAGUGCAAAGCCCAUAAACAUCCAAAACGGGUAAUAUAAUAGCAUGGAACAAUUAAAAAUUAUAGAUACGUUGGAGACAUAUCAGAGCCUUGCAUAUACAGAUAUGGCCUCGGAACACUGGAGACCGAAAGGUCGAACGUGAAUCAUAUAGUGGAUAUGAUCAACAUGGAAAUGUGCACCAUUGAUGACUACUCCAUCUGACAUGAUGAUCGGACAUGGUAUAGUUGAUUUGGAUCAUGUAUCAUUUAGUUGACUUGAGGGAUGUCUCUCUAAGCGGGAGUUCUUAAGUAAUAUGAUUAAUUGAACUUUAAUUUAUCAUGAACUUAGUCCUGAUAGUAUUUGCAAAUUAUGUUGUAGAUCAAUAGCUCACGUUGUAGGUCCCCUAUGUUUUUGAUAUGUUCCUAGAGAAAACUAAGUUGAAAGAUGAUAGUAGCAAUGAUGCGGAUUGGAUCCGUUCUGAGGUUUAUCCUCAUUACUGUAAGAAGAAUUAUGUCCUUAAUGCACUACUAGGUGACAGACCUAUUGCAGGAGUAGAUGCUGGCGUUAUGAAUGUUUGGCUAGCUCAAUAUGAUGACUACUUAAUAGUUUAGUGCACCAUGCUUAACAGCUCAGAACCAGAACUUCAAAAAUGUUUUGAAUGCCACGGAGCAUAUGAGAUGUUCCAAUAGCUGAAAUUCGUAUUUCAGACUCAUGCCCGUGUCGAGAGGUUUGAGACCUCUGACAGGUACUUUGCCUAAAAUAUGGAGGAGAAUAGCUUAGCUAGUGAGCAUGUGCUCAGAUGUCUGGGUACUACAAUCGCUUGAAUCAAGUGGGAGUUAAUCUUCCAGAUAAGAUAGUGAUUGACAGAGUUCUCUAGACAUCAUCACCAAGUUACUGGAACUUCGUGAUGAACCAUAAUAUGCAAGGGAUGACGAAAGCUUCCCGAUCUCUUCGUGUUGGGGAUAUAACUAUUGGUAUGACCCGCCUAGGAGGGACCAGGUUAUACUUACAAAUAUUCUUGACGCCCAAGACCUAGGAUAGAGAUGGCGGUUCAAUUAAGGGCCCAAAGCCCAGAGGCGACUUAAGGCCCGUAGUGAUAAACCGCCAUGUAUGCAUGACUUGUAUUGUAAGGCUAGAAUAGUUAAGAGACCGAGCCGGACACUGUUUAUGAGCCAGACGGGACUCUGUAGAGCCACUGGGCGUUGACCUCUAUAUAUAAAGGGACGACCCAGCGGCGGUCCAGGGCAAGUAACAUCAACUCGAGAGCUAGGUCAAGCGAUUCGCUCCCUAUUUAUCGAGACAUAAGCAAUCCCACUCAAAACUGGAUCGUAGGCUUUUACCUUCAUCGUAAGGGGCCGAACCAGUAUAAACCUCGUGUCCUUUGUCCCGAUUAACCCCUUUAAGCUUCCUAGUUGUGAUGGCUCCACGACUAAGUCCUUUCACUAGGACAUCUGCCGUGACAAUUGCACGACAGUUGGCGCCCACCAUGGGGCCAGCAUACGGUGGAUUUGAGUUCUUGAAGGGAAGCUUCGAAGGGCUCAAGGGAUACGCUGUGGGUUGGAUGACCAAGAGUCGUCGCGGCAAGCUCUACAUCGACGACGCAAACUGGGGUCCCGAUGCCGGCUCAAUUGAGUACGGGUACCGGGUCCCCUUCGGCGGAAUUCAUGUCUUCAUCGGCAAGAUCGAUGAGCCGGGCCCUGAGACAGACAUCUGCACUGACCUUGUCGAGACAGCUCAACGUGCGAGACCCGCCCGGGCUCCGCCUGCUGUGAAGCGUGCCUUCGUGGGAUGCAUCCAUAGAGGGCUCUCUGAAGGAUCUUCAUCUGGCGGUGAGACGGCCAUCUACUCUGAUGGUGAGUCAUCCACAGGUGAGACAGAUUCGUUGUAUCAACUGCAAGACCGCAGGCUUGGGGGCUGUUCCGAUGGCAGCAGUAUUCCGGAUUUCCUCCAGCCGCCGAGCAGGGUUGGAAUCUUCAUGGCUGGCACACAAGCUAUCCAAGACUCCACAACUGUGGCGGCUAUAACCUCCGGGUCAGCAGCAGCCGGGGCAGGAGGCCCUGUGCGCUCGUUGGCUCAGGUGUUGAUGGAUCUCAUGGAUAAGAUGACCAUGAUGUUAACCGCUGUGGUCAACCCAGCGGAUCAAGCUAGAGAUGAUGCAGAAGUGGCGCAGUUAAAGCUGGACAUUGUGCAGGCUAAGGAGGACCUAGCAGCAGAGGAUGUCAGGAUAACCGCAGAGCAGGUGGCUCUGGACGCUCAGGCUCAGCGGAUUCAGGCACAGACCUUCCAGCUCACGCAGGAUCAGAACGCGUCUAAUGAGGUCAUGAGGAGAAGAUAUUAGAAGACUCAGUCUCGACUCCCUUCGGUUUAUGAUCCUCGAAACCUCUUUCACACACCUGGAGUAGGACCCAGUAACCCGUCGUGGCUCUCCCUGCGUACUGAGGCAGACCAGGUUGCAACACCCGGGCUCGUGGCGCCGGUUCAGCCAUAGGUGAUGGGCCUCCCCGCAUGAAUACUGCUCCACCUCAGUAUGUACCUACACCUCCAGGUCACUAUUCUAACCCGUUGGAGAACAUGAUCAUGGCGGCGGCACGGCUGGCGGCUCUCCCAAUUGAUGGUGAUUCUCCAGCAACGGUUGAAACCUGCUGGGUCAGGGAACUUCUUUAGACAGCUUUAGCAUAACAGGAGGCGUACUCGUACAGUCGGGACAGGAUUCAUUCAACCCCUCGUCCAAACCGAAGCCCAAGUUAUAGCAGGCACAUGGAUUCAGCGGCCGUUUCAAGCAACGUCUGGCGCUGUAACCAGCUAGGUGUGCAUGACCCGGCAUGCCAUGGAGCCUUUAACUUGGUAGAUCAAGACAGAAUACGUCAAGAGACUCAGUAGGCGGCUCAGUAGGCGUCUCAACUGAUGGCUUACCAGCCGCAUCCGGUUUAUCCGACGACUUCUAUCGAGGCAGGUGUGGCCACCAGGAACGGAGGUGUCCCCUGUCUAGUGCCAGCUCUACAUAACAAGAGUUUGCCCAAGGAUUUUAAGGGCCCUAGGAAGGUGCCGAACUACACGGCCGACUUACAACCCGGGCAUGGAUUAAAAGUUACGAGAUGGCUAUGGAGUUAUUGGAGGUCAGUGAUGCUGCGAUGGCUAAGUACUUUACCAUGAUGUUGGAUGGGACCGCCCGCACUUGGUUUAAAGGCCUACCACCUAAUUCAAUCAGUUCAUGGGCGGAGCUAAAAUCCUGGUUCGUCCAGAAUUUCAGGGAUACAUGCAAGCAGCCCAUGUCAAUUGUGGAUUUGAUGAAUUGCAAGCAGGAGGAGGGCGAGUCUACAACCCAUUGGGUGCGCCGGGUUAAGGCCAUAAUACAUUCGUCUGAUAAGAUGGAUGUCGGCUCUAUAGUCUUAAUGUUGGAGAAAAAUUGUCGUUUUUUGCCUCUGAAACAAAAGCUGGGGCGGCUCAAGCGCGAUUGUAAUGAUAUGGGUACACUGAUGGCGGCUCUGGUCAAGUAUGCCAAUUCUGAUAGUACCAAGGAUCCCGAGUCUGAUGAUGAAAAGACAUGGAAGGGAAAGAAGAACGGCAACGGCAAGGGCCCUCACCAUAACCCGGCAAAUCAAGGAGGUAAUAAACAUAAGGCUGAUGGUAGUUUGGAGUUUGUGGCUAACACUAAUGCGCAGGGUAACAACCAACAGCGCAAGGGGAGACCACCUCCCCAGUCUGGCGGGUCAGGCCCCACACUUGAGCAGUUACUGAAUGAGCCCUGUCCAAGGCACGACACUCAGCAGAAACCGGCUACUCAUCUAUGGAAGGACUGUACGAUCAUGAAGGCUUUCAAAAAUUCCAACAUGUUCGAUGGUAACAAUGGACAGGGCGGCGGCUCAGGUGGCGGCGGUUUUCAUGGCCCGGGCGGCGGUUCAAAUCCCAACUUUCAAAAUUCUCAAGGCAAUCAAGGUGGAUAUAACCAACAAUCUGGCCAGGGUGGUCAGCAACAGCAGGAACAGUAGCAAGGUGGAUACCAGAGCCAUCCAAAGCAGCCGAAUAGUGGGCAAUAUCAUGUGUUUACCACCAGUUUGUGCAAAUGAGACCAGAAGCUUCAUAAGAGGGUUGUGAAUGCUGUUGAGCCGGCAGUUCCUCGUUAUUUGAGAUGGUCUGAGCAGCCUAUUCUAUGGAGUAGGGAAGAUCACCCUCCCCGGGUUGAUAAUCCGGGUCACUUAGCCUUGGUGGUGGCCCCUCAGGUUGGUGGAUAUAAAUUCACCAAGGUACUCAUGGAUGGAGGCAGCAACAUCAACAUCCUCUAUUAUGAGACCUUCCGCCACAUGGGGUUAACUAAUAAAAGCCUUAAGCAGUCCAACACUGUUUUCCAUGGCGUCGUGUUCGAUAAGUCGGCGUAUCCAAUCGGUAAGAUCGAAUUGGAGGUAGCCUUUGGGGAUGAAUAUGACUCUAGGGCCGAGAAACUAACGUUUGAUGUAGUCAAGAUCAAGAGCCCAUAUCAUGCUUUGUUUGGGCGACCGGCUUAUGCCAAGUUCAUGGCACGAUCGUGUUAUGUGUAUUUGCAGCUCAAGAUGCCGGGUCAUAAGGGAACCAUCAUGGUGCAUGGAAGCCGGAAGGUAUCCUUGGAAUGUGAAGAAGGUGACGCGGCUUAUGCUGAGUCGGUCUGUGCAACAGAAGAGUUGAAGUUCUACAAGGACAAUGUUGAUCCGGCAGAUAUGACGUCUUUGAAAAAGCCAACCACAGAGCAUGAGUCGGUUAUGAAGUUUAAGUCGGUCGAUGAUACUAAGCUUGUUGACUUUGUUCCAGGCGACUCAUCCAAACAGUUCAGUAUCAGUGCUAAUUUGGAUCCCAAAUAGGAAAGCGCGCUCAUCGAGUUCAUCCAUGAGAACCGGGACAUCUUUGCAUGGAAACCUUCUGACAUGUCAGGUGUACCGAGAGAACUCGCUGAGCACACUCUUAAUAUUGAUCCAAAGUUUAAACCGGUCAAGCAAUUUCUUCGGCGGUUCAAUGAGGAGAGGCGUAAGAGGUAGCACGACUCUUAGCAGCUGGGUUCAUCAUUGAAGUUUAUUCAUCCAGAGUGGUUGGCUAACCCAGUGCUUGUGCUUAAGAAAAACAGCACUUGGCGUAUGUGUGUGGAUUACACGAAUUUAAACAAGGCUCGUCCAUCUGAUCCCUUUGCUCUCCCUCGUAUUGAUCAAAUCAUUGAUGCUACGGUGGGUUGCGAGCGUUUGAGCUUUUUGGAUGCUUACUCUGGUUAUCAUCAGAUCAAGAUGGCAGUUAAGGACCAGGAGAAGACGGCGUUCGUUACUCCGUUUGGAGCCUUCUGCUACGUAUCUAUGCCUUUCGGGCUUAAGAGUGCCCAGGCGACUUACCAGCAGUGUGUGCAGAAUUGUCUUCACAGUCAAAUUGGGUGCAAUGUUCAUGCUUAUGUGGAUGACAUUGUGGUAAAAUCCACAGAGAAGGAGACCGUGAUAGAUGAUCUGAAGGAAACCUUUGACAAUCUUUGGGUCUAGAAGAUGAUGCUUAACCCGGCCAAGUGUGUUUUUGGUGUGUCUGCAGGCAAGCUUUUGGGUUUUCUGGUUUCGAACAGGGGCAUCGAGGCUAACCCGGAGAAGAUCAAGGCCAUCACCUCUCUGGCUAAGCCGGCGUGUAUCAAUGAUGUUCAGCGUUUGGCGGGUCGUAUCACUGCUUUAAGCCGGUUCAUAAGCCGGUUAGGCGAGAAGGCCAUACCUCUAUAUCAAAUGAUGAAGAAGACAAACAACUUUGUCUGGAGUGACGCUGCCAACACUGCUUUUGAAGAUUUGACGAGACAGCUGGCUGAGCCGCCGGUUCUUGCUGCUCCAAUUGAUAAGGAGACCUUAUUGUUAUAUGUGGCUGCUAAUACACGCGCUGUUAGCAUGGCUAUCAUGGUGGAGCGCAAGGAGGCUGGCAAGGAGCAUCCGGUUCAGCGGCCGGUUUACUACAUCAGUGAGGUACUUCUUGAGUCCAAGCAACAGUAUCCACACUGGUAGAAGCUCGUUCAUGGGGUGUUCAUGGCAAGCCGGAAGCUUAAGCAAUAUUUACUGGGCCACCUCAUCACUGUGGUUAGUUCUGCUCCUUUAGGAGAUAUAAUUCAGAAUAGAGAAGCAACAGGACAAGUAGCCAAGUGGGCCAUAGAACUUGGGCCUCAUGGUUUAAAGUAUGUGCCACGCACUGCUAUCAAAUCUCAAGCACUAGUGGAUUUCAUCAAUGAUUGGAUAGAGCUGCAGAUGCCUGAAGAAAAGCCGAACAACACAUAUUGGACUAUUCAUUUUGACGGGUCCAGGAAAUUGGAGGGCUCACUGAAGUUGUUUUAGCUUCCCCUCGAGGUGACAAAUUUUGUUAUUGAUGUUUCCCCGUACUAACAAUGCAGCUGAGUACGAAGCCUUACUCCAUGGUCUUCGGAUGGCUAAGGAGAUGAGUUUAAGCCGGGUAAGGUGUUUUGGCGACUCAGAUUUGGUGGCUCAACAGGUAUCAGGCAAGUGGGAUUCUAAGGAUCCUCUCAUGGUGGCUUAUCACCGUGAAGUUGACGCCAUUGCUGGACACUUCAAGAGUUACCAAGUGGAGCACAAUGACCGCAGAAAGAACGAGGCGGCUGAUGCCUUAAGCCGGCUGGGCUCUCAGCGUAAGCUGGUGCCGCCUAAUACUUUCUUGCAUAUUCUGCAUAGCCCUUCUGUCAAGUUACCUACAGAGGAAGACUUGGUUGUUCCUGACCCGGAAGCACAAUUGGUGGCAGCUCUUCAUGUCAUCCUAGAUUGGACAGUGUCAUAUUUGGCUUACAUGACCCGGGGCGAGUUGCCUGAGGAUGAAACCUUGGCCGGGCAGAUAUCCCGGCGGUCUAAGUCUAUGACGAUUGUCAGUGGUGAGUUGCAUCAUCGCAGUGUUACAAGGGCAUUUCAGCGUUGCGUCUCUCCUGAAGAAGGCCAAGAAAUUCUGCAUGAGAUUCAUGAAGGGGAUUGCGGUCAUUACGCUGGGUCAAAAUCCCUUGUGACUAAGGCUUUCCGUCAUGGAUUCUAUUGGCUAAUGAUGUCUACUACACAACCUUCUUCUUGUAAACGUUGUUGGGCCUGCAAGUGCACAGGUUUGUAGGACAGUAGCAAAUUUCCCUCAAGUGGAUGACCUAAGGUUUAUCAAUCCGUAGGAGGCGUAGGAUGAAGAUGGUCUCUCUCAAACAACCCUGCAACCAAAUAACAAAGAGUCUCUUGUGUCCCCAACACACCCAAUACAAUGGCAAAUUGUAUAGGUGCACUAGUUCGGCGAAGAGAUGGUGAUACAAGUGCAAAAUAGAUAGUAGAUAAAGGUAAUUGUAAUCUGAAAUUAUAAAAACAGCAAGGUAGCAAGUGAUAAAAGUGAGCGUAAACGGUAUUGCAAUGAUAGGAAAGAAGGCCUAGGGUUCAUACUUUCACUAGUGCAAGUUCUCUCAACAAUAAUAACAUAGAUAGAUCAUAUAACAAUCCCUCAACAUGCAACAAAGAGUCACUCCAAAGCCACUAAUAGCGGAGAACAAACAUAGAGAUUAUGGUAGGGUAUGAAACCACCUCAAAGUUAUUCUUUCGGAUCGAUCUAUUAAAGAGUUCGUACUAGAAUAACACCUUAAGACACAAAUCAACCAAAACCCUAAUGUCACCUAGAUACUCCAUUGUCACCUCAAGUAUCUGUGGGCAUGAUUAUACGAUAUGCAUCACACAAUCUCAGAUUCAUCCAACCAAAACAAAGUACUUCAAAGAGUGCCCCACAGUUUCUACCGGAGAGUCAAGAACGUGUGCCAACCCCUAUGCAUAGGUUCAUGGGCAGAACCCGCAAGUUGGUCACCAAAACAUACAUCAAGUGGCACAUGAUAUCCCAUUGUCACCACAGAUAAGCAUGGCAAGACAUACAUCAAGUGUUCUCAUAAAAGACUCAAUCCGAUAAGAUAACUUCAAAGGGGAAACUCAAUUCAUCACAAGAGAGUAGAGGGGGAGAAACAUCAUAAGAUCUAACUACAAUAGCAAAGCUCGGGAUACAUCAAGAUCGUGCCAUAGAGGGAACACGAGAGAGAACACGAGAGAGAGAGAUCAAACACAUAGCUACUGGUACAUACCCUCAGCCCCAAGGGUGAACUACUCCCUCCUUGUCAUGGAGAGCACCGAGAUGAUGAAGAUGGCCACCGGUGAUGGGUUCCCCCUCCGGCAGGGUGCCGGAACGGGCUCCCGACAGGUUUUUGGUGGCUACAGAGGCUUGCGGCGGCGGAACUCUCGAUCUAUCUUGAUAUUCGAUAGUUUUAGGGUACGUACAAUUAUAUAGGUGAAAGAAGUCGGUCGGGGGGUGCUUGAGAGGUCCACAAGAUAGGGGGUCGCGCCCUAUAGGGGGGGGGCGCCCCCUAUCUCCUGGGCUCCUCGAGGGUCUUCUGACUUGAUCUCCAAGCCUCCAGGAUGAUAUUCUUCCAAAAAAUCAUCAUGUCGAAGGUUUCAUUCCGUUUGGACUCCAUUUGAUAUUCCUUUUCUUCGAAAUACUGAAACAGGCAAUAAAACAGCAAUAUGGGCUGGGCCUCCGGUGAAUAGGUUAGUCCCAAAAGUAAUAUAAAAGUGUAUAAUAAAGCCCAUAAUCAUUCAAAACACAUAGUAAUAUAGCAUGAAUGCUUCAUAAAUUAUAGAUACGUUGGAGACGUAUCAGCAUCCCCAAGAUUAAUUCCUACUCGUCCUCGAGUAGGUAAAUGAUAAAAGAAAGAAUUUAUGAAGUGUGAAUGCUAUAAGGUGCACAAGUUUGAUCAACAAUAAUUUCAAUUACCUUUUCUAGCAUGAUAAUAUGUCAUAACAGAAGUUCAUCUCAUAAAACUUUUCACGAUAAAGUAACAAGCAAUACACAUGUCAAAGCAUAGACCAUAAACUUUCUUGAAAGCUAGAAAACUUCAUUCUUAGUCAUCAAAUCAAUUGCAAUUCAUCCUAUUUUCAGGAAGGGUCUAUGUCAGAGCUUUAAUUUAGCAAACUUCACAUACUCAACUAUCAUAUAGUCUUCUACAAUUGCUAACACUCACGCAAUACUUGUGGUUAUGAAGUUUUAAUCGGACACAGAGAAAGAUUGGGGCUUAUAAUGUUGCCUCCAAACAUAUUCACCUUUGGGUGAUGUCAACAAUAAUAGUUCAUGCUAACGUACAUCCAAUUGGAUAUAUAUAUAUAUCAGGAUCACCCCAACACAAAGUGCUUGCCAAAGGAUAAAAUGAAAAAGGGAAAGGUGAAGAUCACCUUGACUCUUGCAUAAAGUAAAUGACAUAAAGUAAAAGAUAGGCCCUUCGCUGAGGGAAGCAGAGGUUGUCAUGCGCUUUUAGGGUUGGAUACACAAAAUCUUAAUGCGAAAGAACAUCACUUUAUAUUGCCCCUUGUAUAUGGACCUUUAUUAUGCAGUCCGUCGCUUUUAUUGCUUCCAUAACAAGUUCGUACAAAGCUUAUUUUCUCUGCACUAAUAAGUCAUGCAUAUUUAGAGAGCAAUUUUUAUUGCUUGCACCGAUGACAACUUACUUGAAGGAUCUUACUCAAUCCAUAGGUAGGUAUGGUGGACUCUCAUGGCAAAAACUGGGUUUAAGGAUAUUUGGAAGCACAAGUAGUAUCUCUACUUGGUGCUAGGAAUUUUGGCUAGCAUGAGGGGGAAAGGCAAGCUCAACAUGUUUGAAUGAUCCAUGACAAUAUACUUUAACUGAGAUGCAAGAAAACAUAACUCAUUAGGUUGUCUUCCUUGUCCAACAUCAACUCUUUAGCAUGUCAUACUUAAUGAGUGCUCACAAUUAUAAAAGAUGUCUAUGAUAAUAUAUUUAUAUGUGAAAUCUCUCUUCCUUCAAUAUUCUUUCAUGAAUUGUUCAAAUGACUAAUACAAUGCUUGCUAACCGUCAAUAAAUUUACAACCUCUACUUCUUAGAUGUGAAGUCAUUACUCCCCAUGGGAUAAGCAAAUGAAACAUAUAUAAAUUCAGAUUUAUGACAUUCAACUCAUUCAACAAUUUACUCAUAAGAUAUAAGUGAAGCACACGAGUAAAUGACAAACUACUCCAAAAAGAUAUAAGUGAAGAUUAAUGAGUAGCUAAAUAAUUAUUUAACUAUGUGAAGACUCUCUCUCAUAAAAGAAUUCAGAUCUUGGUAUCUUAUUCAAACAGCAAGCAAAACAAAAUAAAUGGCAUUGCAAGGAUAGCACGACUCAUGUGAAGAAGCAAAAACUUAGGCUCAACCGAUACUAACCGAUGAUUGUUGAAGAAAGGUGGGAUGCCUAAUCGGGCAUCCCCAAGCUUAGAUGCUUGAGACUUCUUGAAAUAUUAUAUUGGGGUGCCUUGGGCAUCCCCAAGCUUGAGCUUUUAUGUCUCCUUAAUUCCUCUCAUAUCAUGGUUUCUCUUUUUAUCAAAAGCUUCAUUCACAACAAACUCAACAAGAACUCGUGAGAUAGGUUAGUAUAAACCAAUGCAAAACCUUAUCAUUUCCUACUGUAACAAAUCACUAAAAUUAUUAUUAAACAUUGCAUAAUAAAUGUCUCUGCAUAUUUAAUACUCAUAUCCUUAAAUAGAAUCAUUAAACAAGCAAACAUAUGCAAACAAUGCAAACAUAACAGCAAUCUGCCAAAACAGUAUAGACUGUAAAGAAUGCAAGAGUAUCAAUACUUCCCUGAUUCCAAAAAUUAUGAUCUAAAAUUUCCACUGUAAUAAAUUUAUCAGAGAUUAAUAUGCAAAAAGGUUCAACGUUAUACCAUUCUCUGACUUUUCUAGGAAAUUUUUGCAACAGCGAUAAACUUUCUAUUUUCAAACAGCAACAUAUAUACUUGCAAAAAAAGCAUGGCAAAGGCUAUCCUUGACAUUUUUAUUGAAACUAAAGAUGCAAAACAUUAUUAUAACUAACAGAAAGCAAAAAAUAACAAAAGAAAAUGACGCUCCAAGCAAAACACAUAUCAUGUGGCGAAUAAAAAUAUAGCUCCAAGUAAGGUUACCGAUGAACGAAGACGAAAGAGGGGAUGCCUUCCGGGGCAUCCCCAAGCUUAGGCUCAUGGUUGUCCUUGAAUAUUACCUUGUGGUGCCUUGGUCAUCCCCAAGCUUAGGCUCUUGCCACUCCUUAUUCCACAGUCCAUCGAAUCUUUACCCAAAACUUGAAAACGUCAACCACACAAAACUCAACACAAAACUCGUAAACUCCGUUAGUAUAAGAAAAUAAAUCACCACUUAGGUACUGUAAUUAACUCAUUAUAAAUUCAUAUUGGUCUAAACUCUACUGUAUUCCAACUUCUCUAUGGUUCAUACCACUUAAUACUAGCCAUAGAUUCAUCAAAAUAAGCAAACAACACAAUGAAAACAGAAUCUGUCAAAAACAGAACAGUCUGUAGUAAUCUGUAUCAAACGUAUACCUCUGCAACCAAAAAAAUUCUGAAAUAAAUUUCUGGACCUGAGGAAUUUUUCUAUUAAUCAUCUGAAAAAAGAAUCAACCUAAAAUCACUCUUCAGUAAACAAUGGCAGCUAUUCUCGUGAGCGCUAAAGUUUCUCUUGUUUACAGCAAGAUCACAUAAACUUCACCCAAGUCUUCCCAAAGGUUCUACUUGGCACUUUAUUGAAACAAAAGCUAUAAAACAUGAUUACUACAGUAGCAUAAUCAUGUGGACACACAAAAACAGUAAGGGUAAAUAUUGGGUUGUCUCCCAACAAGCACUUUUCUUUAAUGCCUUUCUAGCUAGGCAUGAUGAUGGCAAUGAGGCUCACAUAAAAGAUAAGAAUUGAAACAUAAAGAGAGCAUCAUGAAGAAUAUGACUAGCACAUUUAAGUCUAACCCACUUCCUAUGCAUAGGGAUUUUGUGAGCAAAUAACUUAUGGGAACAAUAAUCAACAAGCAUAGGAGGUAAAACAAGCAUAGCUUCAAGAUUUUCAACACAUAAAGAGGAAACUUGGUAUUAUUGCAAUUCCUACAAGCAUAUGUUCCUCCCUCAUAAUAAUUUUCAGUAGCAUCAUGAAUAAAUUCAACAAUAUAACCAGCACCUAAAGCAUUCUUUUCAUGAUCUACAAGCAUAGAAAAUUUACUACUCUCCACAUAAGCAAAAUUCUUCUCAUUCAGAAUAGUGACAGUAUCAUAAAAGACUUGAACACUAAAAAUUGUUUCCACAUUAAAAGAGUAAUGUUCAGAAAAAGGGUAAUCAUAAUCAUGACAAGGUUUGUAAAUAUAAUAAUCACUACUUUUUAUAGCAUAAGUUUCAUCACAAUAAUCAUCAUAAGUAGCAACUUCAUUCUCAUCAUAAUCGAUUGAAACCUCUCCCAAGAUAGUGGAAUCACUAAAUAAAGUUGACACUCUUCCAAAUCCACUUUCAUAUUCAUCACAAUAAGAUUCAACAUCUUCCAAAAUAGUGGGAUCACUAAUUCCUAAAGUUGACACUCUUCCAAACCCACUUUCAUCAAUAUAAUCAUCAUAGGUAGGAGGCAUGCUAUCAUCAUAACAACUUUGCAUAUCAAAACUUGGGAUGCUAAAAAUAUCAUCUUCACUAAACGUAGCAUCCCCAAGCUUGGGACAAACAUUAAUUUCAGCAAAUAUAUUCUCAAAUAUUUCAUCCUCAUCAAACAUAGCUUCCCCAAGCUUGUGGCUUUGCAUAUCAUUAGCAUCAUGGAUAUUCAAGGAAUUCAUACUAACAACAUUGCAAUCAUGCUCAUCAUACAAAGAUUUAGUAUCAAACAUUCUAUAGAUUUCUUCUUCUAGCACUUGAGCACAAUUUUCCUUUUCAUCAUACUCAUGAAAGAUAUUAAAAAGACGAAGCAUAUGAGACAAACUUAACUCCAUUUUUUUGAAGUUUUCUUUUAUAAACUAAACUAGUGAUAAAACAAGAAACAAAAAGAUUCGAUUGCAAGAUCUAAAGAUAUACCUUCAAGCACUCACCUCCCCGGCAACGGCGCCAGAAAAGAGCUUGAUAUCUACUACACAACCUUCUUCUUGUAGACGUUGUUGGGCCUGUAAGUGCACAGGUUUGUAGGACAGUAGCAAAUUUCCCUCAAGUGGAUGACCUAAAGUUUAUCAAUCCGUAGGAGGCGUAGGAUGAAGAUGGUCUCUCUCAAACAACCCUGCAACCAAAUAACAAAGAGUCUCUUGUGUCCCCAACACACCCAAUACAAUGGCAAAUUGUAUAGGUGCACUAGUUCGGCGAAGAGAUGGUGAUACAAGUGCAAAAUAGAUAGUAGAUAAAGGUAAUUGUAAUCUGAAAUUAUAAAAACAGCAAGGUAACAAGUGAUAAAAGUGAGCGUAAACGGUAUUGCAAUGAUAGGAAACAAGGCCUAGGGUUCAUACUUUCACUAGUGCAAGUUCUCUCAACAAUAAUAACAUAGAUAGAUCAUAUAACAAUCCCUCAACAUGCAACAAAGAGUCACUCCAAAGCCACUAAUAGCGGAGAACAAACGUAGAGAUUAUGGUAGGGUACGAAACCACCUCAAAGUUAUUCUUUUGGAUCGAUCUAUUAAAGAGUUCAUACUAGAAUAACACCUUAAGACACAAAUCAACCAAAACCCUAAUGUCACCUAGAUACUCCAUUGUCACCUCAAGUAUCCGUGGGCAUGAUUAUACGAUAUGCAUCACACAAUCUCAGAUUCAUCCAACCAACACAAAGUACUUCAAAGAGUGCCCCAAAGUUUCUACCGGAGAGUCAAGAACGUGUGCCAACCCCUAUGCAUAGGUUCAUGGGCAAAACCCGCAAGUUGGUCACCAAAACAUACAUCAAGUGGCACAUGAUAUCCCAUUGUCACCACAGAUAAGCAUGGCACAUACAUCAAGUGUUCUCAUAAAAGACUCAAUCCGAUAAGAUAACUUCAAAGGGGAAACUCAAUUCAUCACAAGAGAGUAGAGGGGGAGAAACAUCAUAAGAUCCAACUACAAUAGCAAAGCUCGGGAUACAUCAAGAUCGUGCCAUAGAGGGAACACGAGAGAGAACACGAGAGAGAGAGAUCAAACACAUAGCUACUGGUACAUACCCUCAGCCCCGAGGGUGAACUACUCCCUCCUCGUCAUGGAGAGUGUCGGGAUGAUGAACAUGGCCACCGGUGAUGGGUUCCCUCUCCGGCAGGGUGCCGGAACGGGCUCCCGAGAGGUUUUUGGUGGCUACGGAGGCUUGCGGCGGCGGAACUCUCGAUCUAUCUUGAUAUUCGAUAGUUUUAGGGUACGUAGAGUUAUAUAGGCGAAAGAAGUCGGUCUGGGGGUGCUCGAGGGGUCCACGAGACAGGUGGGCGCGCCCCUAUAUCCUGGGCUCCUCGAGGGUCUUCUGACUUGAUCUCCAAGCCUCCAGGAUGAUAUUCUUCCAAAAAAUCACGAUGCCGAAGGUUUCAUUCCGUUUGGACUCCGUUUGAUAUUCCUUUUCUUCGAAAUACUGAAACAGGCAAUAAAACAGCAAUAUGGGCUGGGCCUCCGGUUAAUAGGUUAGUCCCAAAAGUAAUAUAAAAGUGUAUAAUAAAGCCCAUAAUCAUUCAAAACACAUAGUAAUAUAGCAUGAAUGCUUCAUAAAUUAUAGAUAUGUUGUAGACGUAUGAGCUGAUGGCUCAUGCUGAUGCAGAGGACUUGGUCAGUAAAUAUGACGGUUGUCAGAAGUUCUCAAGACGGGCUCAUGUGCCGGCUCAAGAAUUGAGGAUGAUUCCAAUUACUUGGCCGUUUGCAGUCUGGGGGCUUGACAUGGUUGGGCCUUUCAAAAGGUCCAAAGAUAAAAAGACCCACCUCUUGGUGGCAGUUGAUAAAUUUACAAAGUGGGUUGAGGCAGAGCCAGUUAGUAAGUGUGAUGCAGCUACGGCGGUUCAGUUCAUGAAGAAGGUGAUAUUUCACUUCGGCUUUCCACACAACAUUAUAACUGAUAAUGGCACUAAUCUAUCUAAAGGCGCCAUGGAAGAAUUUUGUCAACGUGAGCAUAUUCGGCUUGAUGUUUCAUCAAUGGCUCACCCCCAAUUCAAUGGUCAAGCCGAGAGAGCCAAUUAGGAGAUCUUGAAAGGCAUCAAGCCCUGGCUUUUGGUCCCCUGCAGCGGACGCCAGGUUGUUGGGUUGAGGAGUUACCCUCUGUGUUAUGGAGCAUCAACACUACUCCCAACAGGUCUACGGGUUAUACGCCUUUCUUCGUGGUCUAUGGUGUUGAGGCGGUUCUCCCUAGUGACAUCCGUCAUGACUCGUCUCGUGUGGCGGCUUAUGUGUAGGCGGACAAUGAACAGGCGCAUCAGGAUGCUCUUGACUUAUUAGAUGAACAGUGGGACUUGGCAGUGAUACGUCUCCAACGUAUCUAUAAUUUUUCAUUGCUCCAUGCUACUUUAUCUACUAUUUUGGACUAUAUUGGGCUUUAUUUUCCACUUUUAUAUUACUUUUGGGACUAACAUAUUAACCGGAGGCCCAGCCCAGAAUUGCUGUUUUUUGCCUUUUUCAAUAUUUCGAAGAAACAGAAUAUCAAACGGAGUCCAAAUGGAAUGAAACCUUUGGGAUCGUGAUUUUCCAACCGAACGUGACCCAGGAGACUUGGACCCUACUCCAAGCAGUGCCCGAGGAGGUCAUGAGGGUGGAUCCCCCCCCCCCCCGGGGCGUGCCCCCCUACCUCAUGGGCCCCUCGGAGCUCCACCGACAUACUCCUUCCUCCUAUAUAUACCUACGUAUCCCCGAACGAUUAGAACAGGAGCCAAAAACCUAAUUCCACCGCCGCAACCUUCUGUAUCCACAAGAUCCCAUCUUGGGGCCUGUUCCGGAGCUCCGCCGGAGGGGGCAUCCACCAUAGAGGGCUUCUACAUCAUCACCAUAGCCCCUCCGAUAAAGUGUGAGUAGUUUACUUCAGACCUUCGGGUCCAUAGCUAGUAGCUAGAUGGCUUCUUCUCUCUUUUUGGAUCUCAAUACAAUGUUCUCCCCCUCCCUCGUGGAGAUCUAUUCGAUGUAAUCUUCUUUUUGCGGUGUGUUUGUUGAGACCAAUGAAUUGUGGGUUUAUGAUCCAGUAUUAUCUAUGGAAAAUAUUUGAUUAUUCUCUGAAUUCUUUUAUGUAUGAUUGAGUUAUCUUUGCAAGUCUCUUCGAAUUAUCCUUUUGGUUUGGCCAACUAGAUUGGUAGUUCUUGCAAUGGGAGAAGUGCUUAGCUUUGGGUUCAAUCUUGCGGUGUCCUUACUCAGUGACAGAAAGAGUUGCAAGGCAUGUAUUGUAUUGUUGCCAUCGAGGAUAACAAGAUGGGGUUUUUAUCAUAUUGCAUGAAUUUAUCCCUCUACAUCAUGUCAUCUUGCUUACGGCAUUACUCUGUUUUUACUUAAUACUCUAGAUGCAUGCUGGAUAGCGGUCGAUGAGUGGAGUAAUAGUAGUAGAUGCAGAAUCGUUUCGAUCUACUUGUUUUGGACGUGAUGCCUAUAUACAUGAUCAUUGCCUAGAUAUACUCAUAACUAUGCUCAAUUCUGUCAAUUGCUCAACAGUAAUUUGUUCACCCACCGUAGAAUACUUAUGCUCUUGAGAGAAGCCACUAGUGAAAUCUAUGGCCCCCGGGUCUAUUCUCAUCAUAUCAAUCUAUAUCACUUUAUUUACUUGCUUUGUUUUUACUUUGCCUUUACUUUUACUUUGCAUCUAUCUAUCAAAAAUACCAAAAAUAUUAUCUCUAUCAGAUCUCACUCUCGUAAGUGACCGUGAAGGGAUUGACAACCCCUAAGCGUUGGUUGUGAGUUGCUAUCAUUUUGUGUAGGUACGAGGGACUUGUGCGUGGUCUCCUACUGGAUUGAUACCUUGGUUCUCAAAAACUGAGGGAAAUACUUAUGCUACUUUACUGCAUCAUCCUCUCCUCUUUGGGGAAAUCCAACGCAGUGCUCAAGAGGUAGCAGGCAGCAGCUCGUUCGGUGAUUUACCAACAGCACUUGCACCGCUAUCACAGCCGUCGGGUUAAGUCCAGAGCCUUUCAGGAAGGUGAUUUGGUGCUCUGGCUCAUCCAGGAUCAAACUGAUGCGCACAAGUUAUCCCCACCUUGGGAAGGGCCCUUUGUGGUCAGCAAGAACUUGAACAACGGGUCAUACUACCUUAUCGAUGUUCGAGAGCACAAAGACUCACAUAAGUUGGAGGAGGAAACCCGCCGGCCGUGGAAUAUCGCCCAUCUUCGGCCUUACUACACUUGAGCCACCGGCUCUCGUGAUGUACAUAUUUUGACAAUGUAUAUAUUGUGAUAAAUAAUAAAGCAGGACCUCUGUCCUUUUUUCCCUUCCUCAAAGGUAAAUGUGUCAUUGUUAUUAUCAUUGUCAUUUCACAUGAUCACUUGGGGGCUGAUCGUAUUCGAUCAAGUUCCACCCUCUUGAUCCGGCUUACGAUCAUAUUCGAAUCUAGCCGUUAAAACUUAUGAUCACUAGGGGGGUUCCUGUUCAAACUGUUGGAAAUAUGCCCUAGAGGCAAUGAUAAAUUAGUUAUUAUUAUUAUAUUUCCGUGUUCAUGAUAAUCGUUUAUUACCCAUGCUAUAAUUGUAUUGAUAGGAAACUCAGAUGCAUGUGUGGGUACAUAAACAACACCAUGUCCCUAGUAAGCCUCUAGUUGACUAGCUCGUUGAUCAACAGAUGGUUACGGUUUCCUGACCAUGGACAUUGGAUGUCGUUGAUAACGGGAUCACAUCAUUUGGAGAAUGAUGUGAUGGACAAGACCCAAUCCUAAGCCUAGCACAAAGAUCAUAGUUCGUAUGCUAAAGCUUUUCUAAUGUCAAGUAUCAUUUCCUUAGACCAUGAGAUUGUGCAACUCCCGGAUGCCGUAGGAAUGCUUUGGGUGUACCAAACGUCACAACGUAACUGGGUGGUUAUAAAGGUGCACUACAGGUAUCUCCGAAAGUGUCUGUUGGGUUGGCACGAAUCGAGACUGGGAUUUGUCACUCUGUGUAAACGGAGAGGUAUCUCUGGGCCCACUCAGUAGGACAUCAUCAUAAUGUGCACAAUGUGACCAAGGGGUUGAUCACGGGAUGAUGUGUUACGGAACGAGUAAAGAGACUUGCUGGUAACGAGAUUGAACAAGGUAUCGGGAUACCGACGAUCGAAUCUCGGGCAAGUACAAUACCGCUAGACAAAGGGAAUUGUAUACGGGAUCGAUUGAGUCCUUGACAUCGUGGUUCAUCCGAUGAGAUCAUCGUGGAACAUGUGGGAGCCAACAUGGGUAUCCAGAUCCCGCUGUUGGUUAUUGACCGGAGAACGUCUCGGUCAUGUCUACAUGUCUCCCAAACCCGUAGGGUCUACACACUUAAGGUUCGAUGACGCUAGGGUUAUAAAGGAAGUUUGUAUGUGGUUACAGAAUGUUGUUCGGAGUCCCGGAUGAGAUCCCGGACGUCACGAGGAGUUCCGGAACAGUCCAGAGGUAAAGAUUUAUAUAUGGGAAGUCAUGUUUUGGUCACCGGAAAAGUUUCGGGUUUUAUCGGUAACGUACCGGGACCACCGGGAGGGUCCCGGGGGUCCACCAAGUGGGGCCACCGGCCCCGGAGGGCUGCAUGGGCCAAGUGUGGGAGGGGACCAGCCCCAGGUGGGCUGGUGUGCCCCCCCCCCCACACACAAGGGCCCAAGGCGCCUAGGGUUUGGGGAGGGGGCGCCCCACCUUGCUUGGGGGGCAAGUUUCCCCCUCUCCACCCCUUGGCUGCCCCCCUAGAUGGGAUCUAGGGCUGGCCGCCGCCCCCUAGUGGUGGAAACCUAGGUGGGGGCGCAGCCCCCUCUCCCCCUAUAUAUAGUGGAGGCAUAGGAGCAGCCCAACACAUGAGUUUCUUCUCUUGUUGGCGCAGCCCUACCUCUCUUUCUCCUCAUAUCUCGCGGUGCUUGGCGAAGCCCUGCUGGACUACCACGCUCUUCCAUCACCACCACGCCAUUGUGCUGCUGCUGGAUGGAGUCUUCCUCAACCUCUCCCUCUCACCUUGCUGGAUCAGGGCAUGGGAGACGUCACCGGGUUGUACGUGUGUUGAACGUGGAGGUGCCGUCCGUUCGGCACUAGGAUCUCCGGUGAUUUGGAUCACAACGAGUACGACUCCUUCAACCCCGUUCUCUUGAACGCUUCCGCUUAGCGAUCUACAAGGGUAUGUAGAUGCACUCUCCUUCUCCUCGUUGCUGGUUUCUCCACAGAUAGAUCUUGGUGACACGUAGGAAAAUUUUGAAUUUCUGCUACGUUCCCCAACAGUGGCAUCAUGAGCUAGGUCUAUUGCGUAGAUUCUUUGCACGAGUAGAACACAAAGUAGUUGUGGGCGUUGAUUUUGUACAAUAUGCUUACCGUUACUAGUCCAAUCUUGUUUCGACGGUAUUGUGGGAUGAAGCGGCCCAGACCGACCUUACACGUACUCUUACGUGAGACAGGUUCCACCGACUGACAUGCACUUGGUGCAUAAGGUGGCUAGCGGGUGCCAGUCUCUCCCACUUUAGUCGGAACGGAUUCGAUGAAAAGGGUCCUUAUGAAGGGUAAAUAGCAAUUGGCAUAUCACAUUGUGGUUUUGCGUAGGUAAGAAACGUUCUUGCUAGAAACCCAUAGCAGCCACGUAAAACAUGCAAACAACAAUUAGAGGACGUCUAACUUGUUUUUUGCAGGGUAUGCUAUGUGAUGUGAUAUGGCCAAGAAGAAUGUGAUGAAUGAUAUGUGAUGUAUGAGAUUGAUCAUGUUCUUGUAAUAGGAAUCACGACUUGCAUGUCAAUGAGUAUGACAACCGGCAGGAGCCAUAGGAGUUGUCUUAAUUUAUUGUAUGACCUGCGUGUCAUUGAACAACGCCAUGUAAUUACUUUACUUUAUUGCUAACCGGUAGCCAUAGUAGUAGAAGUAAUAGUUGGCGAGACAACUUCAUGAAGACACGAUGAUGGAGAUCAUGAUGAUGGAGAUCAUGGUGUCAUGCCGGUGACGAUGAUGAUCAUGGAGCCCCGAAGAUGGAGAUCAAAAGGAGCAAAAUGAUAUUGGCCAUAUCAUGUCACUAUUUGAUUGCAUGUGAUGUUUAUGAUUUUUAUGCAUCUUGUUUUCUUAUAACGACGGUAGUAAAUAAGAUGAUCCCUUAUUAAAAUUUCAAGAAAGUGUUCCCCCUAACUGUGCAACGUUGCGAAAGUUCAUCAUUUCGAAGCACCACGUGAUGAUCGGGUGUGAUAGAUUCUUACGUUCACAUACAACGGGUGUAAGCCAGAUUUACACACGCGAAACACUUAGGUUAACUUGACGAGCCUAGCAUGUACAGACAUGGCCUCGGAACACAAGAGACUGAAAGGUCGAGCAUGAGUCGUAUAGUAGAUACGAUCAACAUGAAGAUGUUCACCGAUGAUGACUAGUCCAUCUCACGUGAUGAUCGGACACGGCCAAGUUGACUCGGAUCAUGUAAUCACUUAGAUGACUAGAGGGAUGUCUAUCUGAGUGGGAGUUCAUGAGAUGAACUUAAUUGUCCUGAACAUAGUCAAAAGAACUUUGCAAAUUAUGUCGUAUGCUCGCGCUUUAGUUCCACUGUUUAGAUAUGUUCCUAGAGAAAAUAUAGUUGAAAGUUGACAGUAGCGAUUAUGCGGACAGUAGAAAGCUUAUGUCCUUAAUGCACCGCUCAGUGUGCUGAACCCCAAACGUCGUCUGUGGAUGUUGCGAACAUCGGACAUACACGUUUUGAUAACUACGUGAUAGUUCAGUUAAACGGUUUAGAGUUGAGGCACCAAAGACGUUUUUCGAAAUGUCGCGGAACAUAUGAGAUGUUUCGAGGGCUGAAAUUGGGAUUUCAGGCUCGUGCCCACGUCAAGAGGUAUAAGACCUCUGACAAUUUUCUUAGCCUGCAAACUAACGGAGAAAAGCUCAAUCGUUGAGAUUGUGCUCAGAUUGUCUGAUUGCAACAAUCACUUGAAUCGAGUGGGAGUUGAUCUUCCAGAUGAGAUAGUGAUGUUUCUCCAAAGUCAUUGCCACCAAGCUGCUAGAGCUUCAUGAUGAACUAUAACAUAUCAGGGAUAGAUGAUCCUUGAGGUAUUCACGAUGUUUGACACCGCGAAAGUAGAAAUCAAGAAGGAGCAUCAAUUGUUGAUGGUUGGUGAAACCACUAGUUUCAAGAAGGGCAAGGGCGAGAAGGGACACUUCAUGAAACGACAAAUCAGUUGCUGCUCCAAUAAAGAAACCCAAGGUUGAACCCAAACCCGAGACUAAGUGCUUCUGUAAUAAGGGGAACAGCCACUGGAGCAGAAUUACCCUAGAUACUUGGUAGAUAAGAAGGCUGGCAAGGUCGAUAGAAGUAUAUUGGAUAUACAUUAUGUUAAUGUGUACUUUACUAGUACUCCUAGUAGCACCAGGGUAUUAGAUACCAGUUCGGUUGCUAAGUGUUAGUAACUUGAAAUAAAAGCUACGGAAUAAAUGGAGACUAGCUAAAGGUGAGCUGACGACACGUGUUGGAAGUGUUUCCAAGGUUGAUGUGAUCAAGCAUCGCACGCUCCCUCUACCAUCGAGAUUGGUGUUAAACCUAAAUAAUUGUUAUUGGUGUUUGCGUUGAGCAUAGACAUGAUUGGAUUAUGUUUGUCGCAAUACGGUUAUUCAUUUAAGGAGAAUAAUGGUUACUCUGUUUAUUUGAAUAAUACCUUCAAUGGUCUAGCACCUAAAAGGAAUGGUUUAUUGAAUCUUGAUCGUAGUGAUACACAUUUUCAUGCCAAAAAGGAUAUAAGAUAGUAAUGAUAGUACCACUUACUUGUGGCACUGCCAUGUAAGUCAUAUUGGUGUAAAACGCAUGAUGAAGCUCCAUGUUGAUGGAUCUUUGGACUCACUCGUUUUUGAAAAGUUUGAGACAUGCAAACCAUGUCUAUUGGUGUAUACUCAUGAAGAAACUCCAUGCAGAUGGAUCGUUUGGACUCACUUGAUUUUGAAUCACUUGAGAUAUGCAAAUCAUACCACAUGGGCAAGAUGACUGAAAAGCCUCGGUUUCAAUAAGAUGGAACAAGAUAGCAACUUGUUGGAAGUAACACACUUUGAUGUGUGUAGUCCAAUGAGUGCUGAGGCAUGUAGUGAAUAUCGUUAUGUUUUACUUCACAAAUGAUUUAAGUAGAUACUGUAUAUUUACUUGAUGAAACACAAGUCUGAAUUAUUGAAUGGUUCAAGUAAUUUCAGAGUGAAGUUGAAGAUCAUCGUGACAAGAGGAUAAAAUGUCUAUGAUAUGAUCAUAGAGAUGAGUAUCUGAGUUACGAGCUUUGGCACGCAAUUAACACAUUGUGGAAAUUGUUUCACAAUUAAUACCGCCUGGAACACCAUAGUGUGAUGGUGUGUCCGAACAUCAUAGUUGCACCAUAUUGGAUAUGGUGCGUACCAUGAUGUCUCUUAUCGAAUUACCACUAUCGUUCAUGGGUUAGGCAUUAGAGACAACCGAACUCACUUUAAUAGGGCACCACGUAAUUCCGUUGAGAUGACACUAUGAGAACUAUGGUUUAGAGAAACCUAAGCGGUCGUUUCUUGAAAGUUUGGGGCUGCGAUGCUUAUGUGAAAAAGUUUCAUCGUGAUAAGCUCGAACCCAAAAUGGAUAAAUGCAUAUUCAUAGGAUACCCGAAACAGUUGGGUAUACCUCCUAAUUCAGUCCGAAAGCAAUAGGGAUUGUUUCUUGAAUCGGGUCCUUUCUCGAGGAAAAGUUUGUCUCGAAAAUUGAGUGGGAGGAUGGUGGAGACUUGAUGAGGUUAUUGAACCAUCACUUCAACUAGUGUGUAGCAGUGCACAGGAAGUUGUUCCUAUGGCGCCUACACCAAUUGAAGUAGAAGCUUAUGAUAGUGAUCAUGAAGUUUCGGAUCAAGUCACUACCGUACCUCGUAGGGUGACAAGGAUGUGUACUACUUCAGAGUGGUACAAUAAUCCUGUCUUGAAGGUCAUGUUGCUAGACAACAAUGAACCUACGAGCUAUGGAGAAGCGAUGGUGGGCCCAAAUUCCGACAAAUGGUUAGAAACCAUGAAAUCCGAGAUAGGAUCCAUGUAUCAGAACAAAGCAUGGACUUUGGUGGACUUGCCCGAUGAUCGGCAAGCCAUUGAGAUAAAUGGAUCUUUAAGAAGAAGACGGAUGUAGACGGUAAUGUCACCGUCUAUGAAGCUCAACUUGUGGCGAGAAGUUUUCACAAGUUCAAGGAAGUUGACUACGAUGAGAUUUUCUCAUUCGUAGCGAAGCUUAAGUCUGUCGGAAUCAUGUUAGCAUUAGCUGCAUUUAUGAAAUCUGGCAAAUGGAUGUCAAAACGAGUUUCCUUACUAGUCUUCGUAAGGAAAGGUUGUAUGUGAUACAAUCAGAAAGGUUUUGUCGAUCCUAAGGAUGCUAAAAGGUAUGCUGGCUCCAGCGAUCCUUCUAAGGACUGGAGUAAGCAUCUCGGAGUUGGAAUGUACGCUUUGAUGAGAUGAUCAAAGAUUUUGGGUUUAUACAAAGUUUAUGAGAAACUUGUGUUUCCAAAGAAGUGAGUGGGAGCACUAUAGAAUUUCUGAUGAGUAUAUGUUGUUGACAUAUUGUUGAUCAGAAAUGAUGUAGAAUUUCUGGAAAGCAUAUAGGGUUAUUUGAAAGGUGUUUUUCAAUAGAAAACCUGGAUUAAGCUAGUUGAACAUUGAGCAUCAAGAUCCAUGAGGAUAGAUCAAAAACGCUUAAUGGUACUUUCAAAUGAGCAUAUACCUUGACAUGAUCUUGAAGGUGUUCAAGAUGGAUCAGUCAAAGAAGGAGUUCUUGCCUGAGAUGUAAGGUAUGAAGUUAAGACUUAAAGCUCGACCACGGCAGAAAAGAGAGAAAGGACGAAGGUCGUCCCCUAUGCUUUAGACGUAGGCUCUACAGUAUGCUAUGCUGUGUACCGCACCUGAUGUGUGCCUUGCCACAUGUCUGGCAAGAGGGUACAAAGGUGAUCAAGGAGUGGAUCACCAGAUAGCGGUCAAAAUUAUCCUUAGAGCAAUAAGGAUAUGUUUCUCGAUUAUGGAGGUGAUAAAGAGUUCGGCGUAAAGGGUUACGAUGAUGCAAGCUUUAACACCUAUCCGAAUGACUCUGAGUAGCAAACCGGAUACGUAUAGUGAAGCAACCAUUUGGAAUAGCUUCAAGUGGAGCGUGGAAGCAGCAUUUACAAUAUGACAUAGAGAAUUGCGAAGUACAUACGGAUCUGAAUGUUGCAGAAUCGUUGACUAAAACCUCUCUCACAAGCAAAACAUGAUCAAACCCCAGAACACAUUGAGACUUAAUUACAUGGUGAUGUGAACUAGUUUAGACACUAGUAAACUCUUUGGAUGUUGGUCACAUGGCGAUGUGACCUGUCUGUUUUAAUCACAUGGCGAUGUGAACUAGAUUAUUGACUCUAGUGCAAGUGGGAGACUGUUGGAAAUAUGCCCUAGAGGCAAUGAUAAAUUAGUUAUUAUUAUUAUAUUUCCAUGUUCAUGAUAAUCGUUUAUUACCCAUGCUAUAAUUGUAUUGAUAGGAAACUUAGAUACAUGUGUGGGUACAUAAACAACACCAUCUCCCUAGUAAGCCUCUAGUUGACUAGCUCGUUGAUCAACAGAUGGUUACGGUUUCCUGACCAUGGACAUUGGAUGUCGUUGAUAACGGGAUCACAUCAUUUGGAGAAUGAUGUGAUGGACAAGACCCAAUCCUAAGCCUAGCACAAAGAUCGUAGUUCGUAUGCUAAAUCUUUUCUAAUGUCAAGUAUCAUUUCCUUAGACCAUGAGAUUGUGAAACUCCCGGAUGCCGUAGGAAUGCUUUGGGUGUACCAAACAUCACAACGUAACUAGGUGGCUAUAAAGGUGCACUACAGGUAUCUCCGAAAGUGUCUGUUGGGUUGGCACGAAUCGAGACUGGGAUUUGUCACUCCGUGUAAACGGAGAGGUAUCUCUGGGCCCACUUGGUAGGACAUCAUCAUAAUGUGCACAAUGUGACCAAGGGGUUGAUCACGGGAUGAUGUGUUAUGGAACGAGUAAAGAGACUUGCUGGUAACGAGAUUGAACAAGGUAUCGGGAUACCGACGAUCGAAUCUCGGGCAAGUACAAUACCGCUAGACAAAGGGAAUUGUAUACGGGAUCGAUUGAGUCCUUGACAUCGUGGUUCAUCCGAUGAGAUCAUCAUGGAACAUGUGGGAGCCAACAUGGGUAUCCAGAUCCCGUUGUUGGUUAUUGACCGGAGAACGUCUCGGUCAUGUCUACAUGUCUCCCGAACCCGUAGGGUCUACACACUUAAGGUUCGAUGACGCUAGGGUUAUAAAGGAAGUUUGUAUGUGGUUACAGAAUGUUGUUCGGAGUCCCAGAUGAGAUCCCGGAUGUCACGAGGAGUUUCGGAAUGGUCCGUAGGUAAAGAUUUAUAUAUGGGAAGUCCUAUUUUGGUCACCGGAAAAGUUUCGGGUUUUAUCGGUAACGUACCGGGACCACCGGGAGGGUCCCGGGGGUCCACCAAGUGGGGCCACCGGCCCCGGAGGGCUGCAUGGGCCAAGUGUGGGAGGGGACCAGCCCCAAGUGGGCUGGUGUGCCCCCCCACAAGGGCCCAAGGCGCCUAGGGUUUGGGGAGGGGGCGCCCCACCUUGCUUGGGGGGCAAGUUUCCCCCUCUCCACCCCUUGGCUGCUCCCCCUAGAUGGGGUCUAGGGCUGGCCGCCGCCCCCUAGGGGUGGAAACCUAGGUGGGGGCGCAGCCCCCUCUCCCCCUAUAUAUAGUAGAGGCAUAGGAGCAGCCCAACACAUGAGUUUCUUCUCCUAUUGGCGCAGCCCUACCUCUCUUUCUCCUCAUAUCUCGCGGUGCUUGGCGAAGCCCUGCUGGACUACCACGCUCUUCCAUCACCACCACGCUGUUGUGCUGCUGCUGGAUGGAGUCUUCCUCAACCUCUCCCUCUCACCUUGCUGGAUCAGGGCACGGGAGACGUCACCGGGCUGUACGUGUGUUGAACAUGGAGGUGCCGUCCGUUCGGCACUGGGAUCUCCGGUGAUUUGGAUCACGACGAGUACGACUCCUUCAACCCCGUUCUCUUGAACGCUUCCGCUUAGUGAUCUACAAGGGUAUGUAGAUGCACUCUCCUUCUCCUCGUUGCUGGUUUCUCCAUAGAUAGAUCUUGGUGACACGUAGGAAAAUUUUGAAUUUCUGCUACGUUCCCCAACACAAACAUAGGUCAUUUCGAACCAAAGAGAACAUAGCUGUCAGUACCCUUUUGAUUGGCACACUGCCGAGCUCACUAGGGGGCUUCUUUGUCGUAUUCGAAUCAUAGCUUAACCCCUUUUGGGAACCGACUUUGAUCGUAUUCGAAUUGGAGUCGUUAAAAAACUCUCAAGGUCAUUAGGGGGCUUCCUGUUCAAACAUAGGUCAUAUUCGAACCAAAGACAACAUAGUUGUCGGUACCCUCUUGAUCGGUGCAACGCCAAAGCCACUGGGGGCUACAUGAUCGUAUUCGAAUCCUAGCUUAACCCCUCUGGAACGGUUUACUGAUCAUAUUCGAAUCAGCAGCCUUGAAUUUUUUGUUAUUUUAUUUGGUUUAAGUUUUCUUCGGAAGCACCCUUUAUUUGACUUGAGAUUUUUUCUGAGGUUUACAAAUACGAGUGUGGUUAAUUUUAACCCGGCUUAAUAUUGGCUGAUACGUCGCCAAUGUAUGAGCAUCAUUAUACCUUUGAAAAUAUUGGUGUCCAAAGAUCGGGUUAUCACCCUUACUGACCGGGUCUCAUGAGCCGGCGGUGCAAAUUCAAAAGGUCGCAGGUGUAAGAUUAUAGUUGUGUUUUUUCAAACAUCAUAUGAUACAACAAACUUAUCUGUGACUCUUUUUAUAUAGUUAUUUUGACCCACCUGACGGUAAGCCGCCAAGGGAUCUUGUGGUCUGUUUUCAUGUGCAGGACAGUUAAAAGGUUUGGUCAAGCAUACGGAAAGCAGGUGAACAGUACACACGGGUGAAUGUAACACGACAGCUUAACGACAUUAAGCAAUAAAAUGUGCAUGAUGGCACGGCCAAAGCAAAGUUAUUUCUACUCUAUUACAUGACUCCUUGAGUCCAGAUGAUUCACAUUGUUUUUCAGCACGUCAUAGGUGUGAGCCGCCAUGGCAGGUUAGCCUUCAUGAUUGGCCUGAAGCGUCCGAGUUAGCACUCUCCGCGUCUUCGCCCUGUUCCCUUUCCUGGAAGGUUGACGAUGACUAGUCAAUGUUGUUCAAAGCUUCAAAUUCGGCUUCAUCAUCAACUAGAUCGGCCGGGUUAACUUUAGGGGCGAAGGUGUGCUUACGGAGUGGGGGAUCAGACUGGUCACUUCAUAAUGAGGCGUCAGAAUUCUCCGGUUCUCUUCAUCAUAACCCGCCUGGUACUUGGUAAGAUCCACUUGAUUUGCUAUCAGGGUAGCCACGGGGCGUAUCUCCUUCACGCAAGCAGUAAAAUCUGCUUCUUCAAAAGGAGUUCCAUCUUCCUUUAAGCUUGGAUAGCCAGUGGCAAUGUCGGCCGGGUCUAACUCUGAUAGCCAAGCCUUGGCCCGACUUAAAGCAUUUACUGCUCUGGCUCUUGUAGCUGACCGCCUCAGUUCAUUGAACCGUUGGGGUAGUACGGAAAGCUUCUUAAAGACCUCUACCAGGAGGGUAGGCACUUCAUUUGACAAGGCCACUGUGGCUAAUGCACAUUGAGACCCGGUAUAUAAUUGCUCCACCAAGGUGUACACUCCCUUCAGCUUGAUCAGCAUAUCUUGGUUCAAAUUGGAGCUUCUGGGGCCUGCAUAAACAUGAUCAGGUGAGUCAAUUCCAAUUAUAUGAUCAACUGAAAGGUUCAAAUGUUUAAACGCUUGUAGGGCGACUUACCAAAGAUUGCCGAGACCAUUUGAGAGACUUGGCGCUUUAAGCCGGUUAAUUCAUCGGUUGCGUCUUCUAGAGCUGCCUCUGCCUUCUCAGCUCGGUUAAUUAAAGUUGUUCUUUCAUCAGCCCAGGACUUCUUUUCAUUAUCAAAUUCUUUCUUCAGUUUUUCUUGUUCAAAAAUACUGAAUUUGAACUUGGUAUUGGCCUUUUGGGCCUCCAUUUCUUGGGCCUCAAGGCGGCUCUUCAGAUCAGUCACCUCAGAUUCGAGUUGACUCGUGGCGGCCUAUGCAAAUACAGGGUCAAAAUCAAGUCAAUUUUUAUGCAGUAUUAAAGUCCCAAGCCUUUUGCCAGCAACAAUGCUUGGCACUUGGGGGCUAAUGUUUGCCGAAGAAUUUUACUUUCAGCAGCGGUUCAUAACACAGCGGUUCAUAACAGUAAGUCCCAAGCACUUUUGCAAAACAAUAAUACUUGGCACUUGGGGGCUAAUGCAUAUUGCGGUUCAAAGCUCUGUAAAUACAUUUUUUAUAUAUAACCAUUUUAAGGACCGGUUUAACCAUGUUGGUUAAGCCGCCCCUUGGGGACUACAGAGUAAGCCGUAUUUUUUCUGUCUUAUUCAUCUAUGUUACUAAUGUCAUUAAAUUUAUUUCUAAGUCUACAGCAUAUUCAUCAUAAGCAAUAGACUUGGGGGCUGGCAUAGUAAAGAUAAAUGAAUACAGAGAAAGGGUUGUACCUCAAAUUUUUGGUACAUCUGUUUCACCAUGUCAAUCUCAAGAUUCCGGCUACUGUGUACUUGGCUCAUGUAGCCAGAAAAGAUGUCUCCAAUACUCAUGUGAGCAUAGUUUGUAACAUCCAGCUUGACCCGGCGGUGUUCUAGAAGUUCCUCCUUGGCGGGACAUUUGGCCAGCAGAGUUGGCCUUCCCGGCUCAACAAAGCCGAUUCUGGUGAUCUCAACAUCAGUGUUUUGCGGGUCAUCUAUCCUGACCGGGCUAGGGGCUUCUGGAUUUUCUGACUCAUCGGCGGUUAGUUCAGCGGGCAGGUCAGCAGCGGGGGUUGGUAUGUCUUGAGCUGGCCCAGAUGGCGGCUCAUGAGUUGAUGAGUCUGGCACAGCUAUUUCAAGAACUAGCUCGGUCAUGACCGUGUCUUCAGCUGGCUUGCUCUUCCUAACCCAUUUCUUGGGCUUGGCUUGUCCACUGCGUCAAAAUAAAAGGUUAGUUCAGAUGCAAGGGAUUAAAGUAAAUACAAGAUAAGCAGAUUAUUAUACCCUGGUGCAGUCUUGAAAGCCGGCAGGUUGGACUACAUUGAGUCGUCGGAGGAAGGAGAAGUUUCCUGAUAAUCUGAGUCAGAAGAAUUGAGAGGUUGGCGAGUAAGACCCGCCAAAGGAUAAAAAGAAUUUAAAUCAGAGGUGACCUCAUUCCGGCGCCUCUUUGGGGUGUUUGGUAAGCCUGAGGAGAGCUCCGCAUACUUGCUGGUCCGGGUCUGCCUCCGGCUCUCAUGAAUCUGCCGCUUCAGAAGAAAUUGAGGAUCGUGAUGAGCUAAAGGAUGAGAAAUUGAGGACCUUACUUUCCGGGUCACUCUGCAGAUUUUCCGUUUUGGCAAAGGCUCAGAGUCAAAGGAAAGGAUAGUUACCUCAUCAGCCUUGUUACAGCUUGCUUAUAUGUCCUCCUGCUGAUAAUCAGUGUCAAUAAGAUGGUUAAAAAAUGAGCCAAGGGAAUCAAGGGCUACCUCCGACUCAGAAGAGUCUGCUAGCCGAAGCAGGUUAGAGGCGGUGGCCUUUUUGCCCUUCUUCUUAGCAACCUCUUUUCUGGCAGCUUUUUUCUCCUUCCUGGCUCUCUUGGCAGCCUCAUGGUCAUAUUUGACCUUCCAGAAUUUAUCACCCGCCUGCAAAGAUUAACAUAUGUAUGAGUAUGGGUGAAAUAUCGAAAAAUCAAGGUAAUUAUUUCAUAUGGGUGGCUUGCCUUUGGAGCCGGGGUAGCUUUACAGAAGGGGGCUAAGCCUACCUUGCCACAGUCUGCCAGGCUCUCGUUCAAAAGAGACUUGGUCAUAUCAUCGAUGACAUCUUCAGGCAAGUCAUCAGAGCUGUGUUGCAAAGGUUCAUCCUUUGCGCCCGUAUAAUCGCACAUCAAGCCGGGGAGGCGGCUCAACGGAAUGACCCGCCAGGUGAUCCAAACCCGGACCAGGUCGAUGCCUAUUAAACUGUUUCCCAGAAGGGCCUUGAUCUUGGCCAAAGUGGGGGCGAGUGAUUUGCGUUCAGCGGUUAUAAUCUUGUCAGGCAAAUGAUGGUUGGGCCCAAGACAAAGAGCGCGAAAGCCAGGCAGAGGGUUUUCACCAGCCAGAGAGGUGUCUUGGCAGUAAAACCACAUCAUAUUCCAAUCUUUGGGGUGGCUCGGCGGGUUGGCGUAAGGAAAGAUCAUGUCCCUAUGGCACUGGAUUGAGACACCGCCAAGCUCUAAGCUCUGACCGCUAGCGCACUCAUUCUGGCGGUUCAAAUAAAAUAGCUCUCUGAAGAGCAGUAGAUUGGGUUCUUCUCCAAGGUAUACUUCACUGAAUACUUGAAAGUUGCAGAUAUUAGACAUGGAAUUGGGUCCGAUGUCUUGUGGGUGAAGAUCAAAGAAAUGCAACACGUCUCUGAAGAAUUUUGAUCCAGGUGGAGUAAAACCCCGGUUCAUAUGAUCCGUGAAAACAAUAACUUCUCCUUCUUUGGGCUGAGCGAAUUCCUCCUCCAGGUUAGGAGCACGAUAAGUCAUAACUUAUUUCUUUGGUAGAUAGCUGGUCUUCACAAAAUCAUCAAGAGUAUUGUCCGUGACAAUGGACUUAACCCAGUUGCAGGAACUGGGUGCCUUUAGUGCCAUUAUGAUUGAAAAGCCUAAGACAGAGUAAAAGGUACCGGUUCAAAUUUAAGCCGGGUAGGAAAAAUAUUUCAGCGCAUAUUCAAGAUGGCGGCUUACGAAGGGGCCUAAUGGUAUAAGGAUGAUUAUGUCAAGGUUAUUUAAGCUGCCAUAGGCUCUAUAAGACGCCAGGAUUAUUUAAACCGACGUGAGUGGUCGGAGUUAUCAAUUGAGCAUUGUUUCCUUAAAGCCGGCGUUCAGAGUCACCAUGGUUAGAUGAAUCUAACAAAUGCAGAUUUUUUUCCUAAGUGUUGUACAAACAUGUUUCACAAUUUGCAGCCAUUAUUUUGGAUCAAACAGAUGUUCAGAAAAGAAAAUUUUCUAGACCUAAAACAUGAUGCAAAGAAGUUCAUGCAUUCCAGUGGGGAUUUUUUACAAGGAAAGAAGAUCUACUAGUAUCUAAAAUGGAUGCGGAGCAACUACCGCACGAGAUCUACGCUACUGUUGGAUCAAAGAAACCAUGACAGAAGCAAAUGCGAAGAACUAGGAUGAACAGGGAACUGUACAGAUGGACUCGCUAACCCUAGCAUGGAUGUAUAGAGCAGAGAGGGGAAAACUUACUACGAUGGAUCUGCUGCGGUGGGGCAACGCUGUUUUCUUGUCAAGUUAAGGUCGAUGCAGCGGCCUAGGUCGACAGAGACGAGAUGUGCUGCGGUGGCGGCGGUGGAGCUCCAGUGGCAGAUGGGGGCGAGAGGAAGAAGACACGAACAGGAAGAAUGAGGAAGACCUAGUCGGGUCUAUUUAUAAGGAAAGACCACCAAAAGAGCGCGAAAAACGAGGAGGCCGAAAAUAUAAGUUAUCCAACUACAAGGACUCCUCGAUUUUCGGGAUGGUCAUCAAGACAAAGAUCCAUUGGGAUACAUUGAAUAAAACGUGCUUUUAUGACAGGUGACGUCAUGGCGGGUUACCACAAAUCCAGAGGAUGACGUCAUGGCGGGUUACAAAAAUUUCAUAAGAGCAGAAGAUUUUUCUGAAAGUAUCAAAGAUUGACAUGAACCAGUUCAAAUCAAUCUGGGGCCUAAUGUUGGGGAUAUAACUAUUGGUAUGACCCGCCCAGGAGGGCCGGGUUAUACUUACAAAUAUUGUUGAAGCCCAAGACCCAGGAUAGAUAUGGCGGUUCAAUUAAGGGCCCAAAGCCCAGAGGCGACUUAAGGCCCGUAGUGAUAAACCGCCAUGUAUGCGUGACUUGUAUUGUGAGGCAAGAAUAGUUAAGAGACCGAGCCACACAUUGUUUAUGAGCCGGACGGGACUCUGUAGAGCCGCUGGGCGUCGACCUCUGUAUAUAAAGGGACGACCCGGCGGCGGUUCAGGGCAAGUAACAUCAACUUGAGAGCUAGGUCAAGCGAUUCGCUCCCUGGUUAUCGAGACAUAAGCAAUCCCACUCAAAACUGGAUCGUAGGCUUUUACCUUCACCGUAAGGGCCGAACCAGUAUAAACCUCGUGUCCUUUGUCCCAAUUAACCCCUUUAAGCUUCCUAGUUGCGAUGGAUCCACGACUAAGUCCUUUCACAAGGACAUCUGCCAUGACAAUUCCACGACACUUCGUGAUGCUGAAAUCGACGAAGGUAGAAAUCAAGAAAAAGCAUCAUGUAUUGAUGAUUAAACAAGACCACUAGUUUCAAGAAAAGGGCAAAGGGUAAGAAGGGGAACUUCAAGAAGAAUGGCAAGCAAGUUGUCACUCCCGUGAAGAAGCCCAAAGCUGGACAUAAGCCUGAAACUGAGUGCUUCUAUUGCAAAGGAAAUGGUCACUGGAAGCGGAACUACCCCAAAUAUUUGGCGGAUAAGAAGGAUGGCAAAGUGAACAAAGGUAUAUUUGAUAUACAUGUUAUUGAUGUGUACCUUACUAGUGUUCAUAGUAGCCCCUGGGUAUUCAAUACUUGUUCGGUUGCUAAGAUUAGUAACUCGAAAUAGGAGUUGCAGAAUAAAUAGAGACUAGUUGAGGGUGAAGUGACGAUGUGUGUUGGAAGUGGUUGAAUGAUUGAUAUGAUCAUCAUCGCACACUCCCUAUACAUUCGGGAUUAGUGCCGAACCUAAAUAAAUGUUAUUUGGUGUUUGCGUUGAGCAUGAAUAUGAUUAGAUCAUGUUUAUUGCAGUAUGAUUAUUCAUUUAAGACAGAGGAUAAUUGUUAUUCUGUUUACAUGAAUAAAACCUUCUAUGGUCAUACACCCAAUGUUAAUGGUUUAUUGAAUCUCAAUCGUAGUGAUACACAUAUUCAUAAUAUUGAUGCCAAAAGAUGCAAAGUUGAUAAUGAUAGUGCAACAUAUUUGUGGCGAUGCCGUUUGGGUCAUAUCAGUGUAAAGCGCAUGAAGAAACUCCAUGCAUAUGGACUUUUAGAAUCACUUGAUUAUGAAUCAUUUGAUACUUGUAGACCGUGCCUUAUGGGCAAGAUGACUAAAACCCUGUUCUCCGGAACAAUGGAAGGAGCCAACGACUAAUUGAAAAUAAUACAUACUGAUGUAUGUGGCCCGAUGAGUGUUGAGGCUCGUGGCAGGUAUCGUUAUUUUCUGAUCUUCACAGAUGAUUUGAGCAGAUAUGGGUAUAUCUACUUAAUGAAACACAAGUCUGAAACAUUUGAAAAAUUCAAAGAAUUUUAGAGUGAAGUGGAGAAUCAUCGUAACAAGAAAAUAAAGUUUCUCCGAUUUGAUCGUGGAGGUGAAUAUUUGAGUUACGAGUUUGGCCUUCAUUAAAACAAUGUGGAAUAGUUUUACAGCUCAAGCCACCUGGAACACCACAGCGUAAUGGUGUGUCCGAACAUCGUAACCGCACUUUAUUAGAUAUGGUGCGAUCUAUGAUGUCUGUUACCGAUUUACCACUAUCGUUUUGGGGAUAUGCAUUAAAGGCAGCUACAUUCAUGUUAAAUAGGGCACCAUCAAAGUCUGUUGAGACGACACCGUAUGAACUGUGGUUUGGCAACAAACCUAAGCUGUCGUUUCUUAAAGUUUGGGGAUGCGACGCUUACGUGAAAAGGCUUCAUCCCGAUAAGCUCGAACCCAAAUUGGAUAAGUACGUCUUCAUAGGAUAUCCUAAGGAAACAAUUGGGUACACCUUCUACCACAAGUCCGAUGGCAAGAUUUUUGUUGCUAAGAACGAAACCUUUCUAGAGAAGGAGUUUCUCUGGAAAGAAGUGAGUGGGAGGAAAGUAGAACUUGAUGGGAUAAUUGUACCUACUCUCAACUUGGAAAGUAGCUCGUUCGAGAAAUUUGUUCUUGUGAUGCCUACACCAACUGGAGAGGAAGCUAAUGAUAAAUAUCAUGAAGCUUCAGAUCAAGUUGCUACAUAACCUCGUAGGUCAAACAGAGAACGAUCCGCACAAGACUGGUAUGGUAAUCAUGUUCUGGAGGUCAUGUUACUUGACCAUGACAAACCUACGAACUAUGAAGAAGCUAUGAUGAGCCCAGAUUCCGAUAAAUGGCUUAAGGCCAUGAAAUCUGAGAUAGAUCCAUGUAUGAGAACAAAGUGUGGACUUUGAUGGAUUUGCCUAAGGAUCGGCGACCCGUAGAGAAUUAAUAGAUCUUCAAGAAGAAGACUGACGCUGAUGGUAAUGUUACUAUCUAUGAAGCUUGACUUGUCGCAAAAGGAUUUUCGACAAGUUCAAGGGGUUGACUACGAUGAGGCUUUCUCAACCGUUGCGAUGCUUAAGUCCGUCCGAAUCAUGUUAGCAAUUGCCACAUUUUGUGAAAUCUAGCAAAUAGAUGUCAAAACUACAUUCCUUAAUGGAUAUCUCUAAGAAGAGUUAUAUAUGAUACAACUAGAAGGUUUUGUCGAUCCUAAAGGAGCUAACAAAGUGUGCGAGCUCCAGCGAUCCAUCUAUGGACUGGUGCAAGCAUCUCGGAGUUGGAAUAUACGCUUUGAUAAGGUGAUCAAAGCAUAUAGUUUUAUACAAACUUUCGAAGAAGCCUGUAUUUACAAGAAAGUGAGUGGGAGCACUAAUUCUGAUAAGUAUAUGUGAAUGACAUAUUGUUGAUCGGAAAUAAUGUAGACUUUUCUAGAAAGCAUAAAGGAGUGUUUGAAAGGAGUUUUUCAAAGAAAGACCUCGGUGAAGCUGCUUACAUAUUGGGCAUCAAGAUCUAUAGAGAUAGAUCAAAACACUUGAUAAGAUUUUUCAAUGAGUACAUACCUUGACAAGAUUUUGAAAGAGUUCAAAAUGGAUUGGUCAAAGAAGGAGUUCUUGCCUGUAUUACAAGGUGUAAAGUUGAGUAAGACUCAAAACCCGACCACAUCAGAAAAUAUAAAGAGAAUGAAAGUCAAUCCCUAUGCCUCAGCCACAGGUUCUAUAAAGUAUGCUAUGUUGUGUACCACACCUAUUGUGUACCUUAUCAUGAGUUUGACAAUGGGGUACGAUAGUGAUCCAGGAGUGGAUCACUGGACAGUGGUCAAAGUUAUCCUUAGUUACCUAAGAGAACUAAGGAAAUAUUUCUUGGUUAUGGAGGUGAUAAAGAGUUACGUCGAUGCAAGCUUUUACACCGAUCCAGAUGACUCUGAGUCUCAAUCUGGAUACAUAUUGAAAGUGGGAGAAAUUAGCUAGAGUAGCUCCAUGCAGAGCAUUGUAGACAUAAAAAAUUUGCAAAAUACAUACAGCUGUGAAUGUAGCAGAUCCGUUGACUAAACCUCUCACACAAGCAAAACAUGAUCACACCUUAGUACUCUUUGGGUGUUAAUCACAUAGCGAUGUGAACUAGAUUAUUGACUCUAGUAAACCCUUUGCGUGUUGGUCACAUGGUGAUGUGAACUAUGGGUGUUAAUCACAUACAAAUGUGAACUAUUGGUGUUAAAUCACAUGGCGAUGUGAACUAGAUUAUUAACUCUAGUGCAAGUGGGAGACUGAAGGAAAUAUGCCCUAGAGGCAAUAAUAAAGUUGUUAUUUUAUAUUUCCUUGUAUCAUGAUAAAUGUCUAUUAUUCAUGCUGUUGGGGAACAUAGCAUGCAAUUUCAAAAAAAAUCCUACUAUCACGCAAUAUCUAUCUAGGAGAUGCAUAGCAAGGAGAGGGGGAGAGUGUGUCCACGUACCCUCGUAGACCGAAAGCGGAAGCGUUAGUUAACGUGGUUGAUGUAGUCGAACGUCUUCACGAUCCAACCCAUCCAAGUACCGAACGUACAACACCUCCGUGUUCAGCACAUGUUCAGCUCGAUGAUGUCCCUCGAACUCUUGAUCCAAUAGAGGGAUGAGGGAGAGUUCCGUCGGCACGACGGCGUGGUGGUGGUGUUGAUGAUGUGAUCCGUGCAGGGCUUUGCCUAAGCACUACGACGCUAUGACCUGACGAAUAAACUGUGGAAGGGGGCACCGCACACGGCUAAGAGAAAUCUUGGUGUCCCUUUGGGGUGCCCCCUUCCCAUGUAUAUAAAGGAGGGAGGGAGGAGGAGGCCGGCCUAGAGGGGGCGCGCCAAAAGGGGGGAGUCCUACUAGGACUCCCAGUCCUAGUAGGAUUCCUUUUCGAAGUAGGAGAAGGGGGAGGGAGAGAGGGAGGGAGAAGGAAAGGGGGGCCGCGCCCCCUCCCCUAGUCCAAUUAGAUUUGGGUAGGAGGGCACCCGCCACCUCCUGGCCGCCGGCCUCCUCUUUCCACUAAGGCCCAUGAAGGCCCAAUACUCUCCCGGGGGGUUCCCGUAACCACUCGGUACUCCGGAAAAUGCCUGAACCUUUCCGAAACCAUUCCUGAUGUCCGAACAUAACCUUCCAGUAUAUCAAUCUUUAUGUCUCGACCAUUUCGAGACUCCUUGUCAUGUCCAUGGUCUCAUACGGGACUCCGAACAAACUUCGGUCAUCAAAAACACACAACUCUUAAUACAAAUCGUCAUCGAAUGUUAAGUGUGCGGACCAUACGGGUUCGAGAACUAUGUAGACAUGAUCGAGACACAUCUCCGAUCAAUAACCAAUAUCGGAACAUGGAUGCUCAUAUUGGCUCCUACAUAUUCUACAAAGAUCUUUGUCGGUCAAACUGCACAACAACAUACGUUGUUCCCUUUGUUAUCGGUAUGUUACUUGCCCGAGAUCCAAGGUAUCAUCAUACCUAGUUCAAUCUCAUUACCGGAAAGUCUCUUUACUCAUUCCGUAAUGUUUCAUCCCGUAACUAACUCAUUAGUAACAUUUCUUGCAAGGCUUAUAGUGAUGAGCAUUACCGAGAGGGCCCAAAGAUACCUCUUCGAUACACGGAGUGACAAAUCCUAAUCUUGAUCUAUGCCCACUCAACAGACACCUUCGGAGACAUCUUUAGAGCAUCUUUAUAAUCACCCAGUUAUGUUGUGACAUUUGAUAGCACACAAGUUGUUCCUUCGGUAUUCGGGAGUUGCAUAAUCUCAUAGUCAGAGGAACAUGUAUAAGUCAUGAAGAAAGAAGUAGCAAUAAAACUGUAACGAUCAUAAUGCUAAGCUAACGGAUGGGUCUUGUCCAUCACAUCAUUCUCUAAUGAUGUGAUCCCGUUCAUCAAAUGACAACACAUGUCUAUGGUUAGGAAACAUAACCAUCUUUGAUUAACGAGCUAGUCAAGUAGAGGCAUACUAGGGACACUAUGUAUUGUCUAUGUAUUCACACAUGUAUUAAGUUUCUGGUUAAUACAAUUCUAGCAUGAAUAAUAAACAUUUAUCAUGAUAUAAGGAAAUAUAAAUAACAACUUUAUUAUUGCCUGUAGGGCAUAUUUCCUUCACAUGCUAGAAUUGUAUUAACUAGAAACUUGAUACAUGUGUGAAUACAUAGACAAAACACCGUGUCCCUAGUAUGCCUCUACCAGACUAGCUCGUUAAUCAAAGAUGGUUAAGUUUCCUAGCCAUGGACAUGUGUUGUCAUUUGAUGAACGAGAUCACAUCAUUAGUAGAAUGAUGUGAUGGACAAGACUCAUCCAUUAGCUUACCAUAAUGAUCGUUCAGUUUUAUUGCUACUGCUUUCUUCGUGUCAAAUACAUAUUCCUCCGACUAUGAGAUUAUGCAACUCCCGGAUAACGGAGGAAUACCUUGUGUGCUAUCAAAUGUCACAACAUAACUGGGUUAUUAUAAAGAUGCUCUACAGGUAUCUUCGAAGGUGUUUGUUGGGUUGGCAUAGAUCAAGAUUAGGAUUUGUCACUCCGAGUAUUGGAGAAGUGUCUCUGGGCCCUCUCGUUAAUGCACAUCAUAUGAAGCCUUGCAAGCAAUGUGACUAAUGAGUUAGUUGCGGGAUGAUGCUUUACGGAACGAUUAAAGAGACUUGCCGGUAACGAGAUUGAACUAGGUAUGAAGAUACCGACGAUCGAAUCUCGGGCAAGUAACAUACAGAUGACAAAGGAAUAACGUAUGUUGGCAUAGUGGUUUGACUGAUAAAGAUCUUUGUAGAAUAUGUGGGAACCAAUAUGAGCAUCCAGGUUCCGCUAUUGGUUAUUGACUGGAAAGGUGUCUUGGUCAUGUCUACAUAGUUCUCGAACCCGUAGGGUCCGCACGCUUAAUGUUCGAUGACGAUAUGUAUUAUAUGAGUUAUAUGUUUUGGUGACCGAAGUUUGUUCGGAGUCCCAGAUGAGAUCACGGACAUGAUGAGGAGUCUCAAAAUGGUUGAGAGGUAAAGAUUGAUAUAUUGAAAGGUAGUAUUCGAACACUGUAAGGGUUCCGGAGUGUAUCGGGUACAUACCAAAGUACCGGAGGGGUUAACGGAACCCCCCGGGGAAAGAUAUUGGCCAUAUGGGCCAUAGGAGAGAGGCUAACCAACCCACAAGGGUCUAGUGCACCCCCCNNNNNNNNNNNNNNNNNNNNNNNNNNNNNNNNNNNNNNNNNNNNNNNNNNNNNNNNNNNNNNNNNNNNNNNNNNNNNNNNNNNNNNNNNNNNNNNNNNNNNNNNNNNNNNNNNNNNNNNNNNNNNNNNNNNNNNNNNNNNNNNNNNNNNNNNNNNNNNNNNNNNNNNNNNNNNNNNNNNNNNNNNNNNNNNNNNNNNNNNNNNNNNNNNNNNNNNNNNNNNNNNNNNNNNNNNNNNNNNNNNNNNNNNNNNNNNNNNNNNNUCCUUCUCCUAGUCCCUCUCCUUCCCCCUUUCCCCCUCCGUUAGAAGGAAGGGGCCGACUAGGACUAGGAGUCCUAGUAGGACUCCCCCACAUGGCGUGCGCCCUAGGACUGCCUCCUCCCCUCUCCCCCCUUUAUAUACGGGGGCUGGGGGCACCUCUAGGACAUCAAUUGUCUAAGUCGUGUGCGGUGCCCCCCUCCACCGUUUACUAUUCCGAUCAUAUUGUCGUAGUGCUUAGGGAAAGCCCUGCGCGGAUCACUUCACCAACAUCGUCAUCACGCCGUCAUGCGGACGGAACUCAUCGACUCCUUUGUGCCUCUACUGGAUCAAGAGUUCGAGGGACGUCAUCGAGCUGAACGUGUGCAGAACUCGGAGGUGCCGUACAUUCGGUACUUGAUUGGUUGAUUCGAGAAGACGUUCGACUACAUCAACCGCGUUAAGUUAACGCUUCCACUUUCGGUCUACGAGGGUACAUGGACACACUCUCCCCUCUCGUUGCUAUGCAUUUCCUAGAUAGAUCUUGCGUGAGCGUAGGAAAUUUUUUGAAAUUGCAUGUUAUGUUUCCCAACAAGAAGAUCUAGCUAGUGCCCUUGGGAGAAGAUCUAGGUCUCGCCCCUAGGAUCUUUGGAGCCCGGAUGGAGUGUCAUAUAUGGAGGGUUUAAGCACAGAAUCAUGUGAGGGGUUGGAGGAAGACGACAA
rnacentral:lncRNA from 1 species